rnacentral:lncRNA from 1 species
GGGAAAAUUCAAAAGAUUCUUGCCAUAAGCUUUGAUUCUUUACAAGAUCAUGAUAAACGUUUAUUCCUGCAUAUAGCCUGUUUCUUCGUGGGAAAGGACAAGGAUUUUACAACUACAAUCCUUGACGAAUGUGAUUUUUCUACAGAGGUUGGACUUCAACAUCUGGUUGAUAGAUGUCUUGUGGAAAUUAAUGUCCACAACAAGUUAACCAUGCAUCAAUUACUUCAAGACAUGGGAAGGGCAAUAAUUCGUGAAGAAUCACCUGAGGACCCUGGAAGACGCACUAGACUGUGGCAUAAAGAUGCAUUUAACGUUUUGAGAAAAUUAGCGGUAAGAAACAUGAUCUUUAUCUGUAUAUAUUUGCAAUGGUAUUCUGCAUGUGACUAGUAACUUAUCCAAUGCUCUUAUUUGUUAGCAGGGUACGAGAACUAUCAAGGGCCUCGUGCUUAACUUUCCCUCAACAGAGUCAUCUCCAGUAUUAAAUGAGGUAGGUUUCGAAACAAAGGCAUUUACAGAGAUGCUCAAUCUUGAACUACUUCUGCUUGAUAAUGUAAAGUUGAGUGGAAGCUAUGAAGAUUUUCCAAAAAAUUUAAUAUGGCUAUCUUGGCGAGGAUUCUCUUUAAAAUCAAUACCAGCCAAUUUUUGUUUGGAAAAUCUAGUUGUUCUUGACUUACGGAAGAGCAGUCUGCAACAUGUUUGGAAAGGAACCAGGGUAUGUUCUAAUCUCUCUCUCUCUCUCUCUCAAAAUACACACAAUCAAAAAUAAUUUUCAGUGAAAUUUAACUGUGUAUUCAUAGCAACUAAUGACUUCUCUUUGACACAGUUUCUUACAAGAUUGAAAAUUCUUAAUCUCAGUCAUUCGCAUGGCCUUAGGACAACAUCUGACUUGUCCGGACUCCCUAACCUUGAGAAACUAAUUCUUAAGGAUUGCAUUAAUUUGAUUGAUGUUGAUGAAUCCAUUGGAAACUUGGGGAAACUUAUUUUCUUGAAUCUAAAAGACUGCAAAAGUCUUAUGAAGCUUCCAAAAAGAAUGAACAUGUUGAGGUCUCUUGAGGAACUUAUUCUUACUGGUUGCCCAAAGCUUGUUCUUCAUGACAGUGCCACAGUUAUUCAUUUACACUCUACAUCUAGGGAUAUGAAUAAACUUAGACUGUUAUCAAUUAUAUCAUGGACACCAAUCAGGUAUUGGUGGAUGUGGGCAUGGCCGGGAAAGACUCUUCAAUCAAUGAGUUUCUCUCUGGCAAGUUUACCCCGUUUUUUGGGAAGCUUAAGUUUGUCUUACUGCAACAUGUCAGAGGUUCCCAACGAUCUGUGUACACUAUCUUCGUUGAAGCAUUUGAAUCUAAUUGGUAACCCAAUUUUGUGCUUACCACAAAAAAUGAAGAGUCUUAUUAUGCUCGAGACUCUUUUGUUAGAUAAUUGCACAAACCUCGAAAUUCUUCCAGAGCUCCCACCAAGGUUGAAGAGGUUAGAAGCAAAAUAUUGUACAUCAUUGAAAAGAUUAACAAAUUUACCAAACUUAUUCAGAUCAUUGCAAUCACUUUUUUGGGGUUGUGAGCAUUUAGUUGAAGUUGAAAGCUUGUUGAAUAAAAAACCGCUGAGAAGCGCUGACAUAGAAAUGACAAGAUAUAUGGACCUGUUCAAUUUGAAAUCCAUAUCAAGCACUGAUGUCGAAAUGAUCAACUACUUGACCGGUACAACCAGGAAGGCUCCUGUCCAGGUCUUUCUCUGUCUCCUCUCUCAUGUAUAGUUCUAAUUAUUAUAUCUAUGAACUAGUUGGGCCUAACUGUUUGAAUAGUUAAAUUUGAAUUGUAGAUUCUUGAUGAAACAGGUACUCUAUGAAUGUGGCAUAUAUAGCAUUUUCUUUCAUGGAAGCAAGAUUCCAGAUGGAUUUAGCUUCACAACAAGAUACAGAUCUGUGCUGUCAGUUAUUGCACCUUCACAUCCUAAUCCCAAAAUCCGAGGCUUGAAUUCAUGUGUUUUAUAUGCAAGAGAACCAGGCUUGGUUAUUGAUGACUAUCUUGUUAGUGCUAUGCAUUUGAUUAAGGUCAGUAAUCAGACCAAGGGUCUUAUGUGGACCUAUUCUCCAGUCACAGUAGGUUUUCCAACUGAGACGGAAGAUAUGCUAUGGCUAAGCCAUUUUCGAUUUGUAAACAAUGAAUUGGAGUAUGGGGACGAAAUACGUGUUUCGGUGGAGAUGCAUGAUUUUCGGAUAAAGGAGUUCGGAAUCCAGCUUGUGUACGAGCAGGAAAUGUCUCCUAGUAGCCAGAAUAAUGUUGUUGCUGGAGAUGUGUCAAUGUCAACAUCAGAGUACCAAAUGUGGACAGGAAAAUACUUUCUCAGUAAUCAUAGGCACCGUACUCAUCAGGCUCAAUUCCGAAUGAGACAGGAGAAUCCAGCACAUAAUGAAUUUUCAUUUGGGCCAGAGCAUCAGGUUCAUAACUUAUUCAAGGCCCAAGGACCAUUGGAAAAUAUUGUGAGAGGAUGUCCAGCAGAUUCCCCAUCUGCUUCUCGUCACCUGUUUUGGCGAAAAUGAAGAGAAACAUUCUCAAUUCUUUAUCCAACAUCAGUCAUUUAUGGUUGGAAAGAAGGAUCAGCAUCAUUUUCCUUGGUGAGUACCGUCUUUUUGUUCUUUGUUGUUCUCUCGUUCUGAUAAUAUACUCGUGGCUUUGUUGGAUUUGUUGCUUUUUGCUUAUUGUCAUAAAGACCAAUCAAGGAAACAAAACCGGAACAUUCCUCAUGAGUCUGCAGAUGAAGUUUUAAACCCCCUAUAGAGCAAAACCAAUCUGAGCGUAUUUCUCAUCUGUUAUGGCUCGGUCCUUUUAUAGCUGAUAUUGGUGCACAAACUCCCUUUUUCUAUAUUUUCAGAGAAAGUCUGCAAAACUUAAAUCCUAUAGUUCCUUUUCUGCCUUUUUCUACUAUAGUACUACUCCUUCCGAUAAUAAUCCUAGCGGCCCAAAAUUAUAUAUUCCAACUUUAAAUCCCAAUUAAGGUGCUAUAGUUGGUUUUUUAUGUUUAUGCUCACUAGAAACCUCAUUGAUCUACAACGAACAAACAACUACCGUAUAGAUCAUGCUUUCUUAAUUUUUGGCUCCACUUACAGCUGGUGCGAGGGACCUCUGCGCGUUAACUAUGUGCCAGUCUGGGUCCAUUUAGUGUGCGUUAACUAUGGGCACGACCUAACGAGGGACCUGAGAUAUUCAAGAACCCUUACCGAGUACCAGAAAAUAUGAAUUUUGCAAGUCAUAAUGUAUUACUGUAAACUUUUCUUAUUUUACAACCUAAAUCCAUUCAUAUUAGCAACCUUUUCUUAUUCUUUUAUGCCUUCAGUUUUGAAAUCGCGCAAUCAACAAAUUAUUAAAAAUGUGUACAUGACACUAAUUUCUUAAGGAUUGCCAAAGCAAUCAGAUUCGAAAAAACUAAAACGGACAAAAAACGCACAAAUAACUUAAAAAUCCAUAUUGACAAAAUCUAGAAUAAACUGAAACAACUAAAAUCCUAAAUUAAUCCAUAAACCUAAAUCAUGACUGCCACCGUGAAUUGAAGUUGUGUCAUGACAGAACCGAUCGCGUUCAAGUGAUAAUAGUCCGUAGAAACAAUCAGCGAAUCUGUAGAAGAUUUGUUCACCACAAAUACUUAUUAUUUUCCCGUGACCAAAAUAAAAAAGAACGAGAGUAGAGGCCAGUGUGAGAUCCUAAGAAUUUAUUAUCGAAGAAGCGAAAUUUAUUUUCUACUCCAUUUCAUUUAUUUUUGUUUUUAUUUAAUUUUACUUGAUCACCGUGUGCAGAGUUAAUUUUUUCACCGACUCAGAGUCUGGGACGUGACAGAAUGGUAUCAAAGCAUAUGUAUUAGACAACCUUGGACAACCUGUGGUGUCAUUUGAAUAUUAGCUUUAAAGGAACCAGAGCCUGGCUACUUAGAACUUUGUAUUUUAGUGGAAUGUUGAUUGAUUUAUGGAAUAAGAAAUACAAUAUAGUAUGCUAAGAAACUUGUACAAAGAUACCCACAAUUUUCUUGGGAGUUUAUGUGUGUUCGACUAAGUACUAGAUAUGAACACACGUAAUUAGCCGCUUAAGAUUUCGAAAUCGACUUGUCAAAUUACAUGAAUCCUUACUCUACAUACAACCAUGAAUUGACUUGGAAAUUAAAGUCCGAUCAAAGGUGAAAAAUCUGGACUUGUCAAGUAAUUCAAUGUUUAAAGUAAAUCUCGAGUAUGAGAUUUAUUUUAAGAAUGAUGAAUUGUGAGAUCUUAAGAAUUUAUUAUCAAAUAAGAGAAAUUUAUUUUCCAUCCCGUUUCAUUUAUUUUUGUUUUAUUUAAUUUUACUUGCGUAUCGGGUGCGGGUUAUUUUUUCCACUGAGUCCGGGUCCAAGCGUGACAAGGACUCAAACAGAUGUUCCUUUCAUUCUCAAAUUGUGAGUUAUAUUCACUGUGACAAAAACAAGAAAGGAUGAGAGAAUAUGACUCAAGGUAAUUUUCAUUUCAUGCUGAGUAAAUUGUAGCUAUGGUCCCUUAACUUUAACUCAAUUGGAGCAAUGGUCCCACAACUAAAAAUCCAUUAUCAUUGGUCCCUCAACUCAUCAAAAUGUGCAGCUAUGGUCCCUUAACUAAAAAUCCAUUACCAUUGGUCCCUCAACUUUAAUUCAACUGGAGAAAUGAUUCCUAAACUUUAACCCAAUUGUAACAAUGGUCAUUCCAAUAUAACUCGUUUUGACAAAAAUUUUGACGUAGUUGAGGAAAAAGACCAUAAUUACAUACUUUGAUGAGUUGAGGGACCCUAAUUAUAUAAAUGGUUAUUCCAACAUAACUUAUUUUGACAAAAUUUUAAUGAAAUUGAUGAAAAUGACUAUAGCUACACAUUUUGAUAAGUUGAAGGACCAAUGGUAAUGAAUUUUUAAUUGAGGAACCAUUACUCCAAUUUGAUUAAAGUUGAGAGAUCAUUGCUAUAAUUUACUCUUUCAUGCUCAAAAUGACACAUUUGUGCACUUUUCUUUUAAACUAGUCAUUAUAGUCCAAUUAGCAGCUGUAAAGUAUCAGCUUUACAUCCAAUUUAACAAAACAAAAUUAUCUUUUUACCCUCAAUUGCCAUGUGUUGUCAUGGUUGAAAAAUUAGAUGAAGAUUUUCAAAAUCCAACUCCCGAGGGAAGAUUGGCUAUUUAUAAAAGUCCAGGGUAAAUCAACUAAAAUUAAAGUUCAAGGCGAAAUUUUUCCAACAAUAGAGUUUACAAUUUUCUUUUUCUCAAUUCGUGCAGGCUAAACGCUUUUAAUUAACAUUACUCAAGUUAUAAGCACCUUACAAAAUUUGCAAUUUUUUUUCAUAGUACUAUAAACUAGAAAAUAUGCCUGCGCUUUGCUGCGGGACUUGAAUGCACCAGCCUUAACUGCAUGAAUAAGACACAUUUAACCUAAAUAAAUUAAACAUAUUCCUGAAUGAACAAAAGAAUAGAUGAGUGAAUGAGGUCGGUACGAUAAGCAACUUGGUUUUUAUAUACAUUCAACAGAGCUGAUAUGAAAAGACAUUGUACAGUUAUCAGAAUGAAGUUCCUGAUUACAAAAGAUGUGGCUGCAAAAAAUGCUCUAUUUCCAUAAGAAACAGCAACAACAUGCAGUUCUCACACAUUGGUUAUUCUAAUGUCCAUUUCAUUGUAGGGUAGACAUGAAUCAUUUUGACAGAAAGAGACAAAUUGUUGAUGAUGGUAAGUCUUAAUGAAUCAUAUUGAAACGGCAGCAGCCUUAGAAUAAGAUUCGACUGUGCAUAGAGUAUGGAUUGCAAGUUGAAUUCCAACAAAUAUGUGUAAUUAUGAAUCACCACGACCGAAAUUAGAGAAUCCACAAAAAAAUGAGGUCUAACUCUCUAUUUCGGAGGAGAAUAUCCAAAAAUAAUGAUGUCCCCUUGUUUUUGUUUUUCAUUCAUUUCUCACAAACCAAUCAUACAUUUAAAAUAGGCUUUGAAUAAAAACAGGGCAUAUAAUUAUAUACCUCAAAAUGCCAAGAAACCAACUUCUCCCUCCAACGAUCCAAACUCCUGAAAUUCCCAAGCAUAAUAAAUCCAUUAGCAAUUUCUUGAUGUUUCUUUGCUUUAUUUAGUCUAAAGAUUGAAAUAUAUAGGAUGUGCAUAUAUAUAUAUGGAGUAAAGAAGUGGUGCAUUUGUGAGAUAAAGCAUUAACAUCCACCGUGACAUCUGUGUAUAUUUUACAAUAUGUGUGUCUGAGUUUGCAUUUGUGCUGAAUAUUAACUUGAAAAGUUGAAAGCAAAGAUAUUACACACUUCAAAAGAUGCUUGCAUCAGGUUGGACACCAACGGACAGCUAAAAAACUAAUCCACUAGUGUACACAUUAUCUUGAUUUUUCUUGUUAAUGCACCUUCAUUUCCUUCUACUAAGGGGCAUUUCAUCUACAAUUAAUCAUCUACUGAUAAAAGACAAUCUCUAGAUACUCGAUAUGCAACUAAAUCAACAAACAAUCCUUACUUAUUCAGCAUAUCUACAGAACCAGAUUGAAUCAGAUAUCAGACUUCAUAUUGUCAAACAUUAUGUUCUCUCUAACCAGAUAGGACACUGGAUUGCACACUAAGUAAAUAAAGACCCCAAAUUGGAAAACACCCAACACCAAUUAGACACAAAUAAUAGACACACACUGAUCAAAUUAAUUAGUGCACAUAUAAAGACAUAGAAAACAUACGGAAAUAUAGGGGAAACGCCAAUCAGACAAAAAUAACACAUACACUGUAAAGAGAUAAAAGACAUAGGAAAACUUAUAAUAGAUGGCCUUAGUUUACUUAGUGCACAUAUAAGCUAAUGUUUCUUAUAAAGAUAUAAUAAUUAAAGGCAACCUACAAUUGAGCCUGAUAUCGGACUUAACUUGUUAAGCUAUCUCAGUUUGUUUAAUAAUUGGGAAACAUAUCGUAACCUCCUUAAGGUCUAAUCAGUGCAUAUAUAUUGGGAGAUAUGUGCAUAAAUAUGGAGUAAAGAAGUGGUGCAUUUAUGGCCAGAUUUUUAUUCAUUUGGUAUUCAAUUUUGUUGUGACUUAUGAAAUCAAAAGGCUUUCACACUGAAGGUCUCAUCAGGGUUCUGCUCCUAAACCCCCUGAACAAACAAAAUUGAUAAAUCAUUAUCAUUACCUUUAACAAAACAGAUUACAGUAAAAAAAAAUUCCUGUUUAAAAAACAAUUAAGCAGUUUCAUAUAGCCUCCUAAGUCCUAAGCACAAAAUUAUAGUUUAAUAAAGGAAAAUCCCAAUCCAAAGCUCCAACCUUUUAACCCAAAAUGAAAACGAAAAGCAUGGUACAUAUAAUUCAGUUUUAUUAUUAGAUUUUCUAAAUCCCCACUUUAAAUCCAUUGCAAAGAUACUACCACCAACUAAGGGUGGCAAUUUGACUGUGGUUGUGUAUGUUAGUGGACUUUAUGCAACUCAAUAUAUAAAAUUUAAGCAGUUUCAGAUACUCUCCUAAGCAUCUGCAAACUAUUAACAUUAUCUUCCCAAGUUUCUUUCCCAAUUUCAUCGAUAGCAAUUUUAUUGACAGCAAUUUCAUUGAUAGUCUGCUAAGCAUCUGCAAACCAUUAACAUUAUACCAACUUAAGAGAUAGCAAUUACACAUUCCACCGUUAUCAUAGUCAUAAAUAGUCAAAGGAUGCCACAAUUAUAUAGCCAAAUCCAGUCCCAACGUGCAUGAAUAAAAUGUAACAACAUAGUCACAAAAUCACCGUAAAUAAAUAUACCUUAAAAGCCAAAGGGCCAAGUGCUCCCUUCAACGAUCCAAAUUUCUGAAAAUCGCAAACAUAGCAAAUCCAUUAGCACUAACUUACAGAACAGUAAUGAAAAUAAUAGCUUAGAAACAGCGUUGAAAAGCACCUUGAGUGAAGAAAACAAAGUGAAAUCUGUUUUUCAUGCAAAUUGUUGAUGAUAGCACGUUUUAACGAAUCAUAUUCAAACGGCAGCAGCUUUGUAUAAAAACAGGGUAUAUAAAAUAGGCUUGCGAGAAAAUCCAAAUAAGGAUGUCUCCUUGAACAAAUAACACACACACACCGAUCAUUCAUGUCUCUCUUUUUCAAAUAACACACACAGUGAUCCAAAACAGGGUAUUCUAACUCUCUUUUUCAUUCAUUUCACACAAACCAAUCAUACAUUUAAAAUAGUGCUUGAAUAAAAACAGGGUACAUAAUUAUAUACCUCAAAAUGCCAAGGAACCAACUUCUCCCUCCAACAAUCGAAAUUCCUGAAAUUCCAAAACAUAGCAAAUCCAUUAGCAAUAUCAUGAUGUUUCUUUGCUUUAUAUAGUCUAAAGAUUAUAAGGAUGUGCAUAUAUUUGGAGUAAAGAAGUAGUGCAACCUUUCAACCUCAUUUCUAGAAAACUACCAAAGAAACAAUGAGAUAAAGAGAACCUUUUUUUUUUUUUUUUGGUAUUCUAAUGAUAUUUUAGCCUAAUUUAUACCAUGCGAAAAAAGAUUUUGAACUUUGUUCGGUGGCUGAAAAGAAUUUUUGCCUCCAAAUAAUAAUGCUUACCCAUAACCUAGAAUUUAAAAUUACCAUUUUGUGCUUUUGUGCCAUUAGGAUGUGAAAACUCAAGUGGCAGGUGGCAGCAGUGGUACCAAAUUAUAAUUCUAAAUCUGGUAACAGAAACCGGUUGAUAAUUAACCCAGAAUAUAAAAUCCAAAGAACUUAGAGCAAAAAUUAUCUCAAAUCUUCGCUUUUCUUGUACUUUGGCAUUGUGCGGUUGACUUGUAAACGGUAAAUGAAAUCCUGAAAACCGAAGAAUGAAAAGCAUUCUUUUAGUUAACUAAAAAGCACUCGUAAACGGAGUAAGAUAUCUAGUAACCAAAAAAUAAAUCUUGGAAAGCAGACAUAAACAAACUUCAAUCACAAUUACUUUAAUACAUUUGGAUACAAAGGAAAAUUAAAUUUAUUCAAUUUUGAUAUAAAGAAAAUUAACUAAUGUAGAAAGAACAUUUGUGCCUCAAUGGCGCGAAAAGUACUCAAAACAAACAUUGUGAUGUGCAAACAGAAAAUGAUCAUGCUCUCCAACCUAUAUUUGGUGACGGAAAAUUUAUACAGAAAAUGAAUGUGCUCCCCAACCUACAUGUUGGCAUUCUCCUUUCCAGUUCUCAAUAUGUGAUGUGUAAACCACAUUGGUUGUCCUAGUAAGACAUAUAGGACAAAAUAUUCGGUGCUUAAUUAAAUAAUUUUUGCAUGAGUUGUUAAUUAUAGUAGGUCUAAAUCUAAUUUUAAAAAUCUCUACCCCAAUUAUAAAUAACAGUAGUGGAAAAUUAGGUACAUGGGGAAUCAUGUAGUUAAAUAAAUUAUUAAUGCCUCUAAGUUAGAGAGCAUUUGAAAUAAUGGUAGAAAAGAAUUUGUGCCUCCAAAUACUAAUGCUUCCCCAUAACCUAGAAUUUGCACUCACACUCCUCAUUCAUCACUACAACAACAACAACAAAGUCUUUUCCCACUAAGUGGGGUCGGCUAUAUGAAUCCUAGAACGCCAUUGCGCUCAGUUCUGUGUCAUGUCCUCCGUUAGAUCCAAGUAUUCUAAGUUUUUUCUUAGGGUCUCUUCCAAAGUUUUCCUAGGUCUUCCUCUACCCCUUCGGCCCUGAACCUCUGUCCCGUAGUCACAUCUUCGAACCGGAGCGUCAAUAGGCCUUCUUUGCACAUGUCCAAACCACCGUAACCGGUUUUCUCUCAUCUUUCCUUCAAUUUCGGCUACUCCUACUUUACCUCGGAUAUCCUCAUUCCUAAUCUUAUCAUUUCUCGUGUGCCACACAUCCAACGAAGCAUCCUCAUCUCCGCUACACCCAUUUUAUGUAUAUAUACUAAAAAAUUAGAAGAAAAAUAAACAUGAUCUUAUUUGUCAACAAACGGGAAAAAGAAUACAAAGAAGCCCUGGAAAGCUUCAACGGAAAAAAACAAAGAAAAGGCUCAACUUGUAACCACACUUAUGGAGGCAAUUACAAACAAUAAAUAAAUUAUAAUUAAUUAAUUGUCCAGUCCCCAACUUUAACUAUUGUUACAUGCAGGCGAUCGAAUUAGACCUGGGAAGUGGGAAACAUACUUAAUCCUUAAACACUGAGUUGAUUGCAGGGCAAGUAAGCAUCAAAUUAGUAUCACUACAUAACAUCGUUAAUUUAACCCAAUUCUAAGUGACUAAAACCUUUCCUCCAUACAUCUUAAUAAAAAUAAAUCCACUUUUUUUUUUAUUUAUGGUGUAUUUGAUUUUCCGUCUCUUUGUUUGAUUUGAGCUCUAGUAGAACAUGCUUUGUUAUAUAUUAGAUAAGUCUGCUAAAAAAGAGGAGGCUGGAGCCUAGAAACGCUUAUAAAGAAGAUAUUCCAUAAUGUUUCCAUGUUGAGCUAUGACCAAGGCAGAGUUAGACUCAUAUCAGGAUUACUACAUGUUCUGGGAAAGGAUUGCCAAAAGACUGCAUGCAUAACUUCUCCUACAAUUACCUAAGCAUCCUAUUAAUAUAUGUGACAUGGAACAGAGACUUUACAAUCAAGAAAACGAAGAAUGCAACAGUUGUAAGGUCUUGUUUCUUAUCAAAAUAGAUUCCUCUUAAGAAAGGGACUUAUAUGCACUAAAUUUGAACACUAAUUAGGAGAUGAACACACAAAUUCCUAAUCAAUCAAGUUACGAAGGUCCUAAAUCCUAAUCCCAUGAUCCCAUUUUCUUUCCCAAAUUUCCAGGCAACCAAACAGACCCCAACCCAACCCUAAUCCGCAAAUUUCUCAAUCAAACACCACUCAAUCACCCAUCAAAAACCAAAGAAAUUCAAGAAAAUGAAGAAUGCAACAAUUGCAAGGUCUUGUUUGUUAUCAAAAUAGAUCCCUCUUAAGAAAGGGACUUAUAUGAAUUAAAUUUGAAUACUGAUCAGGAGAUAAACACACAAAUUCCUAAUCAAUCAAGUUACCAAGGUCCUAAAUCCUAACCACAAAAAAUCACACUGAUCAAAUUAAAACAUAUCCAAUUAUAAAACUAUCAUUAAAAAUGAAUAUUUCAUCAUUUUGGUACAGUAGCAUAAAGCCUCAUUAAAAAGAGAAAAAGAGAAAAUACAGUAGCAUAAUCAAUCAAGUUGAUGCAUGUUUCAAUCAAAUUGAUGCAUAUUUCAAUCGAGCCUCAUUAAAAACAGAAAAUACAGCAGCACAAAGCAUAACAGAAGCUUGGAAAUGGAGAAGGAACCUGCAAUUAGGUAUCUUCAGAAGCAAAAAUGGCAGAACGUACAGAACCCAGAAUCACAGAGAGAGAGAGAGAGUGGAGUAAGUCGGUCUGGAGCUAAAAUAAAGAAAAUGAGCUUUAGAAAGUAGUAAAGGAUGUUCACAAACUGAACAGUCAAGAAACCAUUUUUAAAUUUGCGUCGGAGGAUACACCAAGAAUGGACUUUUCCACCAGGCAAAACAAUAAAUUGCUGAUGAACUAAACAAUCUAAAAAAAUCUAUGACAACUUUAAUGAAGGAAAAAAAAAUCUAUGACAAUUUGAAGCAGAUGGCAAAUCAAACAUUAAAUAAUGAAUUAAAAACAAUAAACUGAAAAAUAAAGUUGAAUUGGCACUAAACAAUGGCUUAAAAACAGUGCAUCACCUUUUGAAUUAAGGGAGGAAACCGAAAAAUCAAACUCUCUCAUACCUCCCUCAGUCACCCCUUCCUGACCGGCUAACCCCACAAACUGCACACAACCAUGCCUUCCCCCCUCCCUCUCUCUCUAAAAUUGGAGGAAAUCCCAUAGGUUAUGGCAGAGGACCUAGCUAAAUCUCUCUCACUGAGUCGAAACCCCUAGCUCCCAUCUCUCUCCAAUCUGUCAGUCCCUCUGUCCUCCUCCCUCCAAUGACGCUUCGACCGAAGCACAACCAUCUCUCCAAACAAAGAAGAAAAAAAUCUGAAUAGAACCUUAUUAAAAAAAAGAAUACCACCUAAUGAGGUUAAGACACGUGGACAAAGCGAUGCUCCUGGGGGAAAGGAGGAAGUGUGGUGUAUAUUGCCUGGGUGGUAGAACCACGAACUCGAUGGGUUGUUUCUGGAAACGAGCGCGCUGACCAGUUUUCAGGUUGUAGAUAAUGAUGAGGGAGAAAUCCUGUUGGUCGAGACGAGGGUAUGUCGAGACCCUUGUCUGAAGCUAAAUGACGAUUUUUAGCUUGCAACAGCUGCACAUGCAUUGGCUGUAUAUUGUGAAUCCAGACAUAACUGAUUCAGGGUGUGCAUGCUGGUAUGUGUUUGAAGGCGUAUUUUGGGAUGGAUGCAAGGAUUUUUGCAUGGUACAUUCGCCAAGGUGGAAAAUCGUUGAGAUUUGGCUCAUAUAUUUGUCAUUAGUUAAAAACAGCUUAAAAAUGUAUUUGGUACUGAGGUGCUUUUAUAAAAAGUGGAUAUAAAAAAAAAACUAAACUCAAAAAAUGGUGUUUGGUAAACACUUAAAAACAGCCUAUUUUCACAGUUUUGGAUAAAAAAAAAGCUGAAAAUGUGAAAUAGCAAAAAUGAGUUUAUUCUCACAUCACAACAAAAACAGUUUUUUUUUUCAAAGCACAGCAAUAUCAAACCAGCCUAUGUGUCAUGUGCAUUGAACAAUUGAAGACCAACUUGUGUUGGUGUACGCGUAAGCCUUCAAUGAGAAGACAUGAUUGUAUGCCUUCAAACAAAAGGUAGCAGCUGCGUUUGACUUGCAUACGAAAAUGCAUGCCGUGGAUUUAUUAUUAGAGCUAUGUAAUAAUGGGAGCUGUUGUGUGUUAAAGUGGUUAGUUCGUAACUUCAUUUAAUCUUAUAGGAAGGGGAGUCUUCACUUUGUAGUAAAUGCAUGUCGGCUUGGUGGGUGCAUCGAAGGUGAAUAACUCAAGGCUUCUAUUUAUACAACUGUAGGCCAUGCAUAACAGUAUGUUUGGUUGAGUUAGAGAAACAUUUAGGGGAUUGGGUCUAGGUGGUUAAAUGAGGUCAAUAUCGACACAUGACAGUUUUAGUAAUGGACACUUACAAAGACCGUGACACAACACACUAUAUCUCCUCAAUCGCUCUCUCACUUUGUCCGGUAGAGCCAUAUAAAUCAAACAAAAAUAAGAAAAAUUAAACUCCCCCGCAACUUUCCAAUGAAAUUUUUACACGAAACGCGAUCGACUCGAACCAAGUGGUGUGAGAUUUGUCCAAAUGUUUGAUGAUUUGGGUGGGGUCGCUUCUCAUCUAUCAUUCACCCCUCCAUAUAUAUUCAUACCCCCCAAUUUAGAUGAUUUGGGAUCUUGGAUUAGCAAUAGUUUCCAAAUGGGUGGCGCUAUACACACUAUUUUUUUACUUUCUACAUAGCAUUUGUUCAUUUAUUUUUUUUCAAUUCAUUUGAUUCGAUGUUCAAAAAUUAAGAAGGAUGUGUAAGAAGUAAAAACGAGUAUGUGAACGACAUCACCAUUUCAAAUAAAGAGAAUUGAUUGGAGAGAGAGACGGAAGGAUGUUGGAAGAGCGAGGGAGAAAGGGACGGUUAGAUUUUGGAAUUAUGACAUAAAAAUAUUAAUAAUAGUAAAAGUUAAUUAGAGUCAUGUGGACUACGGAGAACAGGUGUCAAGCUGAAGGUGUGUAGGUUACAAACAUCAUGUUUAAGUUCGGGGCAUUUUUACUCACCUUUCUCGAGUAAUAGUAAUGCUCACCACUUCAUUAUACAUAUUUUUUCUAUAUAAAAGAAAAAAAAAAGGUUAUGAACAUAACCAUUACUUGAUAGCAUUGAAUAAAAAUAUUCUCAAGCAAAAAUGCUCCUGAGAAAAAGAGAAGCCCAUCAUCUUUAACUGAUACCCCCAAAACGUCAAAUUUGUAAAUGAAGAGGUUUUUUCAAUUUUACUUUGUUCAUGCAGAUUGAUUUUUCCUCUAUUCAAAUCUGAAUUAAAUAAUUUCAUUUUUAAACAAUCGAUGUUAGGAGAGGGGGCUCGGCAUGCUUUUAGCACUUAGAGUUACAAGUCCUUUUAAUAAUUGAAUUGUCUUUUUUCUUAAUUAUUAUUUUUUUAUAAUGAUAUUAUCGGCGUAAGAUCAAGGUUAUAUCAUAUAUAAUUAGCCAGCCAUAACUGACAUAGAAUUAGAGUCAAAUUUAAAAUUUUUUACUUAUAAGUAGAGAAAAUAUCACUAGUACAAAAACAUGUUUGCGCGACGAAAACUUGCGCGACGCAUAAAAUUACGUCGCGCAAAGCCGUUUUGCGCGACGUAGGUGUACUUACGUCGCGCAAAACGACUUUGCGCGACGUUAGUUUGCGCGACGAAGGACUACGUCGCGCAAAGCCGUUUUGCGCGACGUAGUCCUUCGUCGCGCAAACUUUUGGCGCCAAACCCUAAGAAAUUACCGCUUUUUCCCAUCUUUGCGCGAUGUAGGUUUACGUCUUAGAAAGUGAGCCAAAAUCUCGCAAGAAUCAGGCUGCACACGAGCGGAUCCAAAGGCCAAACCUCCGAUCUUGAAGUCGACACACCCAGAGGUAAAAAUUUCUCAUCCUCUCUCUUCGAUUUCAGAAUACUGUUAUAGUUGGAGCCCCGACCCUCAUUUUGAAAUUAAUCAGUGAGAUUUGAUGAAAAAAGGAAUAUUAAUCACUGAGAUUAGAUGAAAAGGUUACUUCUGAAUGCAAUAAUGUUACUUGUUUCUCAAAAUAGAAUCACUGAGAUUAGAUGAAAAGGUGGUUUAGUUAGAAGAGUUGGAUUAUAGAAGCGAAUAUGCUUUCUUUGCUGAAAAGCUGGUCACUGAGAUUAGAUGAAAAGGUGGUUUAGUUAGAAGAGUUCGAUUUCAGAAUACUGUUAUGAGGGUAGCUAUCGUAUUGUUCUGCACUCUAGUAGUUUUAACUUUUAACUUUUAAUUCCUUUAUUUUCUCCAAUUAAUCCAUGGAUUUGCAUAAAGGAUUCAAAAUUUUGUAUCCGAAGUUUGUUUAGUUUUUGUUAGUCUUAUUAUUGCAGGCACUAUUAUGGUCUUGCCUAACUAUUGAAUUUUAGUAUUCAAAGUGGAGCAGUUGGUUCAUUAUGCCUCUUCCAUGUCAUUGCUUGGAUCCUAAAUCUUCCAAUUUGUUGUAGCGUCCUUCUACCAGAAUAGUUUUCCCGGUGUUCUCAAUUACUGACCUUUUUUUUGGCUUUGCAGGAUCAUAUCAUAUGGACGUCUGGCUUUUGGUUGGUCUUGAUCCUAACUUUCUUUGGCAAGCUAGGAGUAACUUUUUCUUUUUUUUUUCCUAUUCCGUUUUCAAUGACCCUAAUUUUUGCCUACUUUGCUUAAAGAAGACUAUACAAUUGUUUGUCCUAAAUCCUGAAAGGUCGCUAAAAUUUAAAUACUCGUCUACAUUUCUUAAAACAUGAUUUAAUGGAUGGAAGGUUAGAGGUGGUAAAAGGUGCAAAAUAGUAGUUUUAAUUCAUUCUUGUGUUUCCAGAUUGCAGCAGUCUCCUAAUCUAUUGGCUUUCGGUUCGCUGGUAAUGUGAUGUUGUCUCUGUCUUGGCUUGAAGUAUCUCACUCGUAUGUAUUCAAUCUGAAAAGGUAAUCCUAACUCUUGUUAUUGUUUUCAACAACCCAACUUUUGCCAAUUUUUGCUUUAGAGUGCUGCUUCUGUAUUGUAUUGGUAUUAAGCUGUUAAAGUUUAUUUAUUUGAACUGAGGUAUUCUAUUUUGUUCUUUGGUUUUGUGCAGGGAGAGCUUGUGCGUGCUUUAGGAGGAGCUGUGGCAUCCACAUCUCUUCUUGGAGUUCCUCUUGGACAUAACUCCUCGUUUCUUCAAGGGCCGACCUUUGCACCUCCAAGGAUUAGAGAGGCUAUCUGGUGUGGGAGCACCAACUCAACAACUGAAGAAGGUAUCUAAUUAUCUCAAUUAGUAGCAAACUUUUGCUUCUCAAAACAUUCAGUUUCGAGAAGAUUGGCUGCCCUGCUCGUGUUCUCAUUAGAACCCCACUCUUGAGAUCUUUCAGAAUAUAAACAUUAUGUUUGCUUCCUAACAAAUUAAGAUUCUAGUUAUUAUUGUAAACCGACAAACUUUAUCAAUAUCUUAUAAACUAGUUGUCAAUUAUUCUGAUAGCAAGAAAGCUCGGAACUCAAAGACACUUCUCCACCAUUCCGGUUCGAAGCCCUUUUCGUAUAGGGUUGAGGCACGACGUGAGGUAAAAGUAUAUUAAUUUUGAAAUUUUAUACAAUUUAUUUUUUAUUAUUGAUUAAUAAAUUUUUCUUAAUGUUUUUUUUUUCUUUAGGAGGGUUCUAAGUUCCCACAGAUUGACCUGUUCAAGCAGGUUUACGUUCAUCCCAACAAUGAGAACAGUGACCAGCUUUAUGUAAGUAUAUGUAAUUGUUAUUUUUCUUAUUUUUAUGAAUCAUUCAAAUAUUAUUUAUAUUUUGUUAUUAAACAUUAUAUGUUUUUUCUUUAUUAUUACAGGGUGAUAUGGUGGAAAAGAGCACUGCUAUUCUCCAAGAAGCAACAUCACAGCUUCCCCCGGAGACCCCGAUUGAGGACAUCAUUGUACCCAAGGAUGCAGAUGUUCAGAUCGUGACUGAGGUCCUGGAUCAGAAGUUCGGUCGUCGUCAUGGUAAGGUUGUUCGGUGUACGGGGAAGGCGGGGGUUCGUGAAACGGGUGCCUCUUCUUCCAGAUUGUCCACAGGAGAGGUCAAAUUCCUUGAAGGAGGAAGUGACAACCCUAAGAGGUCAGGUUGCGGCCCAGGGCGAGAGGAUGAAUAUGAUUCUUCAGGCCUUAGCGAUGUCCGGCCUCCAAAUCCCGACGAUGCCAGCACCUAAUGUUGCUCCACCUUGGACUUCCCAGCCAUUUCGCCCAGACGAUACCGAGUAGCAUGAUGUAUUAAACUUAGAAGACUUGUAGUUUUUUAUUUUUUUGUUCGGACAAACGUACAUUUUCAUAUAUUCUAUAAUUAAUUACUUUUUCUUGGUUUAUUAAUUAUUGUUUAGCAUUUAAUUAUAAUAUUCAAUAAUUUAAUUAUAAUAUUUAUUAAAAAUUAAAUAAAAAAAUAUAAAUGACACAAAAAAAAAAAACUUUACGCGACGCAGGACCUCCUUACGUCGCGCAAAGUAGCUUUGCGCGACGUAGGGAGGUCCUGCGUCGCGCAAACCCUUCCUUCACUGCCUUCGCGCGACAGUUCUUGCGCGACGAAGGUUCGUUUCGCUAAUUUUUGGGCGACGUAUUUUUGACUUUGCGCGACGAAGGUCCUACGUCGCGCAAAGUCUUUUUGUACUAGUGUAUUAUUAGAAGGAAGCAAGGUUCUAAAAGUCGCUAGGCGCUAGUCGGGCGGCGGGCUGGGGCUUAGCGCCUAGGCGGCUAGGCGGACUAGGUGAAUUUAAGUAAAUCUAUCAUAUUUCAGGUAAAUAAGUGUCUGCUUCUACUUGAAAUAUAUAUAAUUUCAUCAUACAAAAUAGAAUGCAUAUAUAUCAUGAAGUAUUAGAACAUAAUGAAUACAUGUGAAAUAAGGAUAUAAUGUUUGUUCAUUCAAGUAUGCAACAAGUCUCUUACAAUUUAUUGGAAAAAAAACAAAAUGCAAAAUGAAAGUUAUGUAUUUUCUGUCUAAGUGAGUUGCAACCUAGGCGGAUCUAGGCGGGUGCCUAGGUGGGUUAGGCGGGUGUCUAGGUGGUCUAGGUGGUGGGCUGGGGCUUAUGCAUUAAUCGGGGUGGUGGGCUGGGGCCUAGCGCCUAGGCGGGGCCUAGGCGGAGCUAGGCGGGGAUUUUUAGAACAGUGGAAGGAUGGGCUAAUGAAAUUUAUGAUUGAAUCUUUACAUUUGCAUUAUAGUCAGUCACCCUUUUGUGAGUAUGACCUGAGUAGGAAAAUGAUUGAUGAAUUUUCGUGAAAAACGCAUACUAUACACGUGCGUACUUUUCAAAAAGCUAUGCAUUAUUGUUUGCUGAAUUUUAUCAGUAAAUGUUGGUUUGUUAGGGCUUCCCCACCCGCUUUUACCAAAAACAGAAAAGAGAAACAAAAAUAUAUCGUCCUUCUUCUUGAUCUUCUCUGGUAGCAUGAUUAUAUCCCACCUCCUCUUCUUCAUCAACACUUAAGACUAACACCCGUUCAGAUCCUUAUAAAUUUGAUCAUGGUGGAGAGGAACUAUAAUUAUCAAGUUGAGGUUGCGAGUGAGCAAAAUUUGAUUUGUGAAAUCGUCCAUUUCACAGUGUCUUUUUGAAGAAACUAGUUUGGGACUUUCGUCCAACGGCUUGCCGGCAGAAAGAAAACUCAGCAGCUUUCGGCAUCUUACAGUACACAACACUGGUAUGUGCGAGGUACCUCCAAGCUCUCCUGUUGUUAAAACAUAGCUCUGCUUGUACCAUUGACUUUGUAUCCUUUUGGCUUUUUUUAUUUUUAAUUUUCCGUUCUGUGUUUUCCUAUGAAAUUUGUGUUGGGUCUUUAAGGCCAUCUAUAACCGAGGGCUAGCCAGAGGGCUCGUUUUAGCCCUCUGGCCCUCCAAGAUUCCCCAAGAUAUUAAUAUUUUAAUGAACAGUACAUGGCUAUAUUUGCCUCCGUCUCCAACCAAGGGCCAAAGGCCACAUGGCUCGUUUUAGCCCUGUCACAAAAAACCGUCUCCAACCGAGAGCCAAAGGGCCAUAGGGCUAAACAUAAUUUAUUAUUUAAAAACUACAAUUUAAAUUCAAAUCCAACGGCUUAGUGACGUCAACAUGACGUCAGCUAGCCGUUGGAUUUGAAUUUUUUUUUUGCUAUAAAUAGGGUGGAUAUUGGGCUAUAAUUCACAUAACUUUGAAUUCAAUCUAUUUCAAUUCAAUCUCUUGCAAUUCAAUCUCUUUCAAUUCAAGUUUGCAAUAAAUUCCAACUUUGGAUCCUCAUCCAAUUCCAAUUGGGGGUCCUCAUCCAAUUCCAAAUUGGAAGCAAAAUGGGCGCAAAUGAGACAAGAAGAUGAGGAGUCUGAUGAAGAAGUUCAAGUAAGGCGCAACAAACAAAACAUGGCAGCAGCUAUGGCUGCGGCCAUGGUGUGUCAGUCAACUGAGGAACAACCUCAAUGGGGUGGCUCUGUUGCUGGUCACUCUUACAAACCACGAAACAGAGCGAUGGCGCAUGCCAAUUUGAUGAACAAUUACUUCAACCCUAACUCGGUGUACACAGAAGAGGAUUUCAGACGUCGCUUCCGGAUGAGGCGUCAUGUCUUCGAGCGUUUACUUCGUGAUGUCCAGCAAGUCAAUCCAUACUUUCGACAGAAGCGGGAUAGAGCAGGCUGCCCUGGUUUCUCACCUCAUCAGAAGGUUACUGUUGCACUCCGAAUGAUAGCCUAUGGCUCCUUAGCUGAUUUGAUGGAUGAAACCCAUGGUAUGUCUGAGUCUACAUACCUUAAUACUCUUGAAGAAUUUUGUGACACAAUUGUUCAAGUUUACAAAGACAAGUACCUCCGAGAACCAAAUGAAGAAGAUCUGAAUCGGCUUCUUCGCAAAGCUGAAGACCGUGGGUUUCCAGGCAUAAUAGGGUCAUUAGACUGCAUGCAUUGGGAUUGGAAGAACUGUCCCACUGGAUGGCAAGGAGGCUUUAGCGGAAGGUCGAGAAAGCCAACUGUUGUGUUAGAGGCAGUUGCCUCAUAUGACACAUGGAUGUGGCAUGCUUUCUUUGGAGUCCCUGAAUCCCAAAAUGACAUUACAGUUCUUGGGCGUUCACCCCUCUUCAAUAACUUGACGGAAGGUAAAGCACCUCAACUUGACUACUACAUCAACGGCCGUGAAUACAGUAUGGGGUAUUACUUGGCAGAUAACAUCUACCCAAAGUGGGCGACACUUGUCCAAGCAAUUCCAAACCCUAGGAAUGACGCAGAAAAGUUGUUUACCUUACACCAAGAGGCAUACCGGAAAGAUGUUGAGAGAGCUUUCAGUAUUCUACAAGCACGGUGGAAGAUCAUCAGCGAACCGGCAAGAGGGUGGAGUCAAGAAAAUUUGAACUCCAUCAUGAUGUCUUGCAUCAUAUUACACAAUAUGAUAGUGGAGGAUGAGCGAGAUGGGUAUAUUGAUGGAGAGUCCGAUGUCGACCAAGAAGAUCCAAAUAGGUCAAGAAGGGCUCUAGCAAAAAUAUAUGAUGGGCCUAAUUUGUCUUUCAAUCCAAGAACUGAUAGUAUCUCUAUAAAUGAGUACAUGAGGCGAUAUAGAAUGAUACGUUCUCGUGCCACAAAUAAGUACCUACAACAAGAUCUUGUUGCACAUCUUUGGGCCAAAAGAAGCAUGGAGUAGGCUCUUAAGUUUUAUGUUGUUAAAUGUUUUUAAAAAUGUUGCUUAAGUUUCAUGUUGUAUAAUUUGUAUGUUGGUUAAUGUUAUUUAAUGUUGUUUCAUAUUGUUUAAUGUUGUUUCAUGUUACUUAAUUUAAUUUAAUGUUGUAUAAUGGCCUAGGAAGUUAUAGGAAAAAAAUAGAAUUAAAAAAAGAUGUGAAACAAAUUUUGUGAAAUAGAAGUUAUAGGAAAAAAAUGGAAUUUAAAAAAAUAUGAAACAAAUUUUGUAAAAUAGAAGUUAUAUGAAAAAAAAAAGUAUGAAUCAAAUUUUGUAAAAUAGAAGUUCUAGGAAAAAAAAUAGAGUUUAAAAAAAAAUUGAAACAAAUUUUGUGAAAUAGAAGUUAUAGGAAAAAAAUGGAAUUUAAAAAAAAAUAUGAAACAAAUUUUGUAAAAUAGAAGUUAUAGGAAAAAAAAUAGAAUUUUAAAAAAAAUUGAAACAAAUUUUGUAAAAUAGAAUUGAAAAAAUAUAUGAAACAAAAUUUGAUUCAUAUGAAAAGGAAAAAAAAGGGAAAAAAAGAAGUUUAAAUUCAUAUAAAAAAACAAGUUAAUACAAUAGCUACUAGCCGUUAUAUUAAAAAAAAUUCAAACUAUUAGUGUCGGUUAUAACCGACACUAAUAGUAAUUCAAAAAAAAAAAGCCUUUGAAUAAUUAUUACUGUCGGUUAUAACCGACAGUAUUAAAAAAUCCUUCUUUAAUGAUGUCGAUUAUAACCGACAGCAAUGAGAAAACUAUAAAAAAAAAAAAAUAGCCAGCUCGGGGCUGGCUGGCUGACCGAAAGCAACCAGCCCUUUGGCCCUUUGAAAUUCUGUGGGGCCUUCCCAGAUUCCCGAGCCCUCUGGCCUAGCCCUAGGUUGGAGACGGUUUUAGGGCUAUUUUCAGCCCUCUGGCCCUCUGGACCCUUCGGUUAGAGAUGGCCUAACUCACACUCACCACCGCCAUGCUGUGACCUGAUCGUCACACUCAAAAAUUCCUUUGAGCCACUUGGUCAUUUUCUUUUGUUUAUGAAAUUUAGAGAGACAAGCAAAAAUGUCAUAAAUUAUUUGGUGGUUAAGAGUCCCUAAAUGAGCUCCUCACUAAAAUUUAGAGAAACAAGCAAAAAUGUAUGCGUUCCAUUGUGGUUUUAGAAAUCGUAACGCACAAUUUAACACAUGCAUUUUAAAAUUAUUUAGAAAUCAAUUAAAACGACUAAAUCCGCAUGGUAAAAUAAGUCUUUCAGUUCCAUCUAUGUUCUAUUAAAUUUAUAUUAAUAGCUUAUGUACCAUCGCAAUCGCAAAUUUCUAAGUCCUAACUAUUACAAGUUACAUGAUUUUUUAAUAUGGAUUUGAGAAUGUGGUUGUUUAAUUGUCCCUAAGGUGUAGUAGUAGUUGUUAAUUGGAAAACAACAACAAAAAAAACCCCCUAAAAGACCUAAAUUACUGCAGAUUAACAUGAGUACAAAAAAAAGGAAUUUUUUUUUUUAUAUAUAUAUACACACAUGUUGUAAACAUUCCUAGUUUAAGUAUGAUUGUGUAAAUCCUAGAUAAGAUUUGAUUCUAGUUAUCCUUUCCUAUUACAACUUGUAUUACUUGGAGAAGAAGGAAUAUCUUCUCUCCCUUUACUACUAUAAAUAAAGGCACAAUGUAGGAGGGAUAACAACACACACAUUCCCCUACAAUUCUACAAACACACAUCUCUCUCCUCUUUCUCUCUGCCGCCGGCCCUAGUCCAUCUGUCAGAUAAAAUAGACCACAACACGUUAUCAGCACGCUCCUACCGCUGCGCUUAGGAAUCUGACGUUGGAGAUUUUUUCUGCAUCAAACCAGUUCAUCCAUAUCAUCACGCAAUCAGGUUCUUUCCAAACAACGGCUUUUAACUCGAUAUUUUGCAAGCCCUGAUAGCAUGAACAUUCACCAUGAUGCAUGACCCAACUUUACAUUUUACGUAUUUUAGAUUCUACAUAAAUUGUGUAUGCUUCAUAAUCAAAAUUGCUACAAUUAUGUGAAUUUGAUAUUUGCCAUGAAUUGAAUCCUACAUAUGUACAUGCAUUGAAACUAUUAUUUGCAUAUCCAUCAACGUAAAUAUGUGAUUCAUUGAAUUAUAUAUGCAUCUAAUUAAAAAAAAAAAAAAUUAUGGGCUCGCCUGGAAAGGCCCGAAAAAAAAAAAAAAAAAAAAUUUAGGGCUGCACACAGCAGCCCAUUCCCCUCUUCUCACCCCGUGGGCCUGUAAUCCCACCCGAGGGUUCUUGGCUUAUACUUUUAGGCCCCGAGAUUUUAUUAUUUAAUAUUUUUUUAAAUAUGGGUUUUUAUAUUUUCACCCACAUUUUAAUUUGGCCCCGAAGACCAAAAAUAAAUUAAUCAUUAUACAAUAUUUCUGCAUAUAUUAUUUGUUUGCAUAUAUAUUUGUGUUUGCCUGCAGGAAUAUAUGAACCUGAAGUUCAUAAUUACUUUGAAACCCGAAGUUUUCACUUAAAUAUAUCACCCAUGAAAACCCGAAGUUUUUCAUGCAAAAUUAAACCAAUACAUGUCUAUUAGAACCUGUAUGUUCUACUCCUAUGUGAAUGGAUUGAUUUUUCUCCAUUACACUAACCACAUCUUGUUCAUCCAUUUUGUGAUAGGAACAUGUCGAAUUUGAACAAACUCGACUUCACCGCUUUGGAGGUUUCUGGAAGGAACUACCUCAAGUGGGUUCAAGAUGUGAAGCUCCACCUCACUGCAAAGAACUUGCGUCCUGCUAUUGAAGAAGCAACAGAUAAACCUGUUGGCGAGGCUGAAAAAGCCACUGCUAUGAUCUUCAUCCGAAGACAUAUCCAUGACGCUCUGCAAACUGAGUACCUUGCUGAGGAGGAUCCACGUGCAUUAUGGGUCGCUUUGGCUGAUCGUUUCGAUCACCAAAAGGACAUAUUCUUGCCUGAAGCAAGACACGACUGGCAGCACUUGCGCUUCCAAGACUUUAAGUCUGUGAAUGAAUAUAAUUCUGAAGUUUGUCGAAUCCGAUCACUUCUCAAGUUUUGCAAUGAAACUUUGACUGAAGAGGAUCUCCUGGAGAAGACCUACUCGACCUUCUCUGCUUCUAAUAUUGUCCUGCAGCAACAAUAUAGAGCUCAGAUGUUCACUAAGUUCUCGGAUUUGAUCUCUGUUUUACUUCUUGCUGAAAAGCAGAACCAGCUGUUGAUGAAGAAUCAUCAAGCUCGACCUACUGGGGCUACUGUUGUGCCUGAAGCACAUUAUAGCACUAAUCAGCACCCAAAACGCCAAAAGAGGCGUGGUAAGGGCGGCCAGAAGCCAUCCCACCAAGGUCAACAGAGCCAAGGCCCAUCCAAGGGAGGAAACAAAGCCCAGAAGCGCCCAAACCUCGCUCCCAAGGCCCCGAACUUCAAGAAUAAGGGCAAAGCACCUACCACAAUGAAUGACGAUAUGUGCUAUCGUUGUGGUUCCAAGGACCAUUGGUCCCGUAUUUUCCGUGCUCCCAAGAAGGUUGUGGAUGCAUAUCAUUCUCGUCGUACGAAGUUUGAAUCAAACUUCCUGCAAGUGGACGAACCGGAGACUACAAAGAUGGAGGUUUCUGAUUUUCAGGAGGAUACCACUCCUAUGGAAGAUUAGAAUCUUAGACAUAGACUUAUUUUUCAGUUAAAAUAAGACAAUUGGGGCCGAAUUCCACCUUGUGGCCGAACCCCACCUUGUUUUUUUUGGUUGAUUUUGAACAAUUUUCCUUUAUGUUUUGGAUUACUAGUUGGCGAUUUAUUUUGGAUAUUAAGUUUUUAAUCCUUGAAAAAAUGAAAUUAUUUUGAAUUGAUACUUGUUUUUAUAAACUUUUAUGCAUGUGACCGAUUCAAAUUAAUUUUUCAUUCUAGGUAUGACUAGUGGGAAAGUUAGUUGUCUGGCAGAUAGUGCAACCACGCAUACUGUUUUGCGUGAACGCAUCUAUUUCACUAACUUCGUACCUAAAAAUGCACCUCUGACAACCCUCUCAGGCCCAUCCAACCUGAUCGAAGGAUACGGUAAGGCACGUAUAAUGUUGUCCAAUGGUACAAUCUUGACCAUUGCUGAGGCACUCUAUUCUCCACGUUCCGGAAGAACGUUACUAAGUUUCAAGGACAUUAGAGAUAACAAUUACCACGCUGAAACCCACGUAGAAAACGCAGUUGAAUUUCUGUGCGUAACUUCCUACGAAUAUGGCCAGAAGCGUAUUCUAGAGAAGAUGGAGCGUAACCCGAGUGGUCUGUAUACUACGACCAUACGCCCCAUAGAAUGCCACUAUGUGGCCGGCCCUACCAUAGGGACCGCGCACGAAAUUACACUUUGGCAUGAUCGUUUGGGACAUCCUGGACGAAUAGCGAUGCGCCGUAUCCUCAAAACUUCACACGGGCAUCCACUAACCCGAAGCUUAGGUUCGAUCCAUGAAAUUGCAUGCCAAACAUGUUCUAUGGGAAAGCUUAUUACUAAGCCUUCUUAUGACAAGAUUCGUUCGAAUCCUCCAAUUUUUCUACAACGGAUUCAGGGGGACAUUUGUGGACCGAUUCAACCUCCUUGCGGACCAUUUAGAUAUUUUAUGGUUUUGGUUGACGCUUCUACACGUUGGUCACACGUGUGCUUGUUGUCCACAAGGAACGCUGCAUUCUCCAAACUGUUGGCUCAGGUUAUCAAGCUCAGGGCUCACCACCCUGAUUAUCCGAUCAAAUCUAUUCGAUUGGAUAAUGCUGGAGAAUUCACAUCUAAAACUUUUGAUGACUAUUGCAUGUCGGUUGGGGUUGAAGUUGAACAUCCUGUACCCCAUGUUCACACCCAGAACGGCCUGGCAGAGGCUUUCAUUAAGCGUUUACAAAUGAUUGCUCGAUCGUUGGUCAUACGUACCAAGCUCCCGAUCGCUGCUUGGGGCCAUGCAAUAUUGCACGCAGCAAAGUUGGUCCGCCUGAGGCCUGUUGCGACACAAACCAUUUAGUGCCCUUCAGUUGGUCACCGGAUGCGAACCCGACAUAUCGCAUCUGCGCGUUUUUGGUUGUGCGGUCUAUGUGCCGAUCUCGCCGCCCUUACGUACAAAAAUGGGGCCUCAGCGAAGGAUGGGAAUCUAUGUCGGAUAUGAUUCUCCUUUGAUUAUUCGUUACUUAGAACCUUUGACAGGCGAUCUGUUUACCGCUCGUUUCGCGGAUUGUCACUUCUAUGAGACAGUCUUCCCGUCGUUAGGGGGAGAUAAGAACGUCAACGUUCCUAAUGAACGACGCGAAUUAUCGUGGACGACUCCCACUUUGUCUCAUUUAGAUCCCCGCACCGCUUAGUCUAAAGCUGAAAUGCAGCGCAUAUUAGAUCUCCAGAGCAUAGCUCAAAGCAUGCCAGAUGCUUUCACCGAUCUAGCGCGCGUGACAAGAUCACAUAUUCCAGCUGCGAAUACGCCUGCAAAGAUGGAUGUACCAAAUGUACGACGGACUACCCUCCUGGAAGCCCGGGACGCCAAUUCUGGUGAUCCACGUACAUUAGCGGCUAGCCAAUCAUCUGCCCCUACACAAAAGCGUGGCAGACCUCUUGGUUCAAAGGAUUCACACCCCCGGAAGAGGAAAACCACGGCACAAGGUCCUGAAGAGCCUACCGUGAAUCCGACUAUCGCUUACUCAUUUUACCCAACUCAUGAGGAAAUUCUAGAUUAUGGAAGCGUCCUUGAAGAGACGAAUCCUCCUCCCGAGAAUCGUGAGAUUUCGGUCUAUUAUGCUAGCUUAGAUGAUGUGUGGCGUAGAAAUGAGAUGAUUGUCGACGAUGCAUUAGCAUUUGCAGUAGCUACUGAGAUCAUGUUGAGCGAUGACAUUGAACCGCGUUCCGUUGAUGAAUGUCGACGUAGAGCUGAUUGGUCAAACUGGAAACAAGCAAUCCAAGUCGAACUUGAUUCACUUGCGAAACGUAAGGUGUUUGGACCUGUAGUUCCUACUCCUCCACAUGUGAAGCCCGUUGGCUACAAGUGGGUUUUCGUUCGGAAGCGUAAUGAGAAGAACGAAAUUGUGCGUUACAAAGCUCGUCUUGUAGCACAAGGUUUCUCACAACGCCCCGGGAUUGACUAUGACGAAACUUACUCACCCGUUAUGGAUGUGAUUACUUUUCGAUACCUUAUCAGUUUGGUAGUUUCCGAAAAACUGGAUAUGCAGCUGAUGGACGUAGUAACCGCGUAUCUCUAUGGGGAUCUUGAUACGGAAAUUUAUAUGAAAGUUCCCGAAGGACUUACAUUGACUAGUUCAAAUAUUUCCAAACCCCGGAACACGCUCUCAAUUCGGCUGAGGCGUUCACUAUACGGUUUGAAACAAUCCGGAAGAAUGUGGUAUAACCGUUUAAGUGAGUAUUUGACUAGUCAGGGAUAUGUGAAUAACGAACUAUGCCCUUGUGUGUUCAUUAAGAAGUCACAUUCCGGAUUUGCGAUUGUUGCAGUAUAUGUCGAUGACAUGAAUCUCAUCGGAACUCCUGAAGAGCUCGCGAGAACUGCUUCGCACCUGAAGUCGGAAUUUGAGAUGAAAGAUCUAGGUAAGACUCGAUACUGUCUCGGCCUCGAGAUAGAGCAUUGUUCGGAUGGAAUCCUAGUACAUCAAUCGAACUACACCAGAAGGUGUUGCGCCGUUUUAAUGAGGAUAAAGCGAAGUCUUCGAGUACUCCUAUGGUCGUUCGUACGCUAGAUGCAAAGCGAGAUCCCUUCCGUCCGAAGGAGGAUGAUGAAGAGAUUUUGGAGCCUGAAGUUCCUUAUCUAAGUGCGAUAGGCGCUUUAUUGUACUUAGCUCAAUGCACUAGACCCGACAUCUCCUUCGCUGUUAAUCUUUUGGCAAGAUUCAGCAAUGCACCAACACGCAGACAUUGGACUGGCGUGAAAGACAUCUUCCGUUACCUUAGGGGUACUACGGAUUUGGGCUUAUUCUAUCCCUACGAAUCCUCGAGUGAUGCCGCACCCUAUGCUCAUCGGGUUGAUUCUCGCCUUGUUGGUUAUGCUGACGCUGGAUACUUAUCUGAUCCGCACAAGGCGCGUUCUCAAACGGGUUAUGUCUUUACCGUUGGAGGCACCGCAAUAUCUUAGAGGUCAACUAAACAGACCUUAGUUGCCACUUCGUCUAACCAUGCUGAAAUUCUCGCCUUACAUGAAGCAACUCGGGAAUGCUUUUGGUUGAGAGCAGUAGUGGGCCAUAUUCGAAGCUCCUGUGAUCUUCAUCCCGCCGUUAUUGCCCCGACGACGAUUUUUGAAGACAACGCAGCUUGCAUCGAACAGCUCAAGAAGGGUUAUAUCAAAGGAGACAACACCAAGCAUAUUGCGCCGAAGUUCUUCUUUACACAUCAACAACAAGAGCAUCAGAAGAUUGAAGUCACGCAAAUCCGAUCACAAGACAAUCUGGCCGACCUCUUCACCAAAUCACUACCGAUGGCGACGUUUCAGAAGCUUGUUCAUGGAAUUGGUAUGCGUAAACUUUCUGAGUUGUAACUUUGCUAUUUCUCUUUGGAAUUAUGUCAAACUCAGGGGGAGUAUCUUCUGGAUACUUGCUUGAUCUUAAUGUACUCUUUUUCCCUACGAUUAGGAGCAUUUUUCCCACUGGGUUUUUGCUACCUAACUAGGUUUUAACGAGGCACCCACCUUGGGCUGGUCAUAUCCCUGAUGACGUCCUGUAGACGUUUCUUUUGACUUUGCAUUUCUCACGCAUUUUUCCUUAGACUAUGGAUUUUGUCCCUACUUGGGUUUUUGCCAUAGCCUUAGGGUUUUUAGUGAGACUUACUACUUAUGCAAGUUCCUACCUUAUUGAGAAUAAGCGUUGUUCCUUGGAAUCAGUGCCAACGAGUCGACUUCCUCAACUUCUGCAUGAUGGUGAAUCUACCUUGAGUAUUUACACACUCAAGGGGGAGUGUUGUAAACAUUUCUAGUUUAAGUAUGAUUGUGUAAAUCCUAGAUAAGAUUUGAUUCUAGUUAUCCUUUCCUAUUACAACUUGUAUUACUUGGAGAAGAAGGAAUAUCUUCUCUCCCUUUACUACUAUAAAUAAAGGCACAAUGUAGGAGGGAUAACAACACACACAUUCCCCUACAAUUCUACAAACACACAUCUCUCUCCUCUCUCUCUCUGACGCCGGCCCUAGUCCAUCUGUCAGAUAAAAUAGACCACAACAACACACACAUAAUUUGAUCAGACGAGAGCCCAACCUUCAUAAAUCUAUCAAACACAUGGUGCUAUAUACCGAUUGCUAUUGGUGGAAAUCGAUAUAUCUAGAUUUAGAAUGGAUACACUGAAAUAGAAUUGAAGCUUCAACUCAAUGAGCAAAAUUGAGAUAUGGUAAUCAAAUUUUUUAAGUUCAAAUUCCUCCCGAGGUGCCAGCAUAACUAAGAAGCUACUUUUUCACAAAUAAAGUAUUCUUCAGCACAAUCUGCAGGGUAAUACAGUUUUCCAUACCAUAUGCUAAUUUCCUUAAUGUAAAAAAAAAUUAUAAGAAUAUUAAGUAACAUAAACCUAAUCUCUACCAAAGAUUAUAAGAAUAUUUGAAUAAAAUAAAACUAAAUUAUAGCUACAUUGAAGUAUACAGUGAAAAUGCAUAGGACAUAGACAGACUAAAACACCCAUGUUCCCACCUCGAGGUUAACGAUUCUUUGUUCAAGUAGAGAAACAAUCAAAACAAACUACUCUGCAGCAAGAUGCUACGUUAGUAAGCAUAAUGCACUCGAGAUAAAAUCUAGAGUUUUGAUUGGCAUUUCAGAAAACUAAGUCGUAGUAUUGUUAUUCGAAAGAGUAAUGUAUACCAUGUUUUUAUACCACAUUUCUAUACUAUCUUAAGUGGCAUCUGAUGUGGACAGAUACAUCAUUUGAAAAAUUUGCAAAACCUAAAGAAAAGAAGGAGAAAGACUCCUUGUAUACCACAAUCAUCAUUUAAUUAACGAGCUUUUCUUAAUUAUUAGUUUAUUAAAUAAUGAACUAAAUUUAAAAAUCUGAUUAUUUCAAAUGAUAUGGUUGUUCACAUCAAAUGUCAUCUAAGGUGAUAUGAAAAUGUGGUACAAAAUCCUGGUAUGAAUAACAUUACUCUAUUCGAAAACCACCCCAGUGUUAUUCAAAAACUAUGUCCUAAUACUGUUGAAACAAUGAAAUUUAUACAAUUUCACUUUCCAACCAUGCUACUCCAAAUGCUACACAAAAAUGAACCAUCUCAAUCAUCAAUUACACCAACAAUUUCAUGACUUCCCAUUCUUUUUUUGCUAUUCAAUUUCAGUAUACUCUUAUUUCAUCUUAGCUUUGUAAUCGUAAGAGAGUUGUACACAUUCUUACACAGAACAAAAAAAAAGAACAAUUUGCGGAGCUAAAUUCAAGUCGUAGAAAAAAAAAAACAAUUUAUUCACGUAUCAAAAUAAAAAAUAUAAUUCAAAAGACAUAUUUUGGAAAAGUGGUGGAAUCGAUCGAAGAAUUUAAAUAGUCGUAUAUUUCUUCUUAAGUUUAGUCGGAAACUGUAGAGUAAUUGAAAUGUACUAGAAAAAAAAUCAAUAACCCAAAUAAUCAUCAAUCAAACACGCUACAAAACCCAAAAUUACCCAAUUGAAAUAACGACACCAAUUGAACUAUAACUCAGCCAAAUCCCACCACACUCCCUUUACUCCUGAAAAGGGCUGCAGGACAAAUCUAACUGCUUUAUACAAUUAUAUCAGCUCAGACCCUAAAUAUUUAUUUCUUCCAAUGAGAUAUAAAUAAUUUGGAUGCAAAAAACUGGGUAACCAAUUGAAGAUGGGCCUACCUACAAUACAUCGGAGUUCUCGGGCAUUUAGAGCUGUUAGAUCCAAUCUGGUUGAGUGUAAUGGCUCUAAGUGCCCAAAUAUGCAAUACUCCAGUGUACUGUAGAAGAAUUCCAAAAAUGAACGAAAAGAAAGAAAGAAAGAAGUGUUGUAAACAUUCCUAGUUUAAGUAUGAUUGUGUAAAUCCUAAAUAAGAUUUGAUUCUAGUUAUCCUUUCCUAUUACAACUUGUAUUACUUGGAGAAGAAGGAAUAUCUUCUCUCCCUUUACUACUAUAAAUAAAGGCACAAUGUAGGAGGGAUAACAACACACACAUUCCCCUACAAUUCUACAAACACACAUCUCUCUCCUCUCUCUCUCUGCCGCCGGCCCUAGUCCAUCUGUCAGAUAAAAUAGACCACAACACGUUAUCAGCACGCUCCUACCGCUGCGCUUAGGAAUCUGACGUUGGAGAUUUUUUCUGCAUCAAACCAGUUCAUCCAUAUCAUCACGCAAUUAGGUUCUUUCCAAACAACGGCUUUUAACUCGAUAUUUUGCAAGCCCUGAUAGCAUGAACAUUCACCAUGAUGCAUGACCCAACUUUACGUUUAACGUAUUUUAGAUUCUACAUAAAUUGUGUAUGCUUCAUCAUCAAAAUUGCUACAAUUAUGUGAAUUUGAUAUUUGUCAUGAAUUGAAUCUUACAUAUGUACAUGCAUUGAAACUAUUAUUUGCAUAUGCAUCAACGUAAAUAUGUGAUUCAUUAAAAUUAUACAUGCAUAUAAUAUAAUUGAAUUGAGAAAAAAAACAAAAACACAAAACAUUUUUUUGCGAUUGGGAUAUGAGUUCUUUUGAACCCGUGACCACCAUCCUGCAGAUGGGGUAUCACACGCAAAUCAGAGAGCAUUCAGCUCUCCUUGUUCCCAGAAACCCACGGAGCCAAGCCCCAAAAAAACCCAAAAUCCCGACACCCUUCAUGGUGUCCCCCGAUCAUGGAGUGGCCUACAGCCACAACCACGAACCUAUUGGUUCUUGCUAUAAACGACCUGCAGUCGUCCCAUGUCGGUAAUUGAACCGAGAUUCACCGGAAUCUCGUCGGAAUUUUUUUUUUGAAAAAUUCGAUUUCAAUUUUUUUUAGGGUUUUAUAGUUGUUGAAACGUUGAGAUUUUCUUAUCUCCGUGAUUGUCCACGACAACCAUGACUCACCCCAAGUCCCAACAACCCCGACGCCGUCAAAAUUUUCCGGCUUUCUUCUUCGGCAUUGCACACCCAGCACGGCUGGGAUUUCUUUUGGGUCUCUUUCCCGAGCCCUACUCGGGCUUUGUCUCUCGGCCCGUGUAACAAAAUAAAAAAAUUAAAAAAAAAAACACAAUUUUUUUUGCUGGGCUCGCUUGCAGCGGCCCAGCCCACAAAGAAAACAAUUUGUUUUUUUAUUUUCCUGGGCUCGCCUGCAGCGGCCCAUACCGAAAAAAAAGAGAAAUUUUUUUUUAGGGCUGCACACAGCAGCCCAUUCCUUUCUCACCCCGUGGGCCUGCAGCCUACACCCGGGGGUACUCGGCCUAUAUUUUUAGGCCCCGAGAUUUUAUUAUUUAAUUUUUUUUAAAAUAAUAUGGGUUUUUAUAUUUUCACCCACAUUUUAAUUUGGCCCCGAAGACCAAAAAUAAAUUAAUUCACUUAUCAUUAUACAAUAUUUCUGCAUAAAUUCUUUGCAUAUUUGUUUGCAUAUAUAUUUGUGUUUGCCUGCAGGAAUAUAUGAACCUGAAGUUCAUAAUUACUUUGAAACCCGAAGUUUCUUAUACACAUGCCUUGUUUGAAAACCCGAAGUUUUCACUUAAAUAUAUCACCCAUGAAAACCCGAAGUUUUUCAUGCAAAAUUAAACCAAUACAUGUCUAUUAGAACCUGUAUGUUCUACUCCUAUGUGAAUGGAUUGAUUUUUCUCCAUUACACUAACCACAUCUUGUUCAUCCAUUUUGUGAUAGGAACAUGUCGAAUUUGAACAAACUCGACUUCACCGCUUUGGAGGUUUCUGGAAGGAACUACCUCAAGUGGGUUCAAGAUGUGAAGCUCCACCUCACUGCAAAGAACUUACGUCCUGCUAUUGAAGAAGCAACAGAUAAACCUGUUGGCGAGGUGAAAAAGCCACUGCUAUGAUCUUCAUCCGAAGACAUAUCCAUGACGCUCUACAAACUGAGUACCUUGCUGAGGAGGAUCCACGUGCAUUAUGGGUCGCUUUGGCUGAUCGUUUCGAUCACCAAAAGGACAUAUUCUUGCCUGAAGCAAGACACGACUGGCAGCACUUGCGCUUCCAAGACUUUAAGUCUGUGAAUGAAUAUAAUUCUGAAGUUUGUCGAAUCCGAUCACUUCUCAAGUUUUGUAAUGAAACUUUGACUGAAGAGGAUCUCCUGGAGAAGACCUACUCGACAUUCUCUGCUUCUAAUAUUGUCCUGCAGCAACAAUAUAGAGCUCAGAAGUUCACUAAGUUCUCGGAUUUGAUCUCUGUUUUACUUCUUGCUGAAAAGCAGAACCAGCUGUUGAUGAAGAAUCAUCAAGCUCGACCUACUGGGGCUACUGCUGUGCCUGAAGCACAUUAUAGCACUAAUCAGCACCCAAAACGCCAAAAGAUGCGUGGUAAGGGCGGCCAGAAGCCAUCCCACCAAGGUCAACAGAGCCAAGGCCCAUCCAAGGGAGGAAACAAAGCCCAAAAGCGCCCAAACCUCGCUCCCAAGGCCCCGAACUUCAAGAAUAAGGGCAAAGCACCUGCCACAAUGAAUGACGAUAUGUGCUAUCGUUGUGGUUCCAAGGACCAUUGGUCCCGUAUUUGCCGUGCUCCCAAGAAGGUUGUGGAUGCAUAUCAUUCUCGUCGUACGAAGUUUGAAUCAAACUUCCUGCAAGUGGACGAACCGGAGACUACAAAGAUGGAGGUUUUCUGAUUUUCAGGAGGAUACCACUCCUAUGGAAGAUUAGAAUCUUAGACAUAGACUUAUUUUUCAGUUAAAAUAAGACAAUUGGGGCCGAAUUCCACCUAGUGGCCGAACCCCACCUUGUUUUUUGGUUGAUUUUGAACAAUUUUCCUUUAUGUUUUGGAUUAUUAGUUGGCGAUUUAUUUUGGAUAUUAAUUUUUUUCCUUGAAUAAAUGAAAUUAUUUUGAAUUGAUACUUGUUUUUAUAAACUUUUAUGCAUGUGACCGAUUCAAAUUAAUUUUUCAUUCUAGGUAUGACUAGUGGGAAAGUUAGUUGUCUGGCAGAUAGUGCAACCACGCAUACUGUUUUGCGUGAACGCAUCUAUUUCACUAACUUCGUACCUAAGAAUGCACCUCUGACAACCCUCUCAGGCCCAUCCAACCUGAUCGAAGGAUACGGUAAGGCACGUAUAAUGUUGUCCAAUGGUACAAUCUUGACCAUUGCCGAGGCACUCUAUUCUCCACGUUCCGGAAGAACGUUACUAAGUUUCAAGGACAUUAGAGAUAACAAUUACCACGCUGAAACCCACGUAGAAAACGGUGUUGAAUUUCUGUGCGUAACUUCCUACGAAUAUGGCCAGAAGCGUAUUCUAGAGAAGAUGGAGCGUAACCCGAGUGGUCUGUAUACUACGACCAUACGCCCCAUAGAAUGCCACUAUGUGGCCGGCCCUACCACAGGGACCGCGCACGAAAUUACACUUUGGCAUGAUCGUUUGGGACAUCCUGGACGAAUAGCGAUGCGCCGUAUCCUCAAAACUUCACACGGGCAUCCACUAACCCGAAGCUUAGGUUCGAUCCAUGAAAUUGCAUGCCAAACAUGUUCUAUGGGAAAGCUUAUUACUAAGCCUUCUUAUGACAAGAUUCGUUCGAAUCCUCCCAUUUUUCUACAACGGAUUCAGGGGGACAUUUGUGGACCGAUUCAACCUCCCUGCGGACCAUUUAGAUAUUUUAUGGUUUUGGUUGACGCUUCUACACGUUGGUCACACGUGUGCUUGUUGUCCACAAGGAACGCUGCAUUCUCCAAACUGUUGGCUCAGGUUAUCAAGCUCAGGGCUCACCACCCUGAUUAUCCGAUCAAAUCUAUUCGAUUGGAUAAUGCUGGAGAAUUCACAUCUAAAACUUUUGAUGACUAUUGCAUGUCGGUUGGGGUUGAAGUUGAACAUCCUGUACCCCAUGUUCACACCCAGAACGGCCUGGCAGAGGCUUUCAUUAAGCGUUUACAAAUGAUUGCUCGAUCGUUGGUCAUACGUACCAAGCUCCCGAUCGCUGCUUGGGGCCAUGCAAUAUUGCACUCAGCAAAGUUGGUCCGCCUGAGGCCUGUUGCGACAUAACCAUUUAGUGCCCUUCAGUUGGUCACCGGAUGCGAACCCGACAUAUCGCAUCUGCGCGUUUUUGGUUGUGCGGUCUAUGUGCCGAUCUCGCCGACCUUACGUACAAAAAUGGGGCCUCAGCGAAGGAUGGGAAUCUAUGUCGGAUAUGAUUCUCCUUCGAUUAUUCGUUACUUAGAACCUUUGACAGGCGAUCUGUUUACCGCUCGUUUCGCGGAUUGUCACUUCUAUGAGACAGUCUUCCCGUCGUUAGGGGGAGAUAAGAACGUCAACGUUCCUAAUGAACGACGCGAAUUAUCGUGGACGACUCCCACUUUGUCUCAUUUAGAUCCCCGCACCGCUCAGUCUGAAGCUGAAAUGCAGCGCAUAUUAGAUCUCCAGAGCAUAGCUCAGAGCAUGCCAGAUGCUUUCACCGAUCUAGCGCGCGUGACAAGAUCACAUAUUCCAGCUGCGAAUACGCCUGCAAAGAUGGAUGUACCAAAUGUACGACGGACUACCCUCCUGGAAGCCCGGGACGCCAAUUCUGGUGAUCCACGUACAUUAGCGGCUAGCCAAUCAUCUGCCCCUACACAAAAGCGUGGCAGACCCCUUGGUUUAAAGGAUUCACACCCCCGGAAGAGGAAAACCACGGCACAAGGUCCUGAAGAGCCUACCGUGAAUCCGACUAUCGCUUACUCAUUUUACCCAACUCAUGAGGAAAUUCUAGAUUAUGGAAGCGUCCUUGAAGAGACGAAUCCUCCUCCCGAGAAUCGUGAGAUUUCGGUCUAUUAUGCUAGCUUAGAUGAUGUGUGGCGUAGAAAUGAGAUGAUUGUCGACGAUGCAUUAGCAUUUGCAGUAGCUACUGAGAUCAUGUUGAGCGAUGACAUUGAACCGCGUUCCGUUGAUGAAUGUCGACGUAGAGCUGAUUGGUCAAACUGGAAACAAGCAAUCCAAGUCGAACUUGAUUCACUUGAGAAACGUAAGGUGUUUGGACCUGUAGUUCCUACUCCUCCACAUGUGAAGCCCAUUGGCUACAAGUGGGUUUUCGUUCGGAAGCGUAAUGAGAAGAACGAAAUUGUGCGUUACAAAGCUCGUCUUGUAGCACAAGGUUUCUCACAACGCCCCGGGAUUGACUAUGACGAAACUUACUCACCCGUUAUGGAUGUGAUUACUUUUCGAUACCUUAUCAGUUUGGUAGUUUCCGAAAAACUGGAUAUGCAGCUGAUGGACGUAGUAACCGCGUAUCUCUAUGGGGAUCUUGAUACGGAAAUUUAUAUGAAAGUUCCCGAAGGACUUACAUUGACUGGUUCAAAUAUUUCCAAACCCCGGAACACGCUCUCAAUUCGGCUGAGGCGUUCACUAUACGGUUUGAAACAAUCCAGAAGAAUGUGGUAUAACCGUUUAAGUGAGUAUUUGACUAGUCAGGGAUAUGUGAAUAACGAACUAUGCCCUUGUGUGUUCAUUAAGAAGUCACAUUCCGGAUUUGCGAUUGUUGCAGUAUAUGUCGAUGACAUGAAUCUCAUCGGAACUCCUGAAAAGCUCGCGAGAACUGCUUCGCACCUGAAGUCGGAAUUUGAGAUGAAAGAUCUAGGUAAGACUCGAUACUGUCUCGGUCUCGAGAUAGAGCAUUGUUCGGAUGGAAUCCUAGUACAUCAAUCGAACUACACCCAGAAGGUGUUGCGCCGUUUUAAUGAGGAUAAAGCGAAGUCUUCGAGUACUCCUAUGGUCGUUCGUACGCUAGAUGCAAAGCGAGAUCCCUUCCGUCCGAAGGAGGAUGAUGAAGAGAUUUUGGAGCUUGGAGUUCCUUAUCUAAGUGCGAUAGGCGCUUUAUUGUACUUAGCUCAAUGCACUAGACCCGACAUCUCCUUCGCUGUUAAUCUUUUGGCAAGAUACAGCAAUGCACCGACACGCAGACAUUGGACUGGCGUGAAAGACAUCUUCCGUUACCUUAAGGGUACUACGGAUUUGGGCUUAUUCUAUCCCUACGAAUCCUCGAGUGAUGCCGCACCCUAUGCUCAUCGGGUUGAUUCUCGCCUUGUUGGUUAUGCCGACGCUGGAUACUUAUCUGAUCCGCACAAGGCGCGUUCUCAAACGGGUUAUGUCUUUACCGUUGGAGGCACCGCAAUAUCUUGGAGGUCAACUAAACAGACCUUAGUUGCCACUUCGUCUAACCAUGCUGAAAUUCUCGCCUUACAUGAAGCAACUCGGGAAUGCUUUUGGUUGAGAGCAGUAGUGGGCCAUAUUCGAAGCUCCUGUGAUCUUCAUCCCGCCGUUAAUACCCCGACGACGAUUUUUGAAGACAACGCAGCUUGCAUCGAACAGCUCAAGAAGGGUUACAUCAAAGGAGACAACACCAAGCAUAUUGCGCCGAAGUUCUUCUUUACAUAUCAACUACAAGAGCAUCAGAAGAUUGAAGUCACGCAAAUCCGAUCACAAGACAAUCUGGCCGACCUCUUCACCAAAUCACUACCGAAGGCGACGUUUCAGAAGCUUGUUCAUGGAAUUGGUAUGCGUAAACUUUCUGAGUUGUAACUUUGCUAUUUCUCUUUGGAAUUAUGUCAAACUCAGGGGGAGUAUCUUCUGGAUACUUGCUUGAUCUUAAUGUACUCUUUUUCCCUACGAUUAGGAGCAUUUUUCCCACUGGGUUUUUGCUACCUAACUAGGUUUUAACGAGGCACCCACCUUGGGCUGGUCAUAUCCCUGAUGACGUCCUGUAGACGUUUCUUUUGACUUUGCAUUUCUCACGCAUUUUUCCUUAGACUAUGGAUUUUGUCCCUACUUGGGUUUUUGCCAUAGCCUUAGGGUUUUUAGUGAGACUUACUACUUAUGCAAGUUCCUACCUUAUUGAGAAUAAGCGUUGUUCCUUGGAAUCAAUGCCGACGAGUCGACUUCCUCAACUUCUGCAUGAUGCUGAAUCUACCUUGAGUAUUUACACACUCAAGGGGGAGUGUUGUAAACAUUUCUAGUUUAAGUAUGAUUGUGUAAAUCCUAGAUAAGAUUUGAUUCUAGUUAUCCUUUCCUAUUACAACUUGUAUUACUUGGAGAAGAAGGAAUAUCUUCUCUCCCUUUACUACUAUAAAUAAAGGCACAAUGUAGGAGGGAUAACAACACACACAUUCCCCUACAAUUCUACAAACACACAUCUCUCUCCUCUCUCUCUCUGCCGCCGGCCCUAGUCCAUCUGUCAGAUAAAAUAGACCACAACAAGAAGAGCUUUAUAAACCCUUUCUUUAAUCAUGCGAGCUUAGCAAAAUAUUUUUUAUUAUAACUUUAUUUUCUUUCAAGUAUUUUUAUAUUUCUUUGUGUUGCUCACAAUUGAUAUAAUGUGGAAAGUGUGGUGAUAGCUUCGUAUCUCUUUAGUACGAAUUGUCUCAAGUCUCUUUCUCUGUGUAAGUCCAAUGAUUUUGGUUUUGUUUUUACAAUUUGUAUAAAAACUUUCAAUCAUGUAACUACAAAACAAUUAACUUAAAGUCCCUCAAACCCAAAAAAUAAUUAACUUCAAGGAGAAACAAAUGGAAUUAGUAAAAAGCAAAGACAUCGUUUAUUCACAAUUCAUCUAUUCAAUUCUAAAAUUAGCUUAUAUUCCUCUAAUGUUGCACACAAAGCAAACUAAAAGGUCAUGGAAUGUUUAAAAUAGCUAGCAAUGUCUUAUGCUAGCAACAUACAAAACUAACCCUUCGUCCUACAUGUGCUCAAAAAAUGUAGUCUUAUUCUCUUCGAAAGCCACAUUGACGGUUUCUCAUAUUUAUUACUAUAGCCAACUUUAGAGUAUAGUAAUUUGAAAAUUUCCAUCUCUAAUCAGACUUUCAUUCCUAAUACAAGUAAGCAUACUAGAGCCAAGUCACAUGUACAUGCCUAACAAAAGUUUAGUCCAUUUUUACCACAAAAAAAUGAAAUAAAAUAACCAAUAAUAUUCUUGUUUGACGAUAUGACGAAUUUACUCUUACUAGAGACACCAAUUUGUUUUUUUUUUCUUUUAGGUAAAUCAAGACAUCAACUUAUUAGUUUUUGCAUCAAUUUUUUAGAUCCCAAAUUUCGUGGCAAUGUUUCAACACGUUUUCUGUUCACAUUUUACAACAAAUAAGAAUUUGCAUUGUGACUUGGUUAACAAUAACUGGUGUCUCUUGCACUAUUAUUAUGUUUAUCAUUUCUUACAUACAUCUAAUAUUGGACCUGUAAUCUGAUUGGCAUCUCAAUGUAAAAUCAGAUGUGUUUGGUAGCUGGAGAAUAUAUUCUCAAUUUGCAUUCCAAUUUGUAGAUAAUAACUCUUCUUCAUGCAUUCACUGCAACAGAUAGACUCCAUUCAAUAGCUGCAAUGAGCACCGAGCAGCAGAAUGCUUCUUCGUCUUCUUACCGGUGCACAUAUGAUGCAUUCUUGAGUUUCAGAGGCGCAGAUACACGCAAGGGCUUUACAGAUCACCUCUACAGUGCUUUGGAGUUGGCAGGAAUCCACACUUUUAGAGAUGAUGAUGAAACUGAGAGAGGAGCAAACAUUGAACAGGAGCUACAGACAGCGAUACAAGAGUCACGAGUAUCAGUCAUAGUUUUCUCCAAGGACUACGCCUCUUCCAGGUGGUGCCUGAAUGAACUUGCUAUCAUCAUGGAACGUAAAAGAACAGAUGGACACAUGGUUAUCCCGGUUUUCUAUGAUGUGGAACCAUCAGAUGUCAGGAAGCAGACGGGCAGUUUUGCAUAAUCAUUUACUAGACAUGAAGAGCGCUUCAAGGACGAGAUAGACAAGGUGGAGGAGUGGAGACGAGCUCUAGAAAUGUUGCAGACCUGGGAGGGAUGGUUUUAGGAGAACUGUAAUUUUUCAUUCCCUCCUAUAUUCAGUCAAGUAAAUCAGAUGCUAGUCUCAAGCUUGUGAAAGUUUUAGCUUUUCUUUAAAAAAUAAAAAUAAAAAAUAAAUAACUUGCUCAUGUUUUUUCUUUUGGUCUGAAAAGAAAGAACUUACUGUGCCUCAUAUUUUUUGAUAUCAAUAACAUAUAGGUACGAGUCACAGUCAAGGAUUUAAAUAUCGAUAUUAUCGGCGAUAUUUCGCCGAUAAUAUCGUUUUUUACAGAGACCGAUUUUUUUACACAUAUCCAGUCAUUUAUCGUCAAAAUAUCGCGAUAUUAUCGAUAAUAUCGCGAUAUUAUCGAUAUUACCGAUAAUAUCGCCGAGCUCCGUCGUCAGCGACCGGAGCUGCUAAGAUCUACGCGAUUUGGGGGGGGGAAAGAGUCGGGAAGAGGAGUCGCGGAGAAGAGGAGUCGCGGGGGCGCGAGAGUAGCGGAGAAGAGGAGUCGUGAGGGGGGGAAGGAAGAACGGUUGCGCAGCUGGGUGGUGGAUUUGAGCGGUGGGGGGGAAGAACAGUUGCGCAGCUGGGUGGUGGAUUUGAGCAGUUUGAAGAAAGUUUCUGCGGAGGGGCUGUGGGAAGCGGUUUGAAGAAAGUUUUUGUGAAGGGGUUGUGGGAAGAAGAGUCGCAGAGAAGAGGGGUCUGGGAAUCUGCAGAGAGGGGGGACGGUGGGCUUUGGGAAUCUGGAGAGAAUGGUUCGGGGGGGUGGCUGGGAAGAACAGUUGCGGAAGGGAGUUGUUUAUGUGGAUUUGAGUGGUUUGAAGAAAUUUUCUGUGGGUUUGAGUGGUUCGAAGAAAAAGGAAGGAGAGGACUGCAGGAGCUGCAGAGAAGAGAUGUGGAUUUGAGUGGUUUGAAGAAAUUUUCUGUGGGUUUGAGUGGUUCGAAGAAAAAGGAAGGAGAGGACUGCAGGAGCUGCAGAGAAGAGAUGGGGGGACCGGAGAGAAGAGAUGUGGGUUUAAAGUGUAAAAUAUUGUACUAAUUCAUUAUAUAUAAAUGAUUAUGAUGUGUUUAAAUUAGAUUAUUAUUCAUUAAAUUAGGUUUUUUUUAUUAUCAAAUUAGAUUAUUAUUCAUUAAAUUGGAUUAUUAUCAAAUUAGAUUAUUCAUUAAAUUGGAUUAUUAUCAAAUUAGAUUAUUAUUCAUCACCAUGUUUUAUAUUAGGAUUAUUUUUUUAUGAAAUUGGAUUAUUAUUCAUUAAAUUGGAUUAUUAUGAAAUUGGAUUAUUAUUCAUUAAAUUGGAUUAUUCAUUAAAUUGGAUAACUACUCUUCACAAUACACUCACUCUACACAUAGAGAUGAUGAAGAUAGUGAAAAUUUUGAACCUCAUAAGAACUCUAUGUGGUACUAAGUCACUUAUGUAUCUUACCAUGCAAUGUAUAAAGUGUAAAAUAUUGUACUAAUUCAUUAUAUAUAAAUGAUUAUGGUGUGUUUAGACUUCUUUCAUUAAUUACUACAUAUUUUCUACACUCACAAUGUUUGUCAGCUCGCUAUAUAAUCAACUUGAUAAUGUUAAAUCCAUCAUGCAAUGCAUUUCUUUCCAAUUUUUUGUGAUAAACUAAUAGAUAAUUGACUAAAUAAACAUCCUACAAAGUUUCAAUAAAAAUUUCCAAGUUUUUCUUACAAUUUCCGUGGUUUCCAUGUAAUUUUUAUCGAUAUCGAUAUUUUACCGAUAUUUCCAUCGAUAUUUCCGUGUUUUCGGACUACCGAUAUUUCCGAUAUUACCGAUAUUUAAAUCCUUGGUCACAGUUUAUCCAAGAUAUUGUCGAAGCGGUUGGAAAUAAACUGGACUACAUGAGGAAUAGGAGAUUAAGAGUUGAUCCCUAUGUUAUUGAAAGAGGUUAUUAUGUGGAAAGCCUAAACAUGUGAUUACUGAGGGAAAAUGCGGUACCCACCUUUGACGUGAUUACUGAGGGAAAAAUUCAAAAGAUUCUUUGCAUGAGUUUUGAUUCUUUACAAGAUCAUGAUAAACGUUUAUUCCUCCAUAUAGCCUGUUUCUUCAUAGGAAAAGACAAGGAUUUUGCAACUACAAUCCUUCAUGAAUGUGAUUUUGCGACAGAAGUUGGACUUCAACACCUAGUUGAUAGAUGCCUUGUGGAAAUUAAUGCCUGCAACAAGUUAACCAUGCAUCAAUUGCUUGAAAACAUGGGAAGGGCAAUAAUUCGCGAUGAAUCACCUGAGGACCCUGGAAAACGCACUAGACUGUGGCAUAAAAAAGAAGCAAGUGACGUUUUGAGAAAUUUAACGGUACGAAACAUGAUCUUUAACUGUAUUUAUUUGCAUUGGUGUUCUACAUGUGACUAGUAACUUAUCCAAUGCUCUUAUUUGGUGGCAGGGUACGAGAAGUAUUAAGGGCCUCAUGCUCCACUGUCCCUCAACAUUUGAAACAAAGGCAUUUACAAAGAUGCUCAAUCUUGAACUACUUCUGCUUGAUAAUGUAAAGUUGAGUGGAAGCUAUGAAGAUUUUCCAAAAAAAUUAAUAUGGCUGUCUUGGCGAGGAUUCUCUUUAAAAUCAAUUCCAGCCAAUUUUUGUAUGGAAAAUCUAGUUGUUCUUGACUUACGGAAGAGCAGUCUGCAACAUGUUUGGAACGGAACCAAGGUAUCUUCUAAUCUCUCUCUCUCUCUCUCUCUCUCUCUCUCUCUCUCUCUCAUUACGCACAAACAAAAAAAAAUCAGUGAAACUAAACUGUGCAUUCAUAGCAACUAAUGACUUCUAUUUGAUACAGAUUCUUACAAGAUUGAAAAUUCUUAAUCUCAGUCAUUCACAUGGCCUUAGGACAACAUCUGACUUGUCCGGACUCCCCAACCUUGAGAAACUAAUUCUUAAGGAUUGCAUUAAUUUGGUUGAUGUUGAUGAAUCCAUUGGAAAUUUGGGGAAACUUGUUUUCUUGAAUCUAAAAGAUUGCAAAAGUCUUAUGAAGCUUCCAAAAAGAAUGAACAUGUUGAGGUCUCUUGAGGAACUUAUUCUUAAUGGUUGCUCAAAGCUUGGUCCUCAUGACAGUGCCACGGUUAUUGAUUUACACGCUACAUCUAGGGAUAUGAAACAAAUUAGACUGUUAUCAGCAUUAUCAUGGACACCUAUCAGGUAUUGGUGGAUGUGGGCAUGGCCAGGAAAGACUCUUCAAUCAACGAGUUUCUCACUGGCAAGUCUACCCCGUUUUUUGGGAAGCUUAAGUAUGUCUUACUGCAACGUGUCAGAGGUUCCCAAUGAUCUGUGUACACUAUCUUUGUUGAAGGAUUUGAAUCUAAUUGGUAACCCAAUUUUGUGCCUACCACAAAAAAUGAAGAGUCUUAUUAUGCUCGAGACUCUUUUGUUAGAUAAUUGCACAAACCUUGAAAUUCUUCCAGAGCUCCCACCAUGGUUGAAGAGGUUAGAAGCAAAAUAUUGUACUUCAUUGAAAAGAUUAACAAAUUUACCAAACUUGUUCAGAUCAUUGGAAUCACUUUUUUGGGGUUGUGAGCAUUUAGUUGAAGUUGAAAGCUUGUUGAAUAUAAAACCGGUGAGAAGCGCUGACAUAGAAAUGACAAGAUAUAUGGGCCUGUUCAAUUUGAAAUCCAUAGCAAGCACUGAUGUCGAAAUGAUCAACUACUUGACCAGUACAACCAGGAAGGCUCCUGUCCAGGUCUUUCUCUGUCUCCUCUCUCAUGUAUAGUUGUUCUAAUUAUUAUAUCUAUGAACUAGUUGGGCCUAACUGUUUGAAUAGUUAAAUUUGAAUUGUAGAUUCUUGAUGAAACAGGUACUCUAUGAAUGUGGCAUAUAUAGCAUUUUCUUUCAUGGAAGCAAGAUUCCAGAUGGAUUUGGCUUCACAAUAAUAUAUAGAUCUGUGCUGUCAGUUAUUGUACCUUCACAUCCCUUUCUCAAAAUCCGAGGCUUGAAUUCAUGUGUGUUAUAUGCAAGAGAACCAGGCUUGGAAUAUCGUCUUACUGUUCAGCAUUUGAUUAAAGUCAGUAAUCAGACCAAGGGUCUUAUGUGGACCUAUUCCCCACUCACAGUAGGUUUGCCUACUGAGAAGGAAGAUGUUAUGGCUAAGCAAUUUUCGAUUUGGAAACAACGAAUUGGAGUAUGGGGACGAAUUACGUGUUUCGGUGGAGAUGCAUGAUUUUGUCCGGGUAAAGGAAUUCGGAAUUCAGCUUGUGUACGAGCCGGAAAGACCUCCUUCUAGCCAGAAUAAUGUUGUUGCUGGAGAUGUGUCACUGUCAGCAUCAGAGUACCAAAUGUGGACAGGAAAAUACUUUCUCAGUAAUCAUGGGCACCGUACUCAUCAAGCUCAAUUCCGAAAGAGACAGGAGAAUCCAGCACAUAUUGAGUUUUCAUUUGGGCCAGAGUGUCUAUUUCAUAAACUAUUCAAGGCCCGAGGACCAUUCGAAACUGUUGUGAAACUUAGAGCAUAUCCAGCAGAUUCCCCAUCUGCUUCUCCUCACCCAUUUUGGCUAAAAUAAAGAGAAACCUUCUCAGUUCUUUAUCCAGCAUCAUUCAUUUAUGGUUGGAAAGAAACAUCAGCAUCAGUUUUCUUGGUGAGUAUCGUCCCUUUAUUCUUUCUUGUCAUCUCUUUCUGAAUAUAUACUCAUGGCUUUGUUGGAUUUGUUGCUCUUUGCUUAUUGUCUUUGAUUUGUUAAUUGAAUGAAUAUAUUAAACAAAAAGAGGGGAAAGCUCUUUGAACUCAGAACAACAAGGUCAUAAGACCAAUCAAGGAAACAAAACCGGAACAGUCCUCAUGAGUUAGCAGAUGAGGUUUGAAAACCCCUAUAGAGCAAAACCAACUUGAGCGUAACAGCAGUGGGACUACAUGUAUUUCUGAAAAACCUACAAUUAGUUUCCCUCCAAAGCCUACUCCUUACAAACGAAUCUUGAGUUCCUGCGACGUAGUAUUUGGGGUAACUUCUAUUUGGACACAUUUAUAUGAGCAAACUUUUCUUAUUCUAUUAUUAUGCAUUCGGAUUAGAAAGCCCGCGAUCAAUAAGAUAUUGAAAACGUGUAUUUCCUGAUACAUUAUAUAAAAUUAAUAAUUCGCUAAAUUCAUAAGAUAAUACAUUAUAGAAAAUUCAUAUAGAUUCCACAUAAUAUGUAAAUUAAUAAUUUCCUAAUACAUUGUGCCUAUGAUUCGACAAUGAGGCCUUCCUAAAAUAUAACUCAAUCAUUGUUUGUUUUUUUUCUUGAAAUUGAUACCUUGGAUCUUAUCUUUUUCUUAACAUGAUAAGAAGUUGUGAUGUGGUAUUUUCAUACUGCAACAAAAAAUUAUUCAAUGUCAUCACCGCUUUGAGAACUUCUUUUCGGGAAAUGGGCUCCAUAGUAGAACCAUGUACAAACUAUUUUUGGAAAAUAAGUAGAUUCAAAAUUUUACUUGGUUAAACAAUAAAAUCGUUAGUUUGUAAAAUAAGAAACUAAAUUAAUAACUUAUUAAUUUAUUAAUUAUUUAAUAUUUUGCUAAAUUAAUAAAAAAAAAUUUGGUCGCGAGGUUAUUAAUUUAUAGAGGUCUAAUGGAUUUAGAUAGAGGACACUAGGUAGGUUUCCCUUUAAAGAGUCUGAUAUGGUUGCUUUAAGUCUCACUUCUGCCAUAUCUAAUUUACAUGCCGCAGUCAGAUUUUCCUUUCCCUGUUGAGUCAAGUUCUUAACAUUCAACCUAGAAAUGAUAAGAAUUUCCACCAUUAUUGUGUUUUGAGGUGUUGAGCAUCUCCCUUUCAUACAAUGGGAAUGCAUUUACUACGGUAUCCCAAAUCAAUUAUGCACUACCAUGCUUGGAUAAACUAUAGUAAUGUCCUCGCAUGGCAUGCAUGAUUGACUCGAGAUACUGCCAGAAUGUCAUCUUUGUUGUAGAUAAGUUUUUCUCCCCUAAAUAUAUGUUCACCAAGGAAUUUACAUGUGAAAUGAAACUCUAAGAAAAGAAAUUUAAAAAUGAGAAAGUGAUCCACCUAAUCACGUGUGUCGGUAUGUAAUUGGGCCGCGCAAGGACCAAUGAACAAAAAUUUUAAAUGUCACAAUACAAGCUAUAGUAAUUUGUUAACUGCAUUUGAUUUCAUAUUGUUUUAAGUUACGAGCAGUGAAGACAGGGAACAAAAAUGGAAUGAUAAUCUGUGUUAGAUCAUAUUCUAAAACAAAUUUCCAACACUCUGAAUCUUGCAGCUUUUGAGCUGCUCUGUGUUUGACCAAUUAGUAGAGACAAAAUUGGAAGAGAUCAUCCUGUAAUAUCUAGUUAAACAAAUCAAGGGCAAACAAUUUUACGCCGCCCUUACCUAGUUUACCCUUCCUUAAUGUCAACCUCUUCUCUUACAAAAUUUGUAUAAGCCUAACCUGCGCGCGCUAUAAAUUCCUAAUUCUAAUCUUGGGACAAUGUAAAAGGGGUGCAGCGGGAAGAAAUAUCUAUCCCAGCAACCUCCAUGGCAUCACAGACCACUCGGGCACAUGACAUUUUUUAAACUACAAGACAAUAAGAUUUAAAACACUUAAGAGUUAUGUGGCAGGUAUUGCACAGAGGGGAAACAAAAGCACAAGGCUGGCUAAGCAAACAAUAAGAGAGAAGAAUCGUCGUAUACACAAUUGUUUUCUACCGAUAGUGAAUGACAUAGCAGACAACUAGAAGAAUCGUUUUAUACUAAUAGCGAAUGACAUAGCAGACAACUAGAAGAGAGUAAUGAUUCUCAAGAUAUAGCUUAUUUACUUAUCCCUUAAGAUUAUUCACAAGAGCAUUCGAUUUUUGUUAGAAACGCUAUAUGGAGAUUACAAUAAUCAUGACAUUAUUGUGCGCCAUUGUGCUGAUCGUUAUGUUCCUGACAGGAACUAAUUACCUCUCUUUGAAACGGUGUCUUCCAAGACAGAAAAUCCUUAAUCUCAGUCACUCACAUGGCGUGAUGACAACCCCUAACUUGUCACAAGUCCCUAACCUUGAACAAUUGAUUCUCAAAUAUUGCUUAAAUUAGGUCGACGUAGAUGACUCCAUUGGAUACCUAGAGAAACUUGUUUUCCUGAAUCUAAGACUGCAAAAUGUGAGUGCUGGAGAUGUGUCAGCAUCAAAGUAUCAAAUAUGGAGAGGCAAAAUGCUUUGUGUGUAAUCACAGUCUAGACCAUACUUAUCAUCCUCAGUUCAUAUUUCAGAAAGGACCAGAAGAACCCGGCUCAUCUUGAUUUUUCAUACGAUCCAGAGGGCUGCUUUUUUUAAUAAUCAUUACUUACUUAAGCACAUCGAGUUUCCUCAGGAGGACGAUGAAUAUUGUUGUGUUUUGCCACCCGAAAGGGUAAGAUUUUACAAGAGAAUAAAAGAUAAAGAAGGCGAUGAUUAUCGACUGCGUCUAUUCAAAAGAAGGGUAGAUUUGGGCACUAUCCAGUUGCGGUGCUAAUCAUCGGGCGUUGAAGAAAAGAUCAUGGUUUGUUUUCUUUUGUGAGUCUUAUUUUCUGUUUCUCUUUGUAUAGUAUAUACUAUAUAUGCAUUUUGUUUGAAUAAUUGAAUCUUCUUAACUCGAUCUUUUCAAUAUUUUGUACAAAGGAUGCAAGGGUUCAAUACUAGAUGUAGAUUUCAUAUCUGAGCUCCAAAUAUUAAACUAAACAUGGUAAAUACCAAAAAUAUACAUGACAAUAUUUGGGAAUUUCUUCUAUAUUCAUUAAUCUCCAAAGUGAAGUAUAUAUAGGAGUUACAAUUGGUAUUACAUAUGUAUUUCACCAAUGUGGGACAAUAAACUACUAUUUACACUUUAACUAAUAUAUAACUCACAACACUCCCCCUCAAGUUGGUGCAAAGAUAUCAUGCAUGCCCAACUUGUCAAGCGAGUUGGAAAACACACUAUUAGACACAGCCUUAGUAAGAACAUCAGUAAGUUGAUCUUCAGAUCCCACAAACGGAAACAUAAUAAUUCCAGCAUCCAAUUUUUCCUUGAUGAAAUGUCGAUCAAUCUCCACAUGUUUUGUUCGGUCAUGUUGCAUUGGAUUAUGAGCAAUCUCAAUAGCAGCCUUGUUAUCACAAUGAAGUUUUAUAGCACCCUUGGGUUUAAACCCAAGAUCUCUCAACAAUUUUUUCAACCACAACAACUCACAUACACCAUGAGACAUACCACGAAACUCAGCUUCUGCACUUGACCUAGCCACCACUUUUUGUUUCUUGCUUCUCCAAGUAACUAAAUUACCACCCACAAAUGUAAAAUAUCUAAAUGUAGAUCGCCGAUCAAUAAUAGAACCUGCCCAAUCUACAUCUGUAUACCCUUCGACAUUCAAAUGAUCAUUCUUGGAGAAAACCUAGCCUCUGCCAGGAGCCAUCUUCAAGUACCUCAAAAUACGGGUUACUGCAUUCAUAUGAGCUUCACUAGGUGAGUGCAUAAACUGACUUACCACACUAACUGCAUAACCAAUGUCAGGGCGAGUGUGACACAAAUAAAUUAAUCUCCCCACAAACCUCUGAUACUGAUGAGCUAUAUAUUUUCACAAACAAAAUAUAUUAGCAAGUCUUAAUAAAAAUGGGGAGACUUCAAAAUAAUAAUAGUAAUAAUAAUAGAGUCCAAAAUAUGGACUGACCAGAAAUAAGGCUCACUUUAUGUGUGUAUGUGCAUAUAUUCUUAUAUAUACUAUAUUUAUAUAAUAUAUAUAAGAAAUAAAGAGAGGGAAAAACAACUCUACACCCGCACACGUAGACCUCAACGUACACCAAGUCUGAAGGAGUUUGUCAUCUACAUGGCAACCAGGUAUAGAGAACGUGUGUAUCUAGAACCCUCUAAAACUCCCACGUUCUCCACUCAAGAGAUGGUUUUCUCUCAGCAUCUCCACACCCCAGGAAAGUUGCAUCCCACUAACUUCAACUGCCAUGUCCACUGUUCCUAUAAAAAGGCAUCGAACCAAAGCAAAGAGGACAGAAGACACAGAAAGAAAAAGAUAGACUCUGCAGAAAUUGAGAGAAAAGAUUGCAACGAAUGAGAGAUACAGAAACGCUGCAGAAAUUGUGGGGCACAAAGAGAGAACAAACGGGAAGAGAAAAGGAACAUAAGAAUACAGAGCAGGAGUGGACGACAAAAAGGAAAGGCAAGGACUCAAAAAGGUAUAAAUCCAUUUUUUUUUUUGGGGUUAAUCUUUCCUUUGUAUUUCGUUGUUAUUUCUUCACUUUGUAGAAGAAAAAGCACUUUGCUUCUUCAUCCUCUCCCAUUCCACGAAACAAAGGUGGAACUCUAGAUAAGUAAAGCCCAAACCCUUUCCCAUAUUUCGUCUACUAUGCCUAGCAAAUGAUGUCGAAACUCGCCAACGACGCAAGAGAUGAGUUCGAACAAGGCAGCAACCAAACCGCCGGACACUACCACUUCAACAACACCGAUGGCCAUAGUGAUCACGCCGUCCUCAAGCCCAGCGUUGCUACUGCUCCGUUUUAGGAGCUCAGUCCAAAGUUGAAAUCAAUGUUGUUGCUCCGUUUUAGGAGCGCAGUCCGAAGUUAAAAUGAUUGCUGCUGCUCUGUUUUAAGAGCUCAGUUCGAAGAAAUAAAAAAUCGGCGUGUUGCUACUGCUCCGUUUUAGGGGCGCAGUUUGAAGACAUUGACGGUUGUUGCUGCUCCGUUUUAGGAGCUUAGUUCACAGAAUUUGGCGUUUGUUGAUGUUCUGUUUUAAGAGCUUAGUCCGAAGUUGAAAUGGUUGCUGCUGCUCCGUUUUAGGAGCUCAGUUCACAGAAUUUGGCGUUUGCUGCUGUUCCGUUUUAAGAGCUUAGUCCGAAAUUGAAAUGGUUGUUGCUGCUCCGUUUUAGGAGCUCAUUAGAAACUUCGAGUGAAGAGAAACACGACUCAAAGAAUUUGACAUGAUGCUGCUACUCUAUUCUUCGAAGACGUUCCAGAAAAAAGAGGAACAAAGAAAUAGUCUUGUUCAUCACGUGGGAGUCUGCUCACAUGAAGGAAAAGUAAGGUCGAUUGAAAUUAAAAGUCCCAUUGGAACUUGGAGACUUUUAAAAGUCAAACAAAGAAAAGUAUAAAGCUUGCUGUCAUAUUGGUCAUAAGUUUAAGGCCUAGUUUGGGAGUGAGGUGCUUAAAAAAAAAGCACCCAUGAAAAAAAGCUGUGAGGGUUUUAGGUGUUUGGUAAACUGAAAAAAAAAAGGGCUUAUUUUGGAAGCUGCUGUGAGAAUAAGCUGAAAUCAAAGGAAAAAGUUGAAGUUUCUAUUUGCAGCUUUGGAAAACUGGUUUUUUUUCAAACCACACGGAGCUACAGUGCUCCUUUAAUGAAAAGACCCACUAUUAGACUGCUUUUUUUUUUCAAAAGCACUUUUACAAAAAAGUUUACCAAACGCUCUGCUGAUUUAUUUCACAGCCGCUUAUUCUCACAACAGCUUUUUUUCAAAGCACAGCAAUACCAAAUGAGCCCUAAGUCAGAUGAGUUCGAAGUCCCAUGUUUAAAUGGGUUUUGAAAAGUUCAAGGAAGAAUAUAAAAAGGGGAGGGGAAAUGCUAACUGAAAUCAGCACCUCACAUGGAAAGUUGCUCACGUGGGGGUUAAUAAAGUUAUGGGAGUUCUUUAUGGUAAUUUAACUUGUGCCAUUUCAAAUUGGAUCCCAUCCUCUUCGAACCAUUAAGGAGACAUACGGCAGUGACAAAAGAAAAAUAAAGAAAGAAGAAAAACAAGGGACUUAAAGCCUGAGAAGGCAUUGGUAAAAGAAAAAGGAGCCCUGACACUUGCUUUUAUAUUUUCCAUAUGAAAGUAAGCAUUUUUUGUGCUGCCAUGCAAAAGAUAGAAGGCAACAAUAGAGUAACGGGCUUGUAGGAAAAAUAAAAUGGGUUCCAAGACAAAAUAAAUGAAAAGGAAGACAAAGUCAAAUACCAAAGUAAAAGUGGGUUCAUCACAAAUAUUCCCCUUAAAUUUUACAAGACACAAAUGGCACAAAGCUGCGAUCAAUCUAAAAAAUAAAUGAACUACGCCGGUUUGAUUCCGUUAAGGAUACGUAGGCAGUCUGAUAUCAAAAUUUUAGACGCAACCGUGAAGCUGAAACGAAUCUCUGGUUUAUAUAAACUAAAUUCACUCCUACUAUCAAAUACCAAAAUGGCACGAAGCCAAAGAAAAGUUUCAAAGGGCAUCAAAUCUCGAGUGGCACGACGCCGAAGAAAAGUCUCAAAUGGCAUGAAGCCAUAUCAAAUUUUCAAAUGCUUCUCGCCCGCAUGAGCUAAAACUGCAUAAGGCACCAUUUGCUCCAAUGGCUUAAAGUCCUCGCCCGCAUGAGCUAAAACUGCACAAGGCAUUAAUGCUCCAAUGGCUUAAAGUCCUUGCCUGAUGAGCUAAAACUGCAUAAGGCAUUAAUGCUCCAAUGGCUUAAAGUCCUUGCCUGCUCCAAUGGCUUAAAGUCCUUGCCUGCAUGAGCUAAAACUGCACAAGGCAUUAACACUCCAAUGGCUUAAAGUCCUCGCCUGCACGAGUUUAAACUGCAUGAGGCUUAAAGUCCUCGCCUGCACGAGUUUAAACUGCAUGAGGCAUUUAACACUCCAAUGGCUUACAGUCCUCGCCUGCACGAGUUUAAACUGCAUGAGGCAUUAAAUGCUCCAACGACUUAAAGUCCUCGUCUGCAUGAGCUAAAAUUGCACAAGGCAUCAAAUGCUCCAAUGGCUUAAAGUCCUUGCCUGCAUGAGCUAAAACUGCACAAGGCAUUAUUGCUCCAAUGGCUCAAAGUCCUCGCCCACACGAGCUAAAACUGCAACAAGGCAUCAAAACCAAACAAGUACUAAAUACCAAGGAACUACGAGUGACUUGAUCCCUCAACGAGGGUACCUAGGCAAUCUAGGGCUCUACCUAGGUUCUGUCACAAAAUCAAAUAAACAUCCAAAUCCCCAAGUUACGAUUUAUUCAUAUUAGAAUCAAAAGGGUAUUCUUUUCCCAAAUGAAGGAUUGUAAUUAAUAGGCGCGUAGCCUAGAAUGGGUCGAACUUGAAUUAAUAAAACCUUCUUCAAGAAAUGAACAAGGGUGAAAUUGUGUCGAGUGAAUUAUUUGUUUACAUAUUGUGUACAAUUUUUGCUCAACAGAUACCGUUCCUUAUGAGUAGGAACUUGAUAUGGAAAUAAGCCCAGAUGAUGAUUCUGCUCAAUCGUAGUAUCAACAGGUUUGCAAUCUAACAUACCUAUUUCAGCUAACAAAUCAAGAACAUAAUUCCGUUGAGGCAGAAAAAUGCUUGGAUCGUGCAACCUCGAUUCCAAGAAAAUACUUCAAUUCACCCAAUUCUUUCAUCUCAAAUUCAGUAGCUAGGUACUUUUGAAGGCAUUGUAUCUCCUUCUGAUCAUCACCAGUCACUAUCAUGUCAUCAACAUAAAUAAUCAAUACAGUUAGCAUACCAUUUUGUCGCUUUAGAAACAAAGUAUGAUAUGAAUGACUCUGGAUAUACCCAAACUUCUUCAUUGAACUUGUAAACCUCCCAAACCACGCUCUAGGAGAUUGUUUCAAACUAUACAAAGCCUUUCGUAACUUGCAUACAACACCUUUUCCAGGAGAUGUUCCAAUACCAGGUGGGAGAUCCAUAUAAACUUCCUCCUUAAGAUCACCAUGAAGGAAAUCAUUCUUAACAUCAAACUGCAACAGAGGCCAAUCCUGGUUUACUGCUAAGAACAGAAGAACACGCACAAUAUUUAGUUUGGCAACAUGAGCAAAAGUCUCCCAAUAGUCCACCCCAUAGGUUUGAGUAUAACCCUUAGCAACUAAUCUGGCUUUAUACCGGUCAAUAGAACCAUAUGCUUUGUGCUUAAUAGUAAACACUCAUAUACAUCCAACGAGUUUCUUCCCGUUUGGUAAAGGAACCAAAUCCCAAGUAGAAUUCUUUUCCCAAGCUUCCAUCUCAACUUUCAUGGCAUUAACCCACUUAGGGUCAGACAAAGCAUCUUGCAAUUUUGUUGGAAUUGAUACACUAGAUAGCUGACAUAUGUAAAAUGCAUAUGGUUUGGACAAACGAUGAGUAGACACAUAAUUGUUGAUAGGAUAUUUGGCUUUGGCAUGCAUAUCAGGCUCAUAUUGUACUUUAGGUUUUCCACGAUUAGCUCGUGGAGGCAACUGAUAAGUAGAAGAAUCGUCAGAAUUUACCUCAUGUAUGCCACCAUCUUGUACCAAACUGUUAGAAGAAUCAUCACUAGACGAACCAUCAUCAGGCAACUCGUUAGACAUACCAGCAGCAAGCAAUUGAUCAUCAGAAGGUAAUUCAUCAGACAUACUAACAGGCAACUUGCUGGGCACAUCUAAUCUGUCGUCAGUAGAAAUAGUUCCGGGAAUGACAGGUGACUAAUCACUAUCUGUAGCCGACUGAUCAGUAUCACGCAACAUAAUAGGUUCUGUUUCCAACUCUGCCUGUAACACAUCAUCCAUAUCAUCUCUUCGAAUUUGCACUUCACUCCCUUUUUCCCCCUGAAGUGGAGAGUUAGAAGAAGGCUUCACAAAAUACAAAACUUCCUUGUGGAAUGUAACAUCCAUGGUAAUAUAAGUUUUUUGAUUCGGAGGAUGAUAAAACUUAUAGUCUUUUUUAUUGUUAGCAUACUCAAUAAAGACACAUCGGAGAGCACAUGCAUCAAGUUUACUCUGUUGAUGAGAGUAGACAUGCACAUACGCAAUACACCCAAACACUUUUGGAGGAAGCUUUGAUACAUAAACAAGAGAAACAUGUUUUUGUAGCACAUCAAGCGGUGUCUGAAAAUCAAGAACCCUACUUAGAAUAGAUUGAUCAAAUACACAGCAGCCAAAACAGCAUGACCCCACAAAUGAUUGGGAACACAUUUAUCCAACAUCAAGGAGUGAGCAACCUCCAUUAUUUGACGAUUCUUCCGUUCGGACACACCAUUUUGUUAGGGUGUAAACAGAGUAGUCGUCUGGUGAAUAAUACCAUGAUCACGAAAAAAGCAUGCCAAAGUGUGAUUCACAUAUUCUUCUCCGUUAUCAGACCUGAAGACCUUAAUUUUGGUUUGAAACUGAGUAGACACCAUUGUACAAAAUUCUUGAAGAAGUAACGGAACAUCACUCUUAUUCUUCAUAAAAAACACUCAAGUUAACCGAGUACAAUCAUCAAUAAAAGUAACAAACCAACGGAAUCCAUUAGAAGUAAAUUUCGCAGGACCCCACACAUCAGAAUGUAUCAAAUCAAAUGGCAAAGUAGCUUCAGAAUCACUUACGGGAAAGGAAGCACGAUGACUUUUAGCCAUGACACAUGGUUUCACACUUGAACUUUGAAUCACUACAAGUGCGAAACAAAGGAGGAAAUAGAUGCUUCAUAUAACUGAAUGAUAGAUGUCUCAAUCGUUGAUGCCACAACCAAAUUUGAUGUCUGUCAUCCAUUUUAGCACUUAAAACUUGAUAAUUAUUUGAACCGGAAAUAAUAGUAUCCUCCAUAGUCAAGAUGUACAAACCCCUUAUUCUUUUACCAUAACCAAUUAUCUUCUGAGUUUGAAUGUCUUGAAAAUAACAAUACGUAGGGUAGAAAUGAGUAGAACAAUAUAAGGUAUCAAGAAGUUUUCCUACCGACAAAAGAUUGCACUUAACAUCAGGAACAAGUAAAGCACGGACCAGUGAUCAGGUCAAAGUCAGAGAGAUAGUGUCUUCACCCUUCACAGGGGAAGGUGCUCCAUUUGCACUAGUAAUAUACGGAUUACGAACAUAGUCACAUAACUCAUCAAACACUCUAGGGUCACUAGUCACAUGAUCAGUGGCCCCAGUAUCAAUUAUCCAUUUAUUUGUUCCACCAAGAUGCAUAACAACACUAUGAUUAUAUUGAGUCAUUGAACUAAAUCACGAACAAUAAAGGCACAAAAAAUACGCAGCGGAAUAAAAAUAAUUUACCAGAACACUGUAGCAAUCACUGUUCACUGCAAUGUAGUAGAUACUAUUCACGACUGUAGAGGAUCACUGUUUACGACACUGUAGAGGAUCACUGUUCACGCAAUGUAGCAAAGCGUUGUACUAUAACGCGACACUAUUCAAUUUUUUUUUUCAACGAAGGAAAUCGCGAAAAAAGUGGACACAAAAUUAAAGCACACAGGUCAUCAAGAGCGAACUGCUAUGAUGCCAUAUUAAAACUAAACACGGUAAAUACCAAAAAUAUACAUGACAAUAUUGGGAAUUUCUUCUAUAUUCAUUCAUCUCCAAAGUGGAGUAUAUAUAGAAGUUACAAUUAGUAUUACAUAUGUACUUCACCAAUGAGACAAUAAACUACUAUUUACACUUUAACUAAUAUAUAACUCGCAAAACCAUAUUGGUUCAUAUUUGAGCUCUUUCAGCGGAUUAACACUGUUGUCAGCGAAUAAAGGAGUUUAAUCCAACAGUUUACAAUAAGACGGGCAAAUCUUCCCGUUGUUUAUUUUCCCAUUUCUUCUUAAUUUUUUGUUUUUGCUCCAAUCUUUCUUUAUUUUUUUUUUUCUUAUGUUUUUGCUCCAAUCUUUCUUUAUCACAUAACCGUAGCUACUUUCUGGUUAAAUUCUUUUUUUUUUCUUAAAAAUAAAUUAAAAGCUACUUAAUACUAGGGUAUAGUAAUAUUCAUCUUUACUUAUAAGUGAAAUAUGUCUUAUAUUCGAUUUUCGUCACUUAGCCGUCUUCUCACUUCUUAAUAUAGAUAAUAUCGUCUGUUCAAAACAUAAAAAAGUAAAUUAAAACACUAAAAUUAAAUAAUAAAAAAAAUAAAUAGAAACCCAACCCUCGUCAAUUUCCUUACCCCAGUGUGAGAUUUGUCCAAACGUUAGAUAAUUUGGGUUGGGUGAGGUGGGUUGGGGUCGCUUCUCAUCUAUUCAUUCACCCCUUCACAUCUGUGCAUCCACCCCAAUUUAGAUGAUUUGGGAUCUUGGAUUAGCAAUAUUUUUCAAAUAACAGAGAGGAGACUGGAGAGAGAAAGAGGGGGGAGGAGUAAGGAAGAGCGAGAGACAAUGGGACGGUUAGAUUUUGGAAUUGCUAUGACAUAAAAAUAUUAAUAAUGAUAAAAGUUAAUUAGAGUUAUGUGAGAGGACACGUGUCAAGCUGAAGUUGUGUUGGUAACAUACACUAGGGUUAAGUUUGGGCAAUUUUGCUCAUCACCACUCUAUUUAUCAUUGUUAAAUGAGUUUAAAUUUUGAAAUUUGUAUCUAUCCAUAGUAGAAUAUCAGGGUACACAUAACAAACAUACGAACAAACAGAUUAUAAAUUACGAAUAUUAUUUGAUUAAUGAAAAAACAAAGAAAUAGGAUUGACAAGACGACUACACUUAAAGACUACAUUUUAAUCAACUUAUUAUCAUACUAAAUUACAAGCUAUAUGUAUAGAGAACAAAACCUAAGAAACCCUAAUUUGAAUGAGCUAAGCCCAAAUCUUAAAUUAACAAGCAAACCCAAAUAAUUAAAUAACUAAUUUUUCAACACCCCGGUCAAACUCAUGGUGGUACACGACAUGAGUUUGCCAACAAGAAAAUGUCGAUGCAGGCUUCGCUAGGUGGACAAGCAGGCAAGCAAGCAAGCUUGGCUACGCUGGACUUGACUUGACUUGCGAAUUAGCAAACUGAUUAUGUUUCAGACAUGCAUGAGGGUAUGGAAAGAAAGCAUAUGAGUGCUCCCCAUCAUUAAACGAACGAGAUUUUCAUAUCCCAAUUACAGCAAUGGACGGACAAAAAGAAUACUAUCACUUAAGUGGUCACAAGUCCAAAACAGUCGCAAAAUUCCCAUACAGGCCAACAACUCGUGUGGGCCUCAAAGACUUCAAACAAAAUCAAACAGCCCAUUUCUUUUUGCCCUUUCCUCAACCAAAUUCGUGGGCCUCAAACAUACCGCCACUUUUUCUCCUUUUUCUUUUCCUUUUUCUCUCUUUUUCUUUUUCUUUUUCUUUUUUACAGAUCUCUAUAAUUGUUGCCCCAACACGACAAUUUUGUUAAUUCUUAUUAAUGAAGAGGAUUUUUCAAUCUUUCUUUGUUUCGUGCAGUUUGAAUUUGCCUGUGUUCAAAUCUGAACUGAAUCAUUUCUUUUUUAAACAACUGGUGUCGGGAGAGGGGGCCUCUGCAGGCUUUUAUCAACUUUGAGUUACAAGUCCAUUGAAAAUUAAUAAUUGAUUUGUCUCUUUAAGGAAGAAAGGCCAUAGAAAAUUAAUAACUGAAUUAUCUGUUAAUUUAAUUAUUAUAAUAACUGAUUUGUCUUUUUUUUUUUAAAUUUUUUUAAAUGAUUUGCAAGAGUAGAAUUUGAGCUAAGUCACACGCUAUAAUUUCACACCGAACGAAAAUCGAAUCUAAGACCUUCUUUUUUAUAAGUGGAGAAAUUUAUAAUUGAAUCUUUAGAUUUUGCAUUAUAGUCACUCUAUAGUGACUCUUUUAUGACUACAAAAAAUGAUUACUCAAUUUUCGUGGGAAACGCGAAUUAUACACGUACCUUGAGUACUUUUUGGAAAAGCCAUGUAUAAUUUGUCUGCUGACUUUUAUUGGUAAAUAUCUCAUGUAAAUGUUGGUUUGUUUGGGCUUCCCCACCCUCAUUUACCCCAAAAAAAAGAAAAAAAAAAAAAAAAAAAACAAAAGACUAGUCCUUCUUGAGCUUCUCUGGUAGCAUGAUCAUCUCCCACAUCCUCUUCUUCAUCAACUCUUAAGACCGACGCCCAUUCAGAUCCUUGGAAGUUUGAACAUGGUGAAGAGGAACUAUAGUUAUCCACUUGAGUUUGCGAGUUAGCAAAAUUCGAUUUGUGAAAUCGUCCAUUUCAAGUGUCUUUUUGAAGAAACUAGUUGGGACUUUCAUCCAACAGCUUGCCGGCUGAAAGAAAACUCGCAGCUUUCGACAUCUUACAAUACACAACUCUGGUGUGUGCGAGGUACCUCCAAGCUCCCCUCUUGUGAAAACAUACAUCUGCUUGUAUUAUUAGCUUUCAAUUGAAAUCUUCAUGGCCGAUGAGUCAAUGCAUUGGCUUUGGAUCCUCUUGCUUUCUUAUCUUUAUUUUUCUUUUUAAUAUUGUCCUAUGAAAUUUGUUUUGAGUCUCUAACUCACACUUAAAGCACCGCCGUUACACUGAAAAUUUUCUCUAAACUAGUGGGUCAUUCUCUUUUGUUUAUGAAAAAAAAUCAUGAACUUAUCCAAUAAAUUCCACAUAUCAUCCCUUAUUGACAUAACUAGAUUCAAGUGCUACAUUUUAUAAUUACACAUUAGUUGGUUUUUAGUUUUUUAUUCCAGUUCUUUGAAUUUUGAUUAAACGCUUUAACUUUACAUGUGUUCUUUUCUUAAUUUUUAACUCAAUAUGUUAUAUAAAUUUAAAGAAUAUAAAUAUGAGUCUCUAAAUUCUUGGAAAUUGUUUUGCAAGACUUUAAUUUAUUUUUUUUUCAGAAACGUGAACUAAAUCCAUUCAUGAAAAAAGAUCCAGUCCUUUUCUUUUUUUCUUCUCAAAAUAAAUAUGAGUCAUUAUUUUAAUAAUUAAUUUAUUAAAAAUUGAUAAAAUAUAUUUUUGUAUAAAGUUUUAAUAUGAAUUUCUUUUAGGGUUGUCAUUAGCUUUUUACGUACCAACGCCUUCAAACUUAAGCCACAGCCCACUCCCAGUCCAAAUCCAUAAACCCAGCCACUUUAAUUGUUUUCAGAAGAGUGGCAGUUUCUUAAAUAAAGUGAAAUGCAGCAAAAGUCACUGUAGCUUAUGAACAAUGCCAAGGGAAAUUUCCCUAGUGCCAAUUCUUCCCCAAUUUAGACUAUAUAGUAAUAUGAAAAAUUCCAUCUCCAAUCAGACUUUCAUUCUUAAUACAAGUUAGCAUACUUACUAGAAACACCAAUUAUUAUUAUUUUUUUUUUUUUUUCUGGGUAAUACUAAAGACAUCAACUUAUUAGUUUUAGGAAAACUAAUGAAAAUGACUUGAAAACUUUGAGUUUUAAUAAUAAGGACAAAAUAAAGGGUAAAAUGAAUAGUACCAGGUUUGACUUUUUAGUGUAAAAAUGUGGUUUUUCGUUAAAGUAAACAGUACCAUGGAUUUUUCGUUAAAACUACCAUUAGUUUUUGCAUCAAUUUUUUAAAUCCCAAAUUUCGUGGCAAUGUUUCAACGCAUUUUCUGUUCACAUUUUACAACAAAUAAGAAUUUGCAUUGUGACUUGUUAACAAUUAACUGGUGUCUCUUGCACUAUUAUUAUGUUUAUCAUUUCUUACAUACUUCCAAAAUUAGACAUGUAAUAUGAUUUGCAUCUCAGUGUUAAAUCAGAUGUGUUUGGCAGCUGGAGAAUAUAUUCUCAAUUUGCAUUCCAAUUUGUAUAUAAUAACUUUUGUUCAUGCAUGCACUGCAACAGAUGGACACUAUUCAAUAGCUACGAUGAGCACCGAGCAGCAGAAUGCUUCUUCGUCCUCUUACCGGUGCACAUAUGAUGCAUUCUUAAGUUUCAGAGGUGCAGAUACACGCAAGGGUUUUGCAGAUCACCUCUACAGUGCUUUGGAGUUGGCAGGAAUCCACACUUUUAGAGAUGAUGAUGAAAUUGAGGGAGGAGCAAACAUCGAACAGGAGCUACAGACAGCAAUACAAGAGUCACGAGUAUCAGUCAUUGUUUUCUCCACGGACUACGCCUCUUCCACGUGGUGCCUGAAUGAACUUGCUAUCAUCAUGGAACGUACAAAAACAGAUGGACACAAGGUUGUGCCAGUUUUCUAUGACGUGGAACCAUCAGAUGUCAGGAAACAGACGGGCAGUUUUGCAGACUCAUUUACCAGACAUGAAGAGCGCUUCAAGGACAAGAUGGACAAGGUGGAGGAGUGGAGACGAGCUCUUAGAGAAGUAACAGACCUGGGAGGGAUGGUUUUAGGAGAACGGUAAUUUGUCAUUCCCUCCCUAUAUUCAGUCAAGUAGAUCAGAUGCUAGUCUCAAGCUUGUGAAAGUUUUAGCUUUUCUUUUUAAAUAAAAAAAAUUAAAUAAAUAACUUGUUCGUGUUUUUUCUUUUCGUCUGAUAUAUUUUUAUAUCAAUAACAUAUAGGUACGAGUCGCAGUUUAUCCAAGAUAUUGUUGAAGCUGUUGGAAAUAAACUGGACUACAUGAACAUGUGGAAAAGGAGAUUAAGAGUUGAUCCCUAUGUAAUUGGAAGAGAUUAUUAUGUGGAAAGCCUGAACACCUGGCUAGAAGAUGGAUCAAAUGAUGUUGGAGUAGCUGUCAUCCAUGGAAUGGGUGGAAUAGGCAAGACCACCAUUGCUAAAAUUGCUUAUAACCAGAACUUCUCUAAAUUUCAAGCUAGCAGCUUUCUUUCAGAUAUCAGGGAAACUUCCAAACAAGCGAAUGGUUUUGUUCACUUGCAGAGGAACCUUCUUUCAGAUAUCCAAAAGAGGAAAGUGAACAACAUAUACAGCCAUGAUGAAGGUAUAAUAAAGAUCAAACGGGCUGUACGUUGCAAAAGAGUUCUUAUUGUUCUCGAUGAUGUUGAGAACUUGGAACAGUUCAAUGUGAUUCUUGGAAUGCGAGACUGGCUCCAUCCUGGAAGUAAAAUUAUCAUAACAACUAGACAUGAACAUUUGUUAAGGGCUGAAGUUUGUGUAAGGUUUAAGGUUGAAGGAUUACCUGAGCAUCAAUCACUUAAGCUUUUCAGUUGGCAUGCCUUUGGACAACCCCAUCCUCAAGAAGGUUACAUGGAGCUUUCAAGACCUGUAGUAGAACAUUGUGGAGGGGUUCCAUUAGCUCUUCAAGUUCUGGGAUCUUCUCUAUUUGGAAAAACAGUAGAUGUAUGGAAAAAUGCAUUACACAACCUAGACGUGAUUACUGAGGGAAAAAUUCAAAAGAUUCUUGGCAUAAGUUUUCAUUCUUUACAAGAUCAUGAUAAACGUUUAUUCCUCCACAUAGCCUGUUUCUUCGUAGGGAAGGACAAGGAUUUUACAACUACAAUCCUUGACGAAUGUGAUUUUGCCACAGAGGUUGGACUUCAACAUCUGGUUGAUAGAUGCCUUGUGGAAAUUAAUGUCCACAACAAGUUAAUCGUGCAUCAAUUACUUCAAGACAUGGGAAGGGCAAUAAUUCAUGAAGAAUCACCUGAGGACCCUGGAAAACGCACUAGACUGUGGCAUAAAGAUGCAUUUAACGUUUUGACAAAAUUAACGCACUACAAGAAAAAGGCCUUUUUGCGACACAUUUUUUGCGUCAAAUUACACUAUCGUCGCAAAUAAAAGGAAAUUAGCGCGGUAUUUGUUAGCGCGAAAAUAUUUGCGACACCACUAUAAGUAACGUCGCUAAUAAUGUCGCAAAUAGAAAUAUAUGUCGUCUUAAACAGAUUGUUUGCGACGCCCCUAACGACGGAUAGAGUUUGAGCGGGAACAAAUUGGCGCUUAGGGUUUGAGCGCGCGCACUCCUUUUUUCUUUUUCCCAACGCAGCCUUAGUGCUCUCCCUCAACCGUUUCUGUUUCCUUUUCCUUUUCUCUCAGAGAUUCAAUCGAAAAUUCUGGAGUUGUAUCAGAGUUACGGAGCACAAUCAGAGUUCAGGUAAGCCACUACAACCAUCUCCAUCUUCUUUCUUUUUUGAUUCCAUAAGUCUUGCUAAGUGAUUUAUAGGGUUUCUGUCAAAGGCGCACAUAUCUGCUAAAUGUCUUCCAAAACCUAGGGUCUUUGGCAUCCGGGAUUGGGAUGUCUUUCUUUUUUCCACCCAUUCUGCUCAGAAUCGGUUUGAUCAUCUUCCUCAGUACCUUGUUAAACCCCAACCCACGUCUUUGAUUGCUAAGUGAUUCCAUAAGUCUUGCUUAGUUCUCUCCCUCAGCCUUAGUUUUCUCCCUCAACCGUUUCCGGUUCCAAUUAUUAGUUUGGACUGGACAACGCCUGCGUUUUGGGCUGCAGGUUUUCUUAAUAUGUUUACAGCACAAACAGAAAAUUUUAGUUAAAAACAAACCCUGUUUUCUUAAUAUGUUUACAGCACAAAUAGUAAUUGAUUUUUAGGGGGAUUGUGCUUCUUGAUUUUCUAUGUGCCUUUAUUUUUAAUUCGUGGACAUCUUGCCCAAUUUUUUUUUUUUUUUUUUUUUUUGUAAUUUUGUUGGCAUUUGCAACAAUAUAUUUGGCUUCUUCUUCUUCCUUAAAAAUAUGGUGAAUGAUUAGAGUGUACCUUUUACAGGCGUUGCUUUUCCAUAGAUUGGGAAGAUCUUGGAGAAGGCCCUCGCACAAGGUAAAGUGGAUGAUGUAGGAUUGUUUUUUUGUGUGCUGACUAAAAGUUUACCUUGGAGUAAUCUCUUAUUUGUGACACUCCUUGAAAUUCUGGAUAUAUUUUCUUUGAGUAUCAUAUGCAAAAGUCAAAGUUGCCCAAAGUUCAGAGGAUACAUUGAAUGAAGAAUUGGAUAUGUAUUUCGUAUUUGCUACCCAAGAAUAUGACCGUUUGGAUUGUUAAUUACCCAUUCCUAGCUAGUUCAUGUGUUAGGUAGGUGAAUGAUGGGGAUUAGUAGUGAGUUUAUCUAAUUUUUAAGUGAUAGUUGAUGGCAGACCUAGAGUUUGUCUAAUUACCCAUUCAACUCAUAUUAUAUAAGCCCACCUUUUAAAACUCAAUUGCUUCCCUUUAUUAUUUAUAUUUUUAAUAACUAGUAUUAUCAUUAUGAAUGUUGAGAUAACUCUGUAUGUGUAUCGCCUAUUCCGAGCUCACACAUUAUCAUGCGUUAAUGCAUAUUCUUUUGUGUUAAAGUAGAAUACUGUUUUUGGAAUAGUUUGGAUUGACAACUUAUCUCAUAUUGCUUAGUGUUUAACAUUCUUUUGUAGUUCAAAUAUUUUGGAUUAACUAUAGAGAUCAGAUCAAGGGUGCUUAAUUCUUAGUUCGGUAUGUUUUAUAUCCACCUUUUAAAUAAAUUUUUGAUUAAUUUUACUUACUUUCUUUGUAUUAUUUUCGGAUGACAUUAGGUAUGGACAAGAGUUGGAUAGAUUUAAAUGACAGAUGUCCCUGAUGCAUAUAAAUUUCAUUGCUUAAAGGUUAUUGGCAAUAGAUGGAGGGAUUGGAAGUGUCGGGUUAAGCAAAGAUGGUAUGACGCAUACUUGACCGAUGAACAACGUUUAUCCUUCACUCCUCCUCAAGUCACUACAGAUCAAUGGAAGACACUAGUAAAGUAUUGGGGCCUCCCUAAUAUAAAGGUAAAUUAGGAAAAAUUACAUUUUAAGUUUAUAAUAGUGAUGAAUUAUGGUUGCUUUAAACAUGUGUAGGAAUAUUCUGAGGCAAAUAAGGCUAAUCGUGCACAUGGAGGUGCUCCUCAUCGGACUGGUCGUACUUCAUUUGCUCAAUUGAAACAUGAGGUCAGAACACUAGUUUUGCAGUGAGUAAUAAGUGAUAAUAAUUAACAAUAGGACUAAUACUAAUACAAGCAGGGGAUGUAUAUAUAUAAACCAUGCUGGAAAACUGGAAUGGUAUCAUUUGUACCAGGUCCAAUUUGAAUACGGCAUGAUGGAAAUGCUGGAAAGUUUUUAUUUUCUCCAUUUAACAAUUUUCAUUACUAACUUGAUUAAACAUUGUGUGCUCUUAAGAUGAGAGAGAAGGGAGAGAAAACGGAUCAGUUGAGCAUGUUUAUAAAAACAAGAACAAAGAAAACAAAGAAUGAUGACAGAGACCUUUUCGAUGAGGAAAGUGGCCAAAUUAUUGUAAGUAUCAGUUAGGUUAUAUAUUUUUCACUCAAAGUAAAACUUUGCAUAUUCACAUCGUUUUGAUUAGUUGGGUUGUGCAUUAUUUUUAUCUUUUGGUCAUUUGAAUUGGUUGGGUCAUGUUUUGUAGAAUCAAUUUAAUCAAUGCUUGGAAGAAAGGGAAGAGCAUGAGCAAGACGAGGAUUAUCGAGAGGAGGUGUUUACUAGAGUUAUGGGACCUGAUGCAUAUGGACGUGUUCGCAUGUAUAGAACAGGUAUAACUCCAUCUCAAGUGUUUUGUCAAAGUUCAAGAUCUUCCAAUGUUAAUGAGGACACCAUACGAGAAGAGGUAGAAAGACAAUACAAGACUAAGAUAGAUGAUCUUAAGGCUAAGCAUGAAUCUGAAAUUGAAGAUCUCCGAUCCAAGUAUAGUGAAGUCAGUUCGAAACUCCAUCUUGUGACGACUCAUAUUGGUUUCCAUGUUAACACAUCACCAAGUGGAAGUGGACAGGUAUAUACAUUCGAAUGUGAUUUUGUUCUCUUUUCAAUUUAUUAGAAUAAAUUAGUGUGAAAAUUUGAGCAAUUUUGAUUUCUAUUUGUCGUGUUGGUGUUAAAUAUAGGCUCCAAAUACAUCAAGCCAUCUACAAGAAACAUAUGGGAGUAAUGAGCAACAACCUCAGUUAGACCCAGAACCAUAGAAACAAUUGCUUCAUAAAAGGUUUGUAAAGAAAACAUUAUACUAAAGAUUAAACUUUUAAUUGACACAUGUUAUUGAUGGCUGUGUAAUUCUUAUUUUUCAGGUUUGCAUGGAGAUUGUGAUGAAGAGUCUUGAUCAUAAUUAAACUCUUGAAUAUGUUGGAGCAUAUUUGAAAAAAAAAAUUAUGUUCAUAACUUUUGAGACGAGAUUAUUUAUAUUUGACUCUAGUAGGAUUAUAUGUAUUGGGAUAUGCGGAUGGUGUACUUUCAAUGUUAUUAGGAAUUCUAAAAGCAUAGUUCUUUGAUUCAUAUAUUAUUUUACUUUUGAACUUGGGAUGAUUGUGAAUAAGAUUAUAAAUUGCAACCUAAUCUUUCAUUGAACAAAUAUCAUUUCCAACCAUUUUGUAUUUAUAACAAAAAAAAUUGUAGGGAUAAAAGCAUUUACGACGUGUCAAACAUGUCCCAAAUAUUUUGUUUAAUUCCACCAUCAAAGCCGUUGCGACGCUAACUAUUGUGUCGCAAAGCUGUCGUAAAAGAACUUCGCGGCGCUUGAAAUGUGUCGCAAUAAGUUGUGAAAACUUUUGCGACAUGGGUUUGUUGCGACGCAAUCACAAGUGUCGCAUGAGCGUCGUUAAAACGCAUAAACGACGCUUUCAUGACUUAACACGACGAGUUUUUAGCGUCGUAUUUAGCAAGUUUUUUUGUAGUGACGGUAAGAAACAUGAAUUUUAUGUGUAUAUAUUUGCAAUGGUGUUCUACAUGGUAACUUAUCCAAUGUUAUUAUUUGUUAGCAGGGUACGAGAACUAUCAAGGGCCUCAUGCUCCACUUUCUCCCAUCAGAUUCAUCUCCGGUAAAUGAGGUAGGUUUCAAAACAAAGGCAUUCACAGAGAUGCUCCAUCUUGAACUACUUCUGCUUGAUAAUGUAAAGUUGAGUGGUGUGGAGCCAAAAAUAUUCACAAAGCGACACGUGGGUUUUUGGACAAAAAGGACAAAAAUACCCUCGAGGCAUACCGGGUCUCCUACACGCGAGCAGUGGAGAAUCAUCCAUCAACCAAGUCAGAAGUACCCAAAAUGGGUAACAAUUCAAAACCUAUUUCAUAUAUGUUUUUACCUCAUUGUUUCCUUAUUCAAUUAGCCAUUUAUUUCAAACAUUCCAUAACAUCCUCAACCAAUUAAUAUAAUCAAUAUAUUAAAGGCUAAUUACAUCACCAAAUCACCCCAAAAUCACACCAAGGGCCGGCCAUUCCCAUCCAAAAAGAGCCUAUCAUAUUCUCUACCUUUUCCACUAUUUUCCCUUUUUAAUUACACUAAUUAGCUAGCCAAUUAAACCCAUAACCAUCAAAACAUUCCUUUAUGUUUAAAUUAGCCAAUUAAUCAUAAUAAAUUGGCUAAUUAAACCUAAAUUAAACCUAAAAACCCUAGCCACCUCUUAACUCUAUAAAUAGGCACCUAUUCUCACCAAAAAAUCAAGUCCAACACUUUGGCAAAAAUCCCAAAAUUCUCUAAACACUCUUUCUCUCUAAAUUCUAACUUUGGCAUCGGAGGUUCUUCGGCCAAAGCCCCCCCCCCAUUCAUCGUGGGCGCGUGAGGCUCUUGGCCUUAACCUAAGGUGUUAAUUAUUUUGUAGGUGCAAAAUCGUCCAAAAUCGAGGAGGAAGAAAUUUGCAUCCACAAGUGGAAGCUAUGAAGAUUUUCCAAAAAAAUUAAUAUGGUUGUCUUGGAGAGGAUUGUCUUUAAAAUCAAUACCAGCCAAUUUUUGUUUGGAAAAUCUAGUUGCUCUUGACUUACGGAAGAGCAGUCUGCAACGUGUUUGGAAAGGAACAGGGUAUGUUCUAAUCUCUCUCACUCUCGCUCUCUCUCUAUCUUUCUCUCUCUAUCUCUCUCUCUCUCUCUCACUCCCAGUGUAUUAAAAGCGUGAGGCGUGGGCGAGGCGUCCGAGGGGAAGCCCGGCCUAGGCGUGAGGCAAAGCCUCACGGGACCUAAAUUUUUUAAUAUAUACACUGAGCGUACACAUAUAUUAUAUUAAAAAUAAGAAAAUUAUUAAUCAAUAAUCACCCUGAGCACACACAUAUAUUAUAAAUAUAUAUAUAUACACACAUAUAUAUACAUAUAUUAUAUUAUAUAUGCAUAAAAUAGAGGAUGAAAAGCACAAUGAGCACAUAUAUAACAAUGCACGCAAACAACACACAUCCAUUAUAUAAAAAAUAAAAAUCAGAAAAAAGGCAUAGAGACAAAAGUGCAAGGAAGAGGUAUGAGGCAGUUAAAAUCCUACCCAAAAUUUGGGUUUGGGAGUAAAGACAAGACAAAAAAAAAAAAAAAAAAAACUCACUGAGGCGUGCCUAGGCGGCUCCGGCGAAGCCUUUCGCCCACUCCAACAAAACUGAGGCGUUAGCCAUGGCGCCCAGCCUCAAGGGCGCCCUAGGCGCGCCUCGAGGCGAGUUUUUUAAAACAUUGCUCAAUACACACAAAUAAAAAUAAAUUUUAGUGAAAUUAGACUCUGUAUUCAUAGCAACUAAUGACUUCUCUUUGAUACAGUUUCUUACAAGAUUGAAAAUUCUUAAUCUCAGUCAUUCACAUGGCCUUUGGACAACAUCUGACUUGUCCGGACUCCCUAACCUUGAGAAACUAAUUCUUAAGGAUUGCAUUAAUUUGGUUGAUGUUGAUGAAUCCAUUGGAAACUUGGGGAAACUUGUUUUCUUGAAUCUAAAAGACUGCAAAAGUCUUAUGAAGCUUCCAAAAAGAAUGAACAUGAUGAGGUCUCUUGGGGAACUUAUUCUUACUGGUUGCUCAAAGCUUGUGCUUCAUGAUAGUGCCAUGGUUAUUUAUAUACACACUACAUCAAGGGACAUGAAUAAACUUAGACUGUUGUCAACUAUAUCAUGGACACCAAUCAGGUCUUGGUGGAUGUGGGCAUGGCCAAGAAAGACUCUUCAAUCAACCAGUUUCUCACUAGCAAGUUUACCACAUUGUUUGGGAAGCUUAAGUCUGUCUUACUGCAACGUGUCGGAGGUUCCCAAUGAUUUAUGUACACUAUCUUCCUUGAAAUAUUUGAAUCUAAUUGGUAACUCAAUUUUGUGCCUACCACCAAACAUGAAGAGUCUUAUUAUGCUCGAGACUCUUUUGUUAGAUAAAUCCAUAAACCUUGAAAUACUUCCAGAGCUGCCCCCAAGGUUGAAGAGGUUGGAAGCAAAAUAUUGUACAUCAUUGAAAAGAUUAACAAAUUUACCAUUGUUCGGAUCAUUAGAAUCACUGUUUUGGGGUUGCGAGCAAUUAGUUGAAGUUGAAAGCUUGUUGAAUAUAAAACCGUCGAGAAGCACUGACAUAGAAAUGAGAAGAUAUAUGGGCCCGUUCAAUUUGAAAUCCAUAACAAGCACUGAUGUUGAAAUGAUCAACUACUUGACCAGUACAACUAGGAAGGUUCCUGUCCAGGUCUUUCUCUCUGUCUCCUCUCUCAUGUAUAGUUGUUCUAAUUAUUAUAUCUAUGAACUAGUUGGGUCUAACUGUUUGAAUAAUUAAAUUUGAAUUGUGCAAUCUUGAUGAAGCAGGGAGUCUAUGAAUGUGGCGUAUAUAGCAUUUUCCUUCCUGGAAGCAAGAUUCCAGAUGGAUUUGGCUUCACAACAAUAUAUGGAUCAGCGCUGUCGGCUAUUGCAUCUUCACAUCCUAAUCUCAAAAUCCAAGCCUUGAAUGUAUGUGUUUUAUAUGCAAUAGAACCGGGCUUGGCAAUUGAUGACUAUCUUGUUAGUGCUCAGCAUUUAAUUAAAGUCAGUAAUCAGACCAAGGGUCUUAUGUGGACCUAUUCCUCAGUCACAGUAGGUUUUCCAACUGAGAAGGAAGAUAUGUUAUGGCUAAGCCAUUUUCAAAUUGGGAACAAUGAAUUGGAGUAUGGGGACCAAAUACGUGUUUCGGUGGAGAUGCAUGAUUUUUGGAUAAAGGAGUUCGGAAUCCAGCUUGUGUACGAGCAGGAAAAAGACCUCCUUCUAGCCAGAAUAAUGUUGUUGCUGGAGAUGUGUCAAUGUCAGCAUCAGAGUACCAAACGUGGACAGGAUCAUACUUUCUCAGUAAUCAUAGGCGCCGUACUCAUCAAACUCAAUUCCGAAAGAGACAGAAGAAUCCAGCACAUAUUGAAUUUUCGUUUGAGCCAAAGCAUUAGCUUCAUACUUAUUCAAGGCCCAAAGACAACAACAACAACAACAACAACAACAACAAAGCCUUUUCCCACCAAGUGGGGUCGGCUAUAUGAAUCCUAGAACGCCAUUGCGCUCGGUUUUGUGUCAUGUCCUCCGUUAGAUCCAAGUACUAAAAGUCUUUUCUUAGAGUCUCUUCCAAAGUUUUCCUAGGUCUUCCUCUACCCCUUCGGCCCUGAACCUCUGUCCCGUAGUCACAUCUUCGAACCGGAGCGUCAGUCGGCCUUCUUUGCACAUGUCCAAAUCACCGGAGCCGAUUUUCUCUCAUCUUUCCUACAAUUUCGGCUACUCCUACUUUACCUCGGAUAUCCUCAUUCCCAAUCUUAUCAUUUCUCGUGUGCCCACAAAUCCCACGAAGCAUCCUCAUCUCCGCUACACCCAUUUUGUGUACGUGUUGAUGCUUCACCACCCAACAUUCUGUGCCAUACAACAUCGCUGGCCUUAUUGUCGUCCUAUAAAAUUUUCCCUUGAGCUUCAAUGGCCUACGACGGUCACACAACACGCCGGAUGCACUCUUUCCAUCCAGCUCGUAUUCUAUGGUUGAGAUCUCCAUCUAAUUCUCCGUUCUCUUGCAAGAUAAAUCCUAGGUAGCGAAAACGAUCGCUUUUUGUGAUCUUCGCUAGAUUGCUCCGGUCAUUAGUGUGGAUAAGUAUAUAAAUGGAUAGAGAUAGGAAAGCAAAUACAAGAUGUACGUGGUUCACCCAGAUUGGCUACGUCCACGGAAUAGAAGAGUUCUCAUUAAUUGUGAAAGGUUUACACAAGUACAUAGGUUCAAGCUCUCCUUUAGUGAGUACAAGUGAAUGAUUUAGUACAAAUGACAUUAGGAAAUAUUGUGGGAGAAAGAUCUCGUAAUCACGAAACUUCUAAGUAUCGGAGUGUGGUGUCGUCUUGACUUGCCUUAUCUGUCUCAUAGGUAGAUGUGGCAUCUUCUCUGGAAGUACUCUUCCUCCAUCCAGGGGUGGUAUCUUUAACUGGUGGAGAUGCACAAGGUAAUGUAUCAAUUUCACUUGAAGCUUACUUGUAGUUUCAGGCUUGGUCAAGCGCGAUACAAACCAUGUAGUAGGAGUCCCCCAAGUCGCCGAGCUGGUGGAGAUGCCCUAUCUGUUCCUCAAGCAGAUGCGGAAUCUUCCCUGGAAACAUAAGAUGUUGAAGAUGAGUACUCGAGAGCAAUGCCAGGUAAGUAAUCAGGUAAGGGGUUCCAGGCAGUCAGUUCCUGGCUGGAAGCUUGAUUCCAAGUGCUGACUGAUUGCUCUCUUUCUCCUUGUCUUGCAGGUAAAAACAAGGCCAAAAGAAAAAACAGGGAAAAAGCAUGAUAUGGGAUACUCUUGCUUUUAACCCUGAUGAUAUGAGAUAUUCUUGCUCUAGUAUAGCUUGUUUGCAGAGGUAUUAUCGGGGGGAAAGAAAGCUGAAUAUUUCGAAAGGCUUCGUUGGGAGUGCCCUCUCAGAUAUGAUGAAGGGUUGAGCAUUUUUGCAGGUCUGCCUGUCCGUUGGGGAUGGAGGUCGACAUAUAUAGGAGUCUCCCUAACAACAAGUAGUAAUGCUAUUCCUUUACCCUGCUUGGUCAUAGCACGGUAGUGGGAGCUGCUAGUUUCACAUGUUUUAACUCUGUCAGAGCACUUUGAAAAAGUGGUCUGUGGUAUCUGGCUCUCGAGAUUCGGAGAACGAUGCCUCUUCGAGUUUUGAGAAAGCAAUCAUGAUGGGGGUCUGACUCUCGAGAUUCGGAGAGCAGUGUCUCUUAGAUUUUUGAGGAAGUAAUCAUGUUGGGAGUCUGGCUCUCGAGAUUCGGAGGGCGGUGCCUCUUCGAUUUUGGAGCAAGCAAUCUUGUUGGGAGUGUUGUCUCGAAUGUGAGUAAAGGUUGGACAUGUUUGCUAGUCUACCUUGCCACGAAGCACAAAGGUUGACACACAGGGACUUUCCAAUUAUCCAGCAAUGGUACUGUUCCUUUACCCUAUCUUCGAUUUUGAGAAAGUAGUUAUGUUGGGAGUCUGGCUCUCGAGAUUCGGAGGACGGUGCCUCUUCGAUUUUGGAGCAAGCAAUCUUGUUGGGAGUGUUUUCUCGAAUGUGAGUAAAGGUUGGGCAUGUUUGCUAGUCUACCUUGCCACGAAGCACAGAGGUUGACACACAGGGACUUUCCAAUUAUCCAGCAGUGGUACUGUUCCUUUACCCUUGUGGGUAAUAAUAUGGUAGCUAGACCUUCAAAAUUUAUGUGUCUAAACUUUGUUAGUGCUGUUUCUUUGCUAUUCUUUUACCUUUCUUGGUCAGAGCGAUGUAGUGGGAGCUGCAAGCUUCACGUGCUCAACUUUGGCAGAGAACUUUGGCAAAGUUAUCUGUGGUACCCAUGAGUUAUUGUUGUGUGUGGGAAGUGGGUGAUUGAACAGUAAGAUUCAUGUGCUUUCUACUUCACCAGAAGUCUUCGACAGAAUGCCCAUAAUUUCUGCAAAGCUGAGUGUGCGUGUGACAGGUGCUGACAAGGCUAGAAAAGUAGGUGCCUCUUCGAUUUCUGAGAUCGGCCCUCGUGGUCUCUGAGCAGCCCAGCUUUUGAGAAAGCGAACGCCUCUUCGAUUGAUUCGGAGAACGAUGCCUCAUCGAUUUUUGAGAAAGCAAUCAUGCUGGGGGUCUGGCUCUCGAGAUUCGGGGAGCAGUCUCUUCGAUUUUUGAGAAAGUAAUCAUGUUGGGAGAGUGGCUCUCGAGAUUCGGAAGGCGGUGCCUCUUCGAUUUUGGAGCAAGCAAUCUUGUUGGGGGUGUUUUCUCGAAUGUGAGUAAAGGUUGGGCAUGUUUGCUAGUCUACCUUGCCACGAAGCACAGAGGUUGACACACAGGGACUUUCCAAUUAUCCAGCAAUGGUACUGUUCCUUUACCCUCUCUUCGAUUUUUAAGAAAGUAAUCAUGUUGGGAGUCUGGCUCUUUAGAUUCGGAGGACGGUGCCUCUUCGAUUUUGGAGCAAGCAAUCUUAUUGGGAGUGUUUUCUCGAAUGUGAGUAAAGGUUGGGCAUGUUUGCUAGUCUACCUUGCCACGAAGCACAGAGGUUGACACACAGGGACUUUCCAAUUAUCCAGCAGUGGUACUGUUCCUUUACCCUUGUGGGUAAUAAUAUGGUAGCUAGACCUUCAAAAAAUUUAUGGGUCUAAACUUUGUUAGUGUUGUUUCUUUGCUAUUCUUUUACCUUUGUUGGUCAAAGCGAUGUAGUGGGAGCUGCAAGCUUCACGUGCUCAACUUUGGCAGAGAACUUUGGCAAAGUUAUAUGUGGUACCCAUGAGCUAUUGUUGCGUGUGGGAAGUGGGUGAUUGAACAGUAAGAUUCAUGUGUUUUCUACUUCCCCAGAAGUCUUUGACAGAAUGCCCAUAAUUUCCGCAAAGCUGAGUGUGCGUGUGACAGGUGCUGACAAGGCUGGAAAAGUAGAUGCCUCUUCGAUUUCUGAGAUCGGCCCUCGUGGUCUCUGGGGAGCCCAGCUUUUGAGAAAGCGAGCGCCUCUUCGAUUUCUGAGAUCGGCCUUCGUGGUCUUUAAGCAGCCCAACUUUUGAGAAAUCAAACGCCUCUUCGAUUUCUGAGAUCAACCCUCGUGAUCUCUAAGCAGCCCAACUUUUGAGAAAGCAAACGCCUCUUCGAUUUCUGAAGCUCCGUCGAGUGCAGAUUUUUAUAGGGGCUGGCAUUAAGUUCCAAAGCACACUUGAAUCUCCACCAGUAGAAGCUUCAUUCUUGCACUUCUAAGAUCUUGAUUUGUCCGACCUCUUCUCUCUUCAACACCUUUGAAAAUGUCUGGCCCCUCCGACCGUCGUUUUGACUUAAACCUUGUUGAAGAGGCAGCCCCGCCUUCUCCAGACAACAUAUGGCGCCCAUCCUUCGUCUCCCCAACUGGUCCUCUUACCGUUGGGGAUUCCGUGAUGAAGAAUGAUAUGACCGCUGCGGUGGUGGCCAGGAACCUUCUCACUCCCAAAGAUAACAGACUACUUUCCAAACGGUCUGAUGAGUUAGCUGUUAAGGAUUCGUUGGCUCUCAGUGUUCAGUGUGCAGGUUCUGUGUCUAAUAUGGCCCAACGCCUAUUUGCUCGAACCCGCCAAGUUGAAUCAUUGGCGGCUGAAGUGAUGAGUCUCAAACAGGAGAUUAGAGGGCUCAAGCAUGAGAAUAAACAGUUGCACCGGCUCGCACAUGACUAUGCUACAAACAUGAAGAGGAAGCUUGAUCAGAUGAAGGAAACUGAUGGUCAGGUUUUACUUGAUCAUCAGAGAUUUGUGGGUUUGUUCCAAAGGCAUUUAUUGCCUUCGUCUUCUGGGGCUGUACCACGUAAUGAAGCUCCAAAUGAUCAACCUCUGAUGCCUCCUCCUUCUAGGGUUCUGUCCAGUACUGAGGCUCCAAAUGAUCCCCCUCUGAUGCCUUCUCUUUCUGGGGCUCUCUACCGACUGCUGAGACUUCUCCUAAGCAACCUUUGUGAAGGCUCCCUCUUGUGUGUUUAUUUUGACUCAUGUAUAUGUACAUAUUUGUAGCUUAUCGGGGAUAUCAAUAAAUAAGCUUUCCUUCAUUUCAACGUAUUGUGUUAAAUACACCAAAUCCUUCUUCGCUAAGUUCUUUGAAUUUUCUUUUGUUGAAGCUUGUAUGUUGAAGCUUGUAUGAUUCAAGGCCCAAAGACCAUUGAAAAUAUUUUGAAACUUAGAGCAUGUCCAGCAGAUUCCCCAUCUACAUCUACUCACCUAUUUUGGAGAAAAUGAAGAGAAACCUCCUUAGUACUUUUUCCAACAUCAUUCGUUCAUGGUUGGAAGGAAAGAUCAGCAUCAAUUAUCCUGGUGAGUGUCGUCUUUUUGUUCUUUCUUGUUGAAUUUUUGAUGUGUAUUUCAUAUCAAAACAAUUACAAGAUGAAACAUUAUAUAGGAAAAGAAAGAGAACAUAAGCCUAACUUGCCUAACUUGCCUAACUUGCCUAAUUUCCUAACUUGCCUAACUUGCCUAAUUUACACAAAGAAGGUUGACUAGCCUAACUUCACUAGUCAUCCAACAUGUUUAUUUCAUGCAUGCAUUUUAACAAAAGAUAUGACUUGCAUGAAUUCCAACAUUUCUUGUUAUAUCUUUCUCAAUAUAAACUCAUGGGUUUGUUGGAUUUGUUGCUCUUUGUUUAUUGCUUUGAUUUGUUAAUUGAAUGAAUAUAUUAAACAAAAGGAGGGGAAAGCUCUACGAACUCGUGUAGUUGAUGCAUGUAGUACUCAGUACUACUCUUUCAGACAAUAAUCCUAACUUUUAAUCCCACUUAACGUAAUACAAUUUGGUGUCUGUAGUAUGUUUGGUGGUCUAGAUCACUCAUUUGAGAUAUACAUGUGAACCAGAAAGCUGUUUAACUUGGAAAAAGGCGAAAUUUAGCAUGCCCAUGAACUUUUAAAAUGUUGGGAGCAGCUCAGGUUUGAGUCCCAGCAAAGGAAUGCUUUUCUUAAUUUUUGCACGACUUACAGCUGGUGCGAGGGACCUCUGCGCGUUAACUAUGUGUCAGUCUGGGUCCAUUUAUUCCCUAGCCAUCAGUGUGCUGUCUAACUUUGUCUUUUAUAUUCACAAAAAAGCAUUGGCAGUCUUGACAGUGUCGAAACUGUUUACCGUGUUCAAACCGUGUGCAGGGCGUGUCAGCAUGUCAGAGUGUCUGACACUUUGAGGUUUGGGAGUGUCCGUGCAACCUAGGCUUCAAGGACGAGAUGGACAAGGUGGAGAAGUGGAGAAGAGCGCUUACUGAUGUUGCAAAUCUGGGAGGGAUGGUUCUAGAAGAUCGGUAAUUUCGUAAAACAUUUUCUUUAAUUUGAAAGUAUUAUCUAUAUAUGACCUUUUAGAGGUCGCACUUGGUGCGAUGGCAAGUGCCUUCGCCUAUGAGCGGUAGGUCUCAGGUUUGAGACUUGGGAGCAGCCUCUCCAUAAAUGGGGUAAGGCUAGCCGACAUUCACCUCUCCCAGACCCUGCGUAAAGCGGGAGCCUUGUGCACUGGGUACGACCUUUUUUUAUCUAUAUAUGACCUUUUAUAACUUGUUUAUUAGGCACAUUAUUGUUAGCUUAUUGGAGACUAAGGCCACCCCUCUUUCUUUUAGGGUAGAUAAUAUCGUUUGUUGACAAAAAAAAAAAAAAAAAAACUUGUUUAUUAGGUUGAUGAUAGUAAAGCCAUAUGGAGUUGACGGAUUUUGGGUUUAUAACUUUAUACUAUCUUUCAUGUACCUGUGCAGCAAUAUUUUUUAGAAGAUUCAAAUUUUCAAGUCAAUUUUUCAAUGUCUUAUAUAUAAUCUACCUGCAUUACUCAUGUCAAUCAUCAAUUACUCUUUUCUUUAGAUAAAAAUUACAUAGUCUUCAUAUGAUUUGAUGUCUAAUGACCAUAUGUUGUAGGGUAUGAGUGGCAGUUUAUCCAAGAUAUUGUUCAAGAGGUUGGAAGUAAGCUGGAUCGCGUGGCAGUAAAUGUUGCUCCCUAUGCUGUUGGAAUCGAUAAUUGUGUGCACGGAAUCAACAGAUGGUUAAAAGAUGAUUCGGGUGAUGCUGGUGCAGCGGUUAUCUAUGGGAUGGGUGGAAUUGGCAAAACCACCAUUGCCAAAGCUGCUAAUAAGACGAACCUUGCAAAAUUUUAAGGAAACGACAGCUUUCUUGCAGAUAUUGGCUUGCAAAUAAAUCUUCUUUCCGAUAUCCAAAGGGUGAAAGUAAAGAAAAUAAGCAAACAUGAAGGACUGAUCAAGAUUAAGCAUGCUGUAGGUUGCAAUAGAGUUCUUAUAGUUCUUGAUGAUGUGAACCAUUUGGACCAAUUCAAUGCAAUUCUUGGAAUGCGAUAGUGUUUUCACCCGGGAAGUAAAGUUACCGUAACAACUAGACAUAAAAGGCUCAUGAUAUUUAUCCAGUAUUUGAGAUUAAAGAACUGAGUGAAUAUGAAACACUGAAGCUUUUCAAGCGACAUGCCUUCGGGCAAGCCAAUCCCAUUGAAAGUUACUUGGAGUCAUGAACCUCGACCAAAUUGAAGCAAUCUUUGAGAAUCAAUUGCUAAUGGUUUGGGACUUCUGACAAGUUGGGGGUUGUCAUAAGGCCAUGUGAGUGACUGAGAUUAACGGUUCAGUCUUGGAAGGGAACCAGGGUAUGUUCUAAUCUCUCUCUCUCUCUCUCAAAAUACACACAAUCAAAAAUAAAUUUCAGUGAAAUUAAACUGUGUAUUCAUAGCAACUAAUGACUUCUCUUUGACACAGUUUCUUAGAAGAUUGAAAAUUCUAAAUCUUAGUCAUUCGCAUGGCCUUAGGACAACAUCUGACUUGUCCGGACUCCCUAAAGGAUUGCAUUAAUUUGAUUGAUGUUGAUGAAUCCAUUGGAAACUUGGGGAAACUUAUUUUCUUGAAUCUAAAAGACUGCAAAAGUCUUAUGAAGCUUCCAAAAAGAAUGAACAUGUUGAGGUCUCUUGAGGAAUUUAUUCUUACUGGUUGCUCAAAGCUUGUUCUUCAUGACAGUGCCACGGUUAUUCAUUUACACUCUACAUCUAGGGAUAUGAAUAAACUUAGACUGUUAUCAAUUAUAUCAUCGACACGAGAAAUUUUUCCAAAUGACCGGUACAACUGUUGAGUUGGAGUUCCCCUCCAAUUACAUGAUGCCACAUAUCCUACUACAGCUGCAUAGAUUAGUUUUGUUUAAUAAAAAAAAAAAAGAAAAAGAAAAAACUUGUAGAAGGUGUAAAGUCACCCUCCCAGCGGCCGAUCCCACCAAGGCGACUCACUUCCGAUUGACGACGACGAAGAAGAUUUCAGCUUCCUCGAGGACCCCACCGACCACAGCGCCGCCGCCCCGCACCAUUCAGAUUCGGACAAUUACGACGAUUUCGAGAACUUCUCCGAUGUCGACGAGGACGCUUUCAGGAGAUGAUGGCAGGCUUGGUAGCCCCAAGACUCCUAACUGGGUUUAUGGCAUUUUCAGUGAUGGGGAUGGGGUGGUGGCCAUUUUCGGUGAUGGGUUGAUGCAAUUUUGGGUUUUUGAUCAAAACCCAUCAAAAUUCACCACCACUUAGUCAAAAAUCCAAAUCAAACCCCAACAAAAACAAUCAAAUUCACAAGUUUUAUCUGAGAAAGAAAAAAAAACAUGAACAGAUUAUGGAAAAGGGUGGAAUGGAUGCGGGUGGGGCGUAAUAGAAUGGAAAAGAGAGGAAUCUGUGUUCUUCAUUUAAUUAAUUUAAAUUCUAUUCUUAAAAUAAAUAUUAUUUGUCAUUAUAAGAUGAUGUCAACCUAGAUGUCAGAUGUUAAUAGGUGGAACACCAGGUCAGCAAAUGUACCCGUCACGUGGAAAAUUUUCUCCAUGGACACCAAUCAGGUGUUGGUGGAUGUGGGCAUGGCCAGGAAAGACUCAUCAAUCAACGAGUUUCUCUCUGGCAAGUGUACGCCCUUUUUUGGGAAGCUUAAGUUUGUCUUACUGCAACAUGUCAGGUUCCCAAUAAUCUGUGUACACUAUCUUCGUUGAAGCAUUUGAAUCUAAUUGGUAAUCCAAUUUUGUGCCUACCACAAAAAAUGAAGAGUCUUAUUAUGCUUGAGACUCUUUUGUUAGAUAAUUGCACGAACCUCGAAAUUCUUCCAGAGCUCCCACCAAGGUUGAAGAGGUUAGAAGCAAAAUAUUGUACUUCAUUGAAAAGAUUAAGAAAUUUACCAAACUUAUUCAGAUCAUUGGAAUCACUUUUUUGGGGUUAUGAGCAUUUAGUUGAAGUUGAAAGCUUGUUGAAUAUAAAACCGUUGAGAAAUGCUGACAUAGAAAUGACAAGAUAUAUGGGCCUGUGCAGUUUGAAAUCCAUAUCAAGCACUGGUGUCGAAAGAUCUCCAUCUAGCCAAAAUAAUGUUGUUGCUGGAGAUGUGUCAAUGUCAGCAUAAGAGUACCAAAUGUGGACAGGAAAAUACUUUCUCAGUAAUCAUAGGCACCGUACUCAUCAGGCUCAAUGGUUCACAACUUAUUCAAGGCCCAAGGACCAUUGGAAAAUAUUGCGAGAGAGGAUGUCCAGCAGAUUCCCCAUCUGCUUCUCGUAAUCUGUUUUGGCGAAAAUGAAGAGAAACAUCCUCAGUUCUUUGUCCAACAUCAGUCAUUUCAUUUAUGGUUGGAAAGAAAGACCAGCAUCAUUUUCCUUGGUGAGUAUCGUCGUUUUGUUCUUUCUUGUUCUCGUUCUGAGUAUAUACUCAUGGCUUUGUUGGAUUUGUUGCGCUUUUUGCUUAUUGUCAUAAAGAGCAAUCAAGGAAAAAAAAACCGGAACAGUCUGCAUGAGUUUGUUGGAAAUUAUAUAUUAUAGUAUAAAAUAUUGUAAUAUAUAAUUUUAAUAAUUGAAUGAAAAAAAUAGUGUUAACCAUAUUUCUUAGAAAUGUUAUGUUAUUUAGGUGCAUUCCCUUGUUAAAUAAUGUAUACUUAUAGAUGAAAAGUUACAUCUCCUAACAAGAAGUACUUGGGUUCUAUUUAAACUCAUGAAACCAUUAUCAUUAAAUAUAGAAAAUUAGAGUUAAUUUUUACUCUUGAGAAAUAAGGUUUUCUCACUUUGUUUCUCUCAUGGUUCGUGUGUCAAAUUCCAAGUCAUGUCUUGAAAGUACGGAAUAUAUAAAGUUCGUCAGAGUUUGAAGAUUGAAGUGCUUUGACUUCGGAUUAUGGAUUUUUGAAUCUUGAGAGAUGGACACCUACUGAACUACAAGCACACGAGUAUGGGCGAAAUUCUAUCUUUAGGACAUUACAUUUAUGCAAGCCUCAAUCUCCAAGUUUGUCAGUUUUUCUAACUUUAUCUCUAGUUGUUUAUAUUAAUCUCCAAUUGGACCUGUUUCAAAAAAUAGGUUAAAAAAAUUAGACCUAUUUCAAAUUAUCCCUUAUUAUUAUUACAUUUCUUAUGUUAUUUUCAUAUUUUCUAAUCUUCAACAGAGUUUGCAUAUGAAGUUUUCAACCCCCUAUAGAGCAAAACCAACUUGAGCGUAACAGCAGUGGGGCAACAUAUGUUUCUGAAAAUCCUACAGUUAGUUUCCCUCCAAAACUCCUUACAAACGAAUCUUGAGCACCUGCAUUGCCUAAUAAUUGUUUUAACUACCAUGUUAACAGAAGUAAUAACUGUAAACGGACUAUAACAGUUGAGAAAUAUUUAAGUACCAAAAAGAGUCAGCUAUAUCAGAAUAAUUAUACUAGAGUUGAGUCGUUUAACUUCUCAUCUGUUAUGGCUUAGUCCUUUUAUGGCGGACAUUAACUCCGUUUUUCUAUAUUUUCAGAGAAAGUUCGUAAAAUUUAAAUCCUAUUGUUCUUUUUUGGCCUUUUUCUAAUAUUUUUCUGCCUUUUUCUACUGUAGUACUACUCCAGACAAUAAUCCUAGUGGCCCAAAAUUAUAUCCUAACUUUAAAUCCCAAUUAAGGUGAUAUAAUUGGUUUUUUAUGUUUAUGCUCNNNNNNNNNNNNNNNNNNNNNNNNNNNNNNNNNNNNNNNNNNNNNNNNNNNNNNNNNNNNNNNNNNNNNNNNNNNNNNNNNNNNNNNNNNNNNNNNNNNNNNNNNNNNNNNNNNNNNNNNNNNNNNNNNNNNNNNNNNNNNNNNNNNNNNNNNNNNNNNNNNNNNNNNNNNNNNNNNNNNNNNNNNNNNNNNNNNNNNNNNNNNNNNNNNNNNNNNNNNNNNNNNNNNNNNNNNNNNNNNNNNNNNNNNNNNNNNNNNNNNNNNNNNNNNNNNNNNNNNNNNNNNNNNNNNNNNNNNNNNNNNNNNNNNNNNNNNNNNNNNNNNNNNNNNNNNNNNNNNNNNNNNNNNNNNNNNNNNNNNNNNNNNNNNNNNNNNNNNNNNNNNNNNNNNNNNNNNNNNNNNNNNNNNNNNNNNNNNNNNNNNNNNNNNNNNNNNNNNNNNNNNNNNNNNNNNNNNNNNNNNNNNNNNNNNNNNNNNNNNNNNNNNNNNNNNNNNNNNNNAGUCUAUGAAUGUGGCGUAUAUAGCAUUUUCCUUCCUGGAAGCAAGAUUCCAGAUGGAUUUGGCUUCACAACAAUAUAUGGAUCAGCGCUGUCGGCUAUUGCAUCUUCACAUCCUAAUCUCAAAAUCCAAGCCUUGAAUGUAUGUGUUUUAUAUGCAAUAGAACCGGGCUUGGCAAUUGAUGACUAUCUUGUUAGUGCUCAGCAUUUAAUUAAAGUCAGUAAUCAGACCAAGGGUCUUAUGUGGACCUAUUCCUCAGUCACAGUAGGUUUUCCAACUGAGAAGGAAGAUAUGUUAUGGCUAAGCCAUUUUCAAAUUGGGAACAAUGAAUUGGAGUAUGGGGACCAAAUACGUGUUUCGGUGGAGAUGCAUGAUUUUUGGAUAAAGGAGUUCGGAAUCCAGCUUGUGUACGAGCAGGAAAGACCUCCUUCUAGCCAGAAUAAUGUUGUUGCUGGAGAUGUGUCAAUGUCAGCAUCAGAGUACCAAACGUGGACAGGAUCAUACUUUCUCAGUAAUCAUAGGCGCCGUACUCAUCAAACUCAAUUCCGAAAGAGACAGAAGAAUCCAGCACAUAUUGAAUUUUCGUUUGAGCCAAAGCAUUAGCUUCAUACUUAUUCAAGGCCCAAAGACAACAACAACAACAACAACAACAACAACAAAGCCUUUUCCCACCAAGUGGGGUCGGCUAUAUGAAUCCUAGAACGCCAUUGCGCUCGGUUUUGUGUCAUGUCCUCCGUUAGAUCCAAGUACUAAAAAGUCUUUUCUUAGAGUCUCUUUCCAAAGUUUUCCUAGGUCUUCCUCUACCCCUUCGGCCCUGAACCUCUGUCCCGUAGUCACAUCUUCGAACCGGAGCGUCAGUCGGCCUUCUUUGCACAUGUCCAAAUCACCGGAGCCGAUUUUCUCUCAUCUUUCCUACAAUUUCGGCUACUCCUACUUUACCUCGGAUAUCCUCAUUCCCAAUCUUAUCAUUUCUCGUGUGCCCACAAAUCCCACGAAGCAUCCUCAUCUCCGCUACACCCAUUUUGUGUACGUGUUGAUGCUUCACCACCCAACAUUCUGUGCCAUACAACAUCGCUGGCCUUAUUGUCGUCCUAUAAAAUUUUCCCUUGAGCUUCAAUGGCCUACGACGGUCACACAACACGCCGGAUGCACUCUUUCCAUCCAGCUCGUAUUCUAUGGUUGAGAUCUCCAUCUAAUUCUCCGUUCUCUCUUGCAAGAUAAAUCCUAGGUAGCGAAAACGAUCGCUUUUUGUGAUCUUCGCUAGAUUGCUCCGGUCAUUAGUGUGGAUAAGUAUAUAAAUGGAUAGAGAUAGGAAAGCAAAUACAAGAUGUACGUGGUUCACCCAGAUUGGCUACGUCCACGGAAUAGAAGAGUUCUCAUUAAUUGUGAAAGGUUUACACAAGUACAUAGGUUCAAGCUCUCCUUUAGUGAGUACAAGUGAAUGAUUUAGUACAAAUGACAUUAGGAAAUAUUGUGGGAGAAAGAUCUCGUAAUCACGAAACUUCUAAGUAUCGGAGUGUGGUGUGUCGUCUUGACUUGCCUUAUCUGUCUCAUAGGUAGAUGUGGCAUCUUCUCUCUGGAAGUACUCUUCCUCCAUCCAGGGGUGGUAUCUUUAACUGGUGGAGAUGCACAAGGUAAUGUAUCAAUUUCACUUGAAGCUUACUUGUAGUUUCAGGCUUGGUCAAGCGCGAUACAAACCAUGUAGUAGGAGUCCCCCAAGUCGCCGAGCUGGUGGAGAUGCCCUAUCUGUUCCUCAAGCAGAUGCGGAAUCUUCCCUGGAAACAUAAGAUGUUGAAGAUGAGUACUCGAGAGCAAUGCCAGGUAAGUAAUCAGGUAAGGGGUUCCAGGCAGUCAGUUCCUGGCUGGAAGCUUGAUUCCAAGUGCUGACUGAUUGCUCUCUUUCUCCUUGUCUUGCAGGUAAAAACAAGGCCAAAAGAAAAAACAGGGAAAAAGCAUGAUAUGGGAUACUCUUGCUUUUAACCCUGAUGAUAUGAGAUAUUCUUGCUCUAGUAUAGCUUGUUUGCAGAGGUAUUAUCGGGGGGAAAGAAAGCUGAAUAUUUCGAAAGGCUUCGUUGGGAGUGCCCUCUCAGAUAUGAUGAAGGGUUGAGCAUUUUUGCAGGUCUGCCUGUCCGUUGGGGAUGGAGGUCGACAUAUAUAGGAGUCUCCCUAACAACAAGUAGUAAUGCUAUUCCUUUACCCUGCUUGGUCAUAGCACGGUAGUGGGAGCUGCUAGUUUCACAUGUUUUAACUCUGUCAGAGCACUUUGAAAAAGUGGUCUGUGGUAUCUGGCUCUCGAGAUUCGGAGAACGAUGCCUCUUCGAGUUUUGAGAAAGCAAUCAUGAUGGGGGUCUGACUCUCGAGAUUCGGAGAGCAGUGUCUCUUAGAUUUUUGAGGAAGUAAUCAUGUUGGGAGUCUGGCUCUCGAGAUUCGGAGGGGCGGUGCCUCUUCGAUUUUGGAGCAAGCAAUCUUGUUGGGAGUGUUGUCUCGAAUGUGAGUAAAGGUUGGACAUGUUUGCUAGUCUACCUUGCCACGAAGCACAAAGGUUGACACACACAGGGACUUUCCAAUUAUCCAGCAAUGGUACUGUUCCUUUACCCUAUCUUCGAUUUUGAGAAAGUAGUUAUGUUGGGAGUCUGGCUCUCGAGAUUCGGAGGACGGUGCCUCUUCGAUUUUGGAGCAAGCAAUCUUGUUGGGAGUGUUUUCUCGAAUGUGAGUAAAGGUUGGGCAUGUUUGCUAGUCUACCUUGCCACGAAGCACACAGAGGUUGACACACAGGGACUUUCCAAUUAUCCAGCAGUGGUACUGUUCCUUUACCCUUGUGGGUAAUAAUAUGGUAGCUAGACCUUCAAAAUUUAUGUGUCUAAACUUUGUUAGUGCUGUUUCUUUGCUAUUCUUUUACCUUUCUUGGUCAGAGCGAUGUAGUGGGAGCUGCAAGCUUCACGUGCUCAACUUUGGCAGAGAACUUUGGCAAAGUUAUCUGUGGUACCCAUGAGUUAUUGUUGUGUGUGGGAAGUGGGUGAUUGAACAGUAAGAUUCAUGUGCUUUCUACUUCACCAGAAGUCUUCGACAGAAUGCCCAUAAUUUCUGCAAAGCUGAGUGUGCGUGUGACAGGUGCUGACAAGGCUAGAAAAGUAGGUGCCUCUUCGAUUUCUGAGAUCGGCCCUCGUGGUCUCUGAGCAGCCCCAGCUUUUGAGAAAGCGAACGCCUCUUCGAUUGAUUCGGAGAACGAUGCCUCAUCGAUUUUUGAGAAAGCAAUCAUGCUGGGGGUCUGGCUCUCGAGAUUCGGGGAGCAGUCUCUUCGAUUUUUUGAGAAAGUAAUCAUGUUGGGAGAGUGGCUCUCGAGAUUCGGAAGGCGGUGCCUCUUCGAUUUUGGAGCAAGCAAUCUUGUUGGGGGUGUUUUCUCGAAUGUGAGUAAAGGUUGGGCAUGUUUGCUAGUCUACCUUGCCACGAAGCACAGAGGUUGACACACACAGGGACUUUCCAAUUAUCCAGCAAUGGUACUGUUCCUUUACCCUCUCUUUCGAUUUUUAAGAAAGUAAUCAUGUUGGGAGUCUGGCUCUUUAGAUUCGGAGGACGGUGCCUCUUCGAUUUUGGAGCAAGCAAUCUUAUUGGGAGUGUUUUCUCGAAUGUGAGUAAAGGUUGGGCAUGUUUGCUAGUCUACCUUGCCACGAAGCACAGAGGUUGACACACAGGGACUUUCCAAUUAUCCAGCAGUGGUACUGUUCCUUUACCCUUGUGGGUAAUAAUAUGGUAGCUAGACCUUCAAAAAUUUAUGGGUCUAAACUUUGUUAGUGUUGUUUCUUUGCUAUUCUUUUACCUUUGUUGGUCAAAGCGAUGUAGUGGGAGCUGCAAGCUUCACGUGCUCAACUUUGGCAGAGAACUUUGGCAAAGUUAUAUGUGGUACCCAUGAGCUAUUGUUGCGUGUGGGAAGUGGGUGAUUGAACAGUAAGAUUCAUGUGUUUUCUACUUCCCCAGAAGUCUUUGACAGAAUGCCCAUAAUUUCCGCAAAGCUGAGUGUGCGUGUGACAGGUGCUGACAAGGCUGGAAAAGUAGAUGCCUCUUCGAUUUCUGAGAUCGGCCCUCGUGGUCUCUGGGGAGCCCAGCUUUUGAGAAAGCGAGCGCCUCUUCGAUUUCUGAGAUCGGCCUUCGUGGUCUUUAAGCAGCCCAACUUUUGAGAAAUCAAACGCCUCUUCGAUUUCUGAGAUCAACCCUCGUGAUCUCUAAGCAGCCCAACUUUUGAGAAAGCAAACGCCUCUUCGAUUUCUGAAGCUCCGUCGAGUGCAGAUUUUUAUAGGGGCUGGCAUUAAGUUCCAAAGCACACUUGAAUCUCCACCAGUAGAAGCUUCAUUCUUGCACUUCUAAGAUCUUGAUUUGUCCGACCUCUUCUCUCUUCAACACCUUUGAAAAUGUCUGGCCCCUCCGACCGUCGUUUUGACUUAAACCUUGUUGAAGAGGCAGCCCCGCCUUCUCCAGACAACAUAUGGCGCCCAUCCUUCGUCUCCCCAACUGGUCCUCUUACCGUUGGGGAUUCCGUGAUGAAGAAUGAUAUGACCGCUGCGGUGGUGGCCAGGAACCUUCUCACUCCCAAAGAUAACAGACUACUUUCCAAACGGUCUGAUGAGUUAGCUGUUAAGGAUUCGUUGGCUCUCAGUGUUCAGUGUGCAGGUUCUGUGUCUAAUAUGGCCCAACGCCUAUUUGCUCGAACCCGCCAAGUUGAAUCAUUGGCGGCUGAAGUGAUGAGUCUCAAAACAGGAGAUUAGAGGGCUCAAGCAUGAGAAUAAACAGUUGCACCGGCUCGCACAUGACUAUGCUACAAACAUGAAGAGGAAGCUUGAUCAGAUGAAGGAAACUGAUGGUCAGGUUUUACUUGAUCAUCAGAGAUUUGUGGGUUUGUUCCAAAGGCAUUUAUUGCCUUCGUCUUCUGGGGCUGUACCACGUAAUGAAGCUCCAAAUGAUCAACCUCUGAUGCCUCCUCCUUCUAGGGUUCUGUCCAGUACUGAGGCUCCAAAUGAUCCCCCUCUGAUGCCUUCUCUUUCUGGGGCUCUACCGACUGCUGAGACUUCUCCUAAGCAACCUUUGUGAAGGCUCCCUCUUGUGUGUUUAUUUUGACUCAUGUAUAUGUACAUAUUUGUAGCUUAUCGGGGAUAUCAAUAAAUAAGCUUUCCUUCAUUUCAACGUAUUGUGUUAAAUACACCAAAUCCUUCUUCGCUAAGUUCUUUGAAUUUUCUUUUGUUGAAGCUUGUAUGUUGAAGCUUGUAUGAUUCAAGGCCCAAAGACCAUUGAAAAUAUUUUGAAACUUAGAGCAUGUCCAGCAGAUUCCCCAUCUACAUCUACUCACCUAUUUUGGAGAAAAUGAAGAGAAACCUCCUUAGUACUUUUUCCAACAUCAUUCGUUCAUGGUUGGAAGGAAAGAUCAGCAUCAAUUAUCCUGGUGAGUGUCGUCUUUUUGUUCUUUCUUGUUGAAUUUUUGAUGUGUAUUUCAUAUCAAAACAAUUACAAGAUGAAACAUUAUAUAGGAAAAGAAAGAGAACAUAAGCCUAAACUUGCCUAACUUGCCUAACUUGCCUAAUUUCCUAACUUGCCUAACUUGCCUAAUUUACACAAAGAAGGUUGACUAGCCUAACUUCACUAGUCAUCCAACAUGUUUAUUUCAUGCAUGCAUUUUAACAAAAGAUAUGACUUGCAUGAAUUCCAACAUUUCUUGUUAUAUCUUUCUCAAUAUAAACUCAUGGGUUUGUUGGAUUUGUUGCUCUUUGUUUAUUGCUUUGAUUUGUUAAUUGAAUGAAUAUAUUAAACAAAAGGAGGGGAAAGCUCUACGAACUCGUGUAGUUGAUGCAUGUAGUACUCAGUACUACUCUUUCAGACAAUAAUCCUAACUUUUAAUCCCACUUAACGUAAUACAAUUUGGUGUCUGUAGUAUGUUUGGUGGUCUAGAUCACUCAUUUGAGAUAUACAUGUGAACCAGAAAGCUGUUUAACUUGGAAAAAGGCGAAAUUUAGCAUGCCCAUGAACUUUUAAAAUGUUGGGAGCAGCUCAGGUUUGAGUCCCAGCAAAGGAAUGCUUUUCUUAAUUUUUGCACGACUUACAGCUGGUGCGAGGGACCUCUGCGCGUUAACUAUGUGUCAGUCUGGGUCCAUUUAUUCCCUAGCCAUCAGUGUGCUGUCUAACUUUGUCUUUUAUAUUCACAAAAAAGCAUUGGCAGUCUUGACAGUGUCGAAACUGUUUACCGUGUUCAAACCGUGUGCAGGGCGUGUCAGCAUGUCAGAGUGUCUGACACUUUGAGGUUUGGGAGUGUCCGUGCAACCUAGGCUUCAAGGACGAGAUGGACAAGGUGGAGAAGUGGAGAAGAGCGCUUACUGAUGUUGCAAAUCUGGGAGGGAUGGUUCUAGAAGAUCGGUAAUUUCGUAAAACAUUUUCUUUAAUUUGAAAGUAUUAUCUAUAUAUGACCUUUUAGAGGUCGCACUUGGUGCGAUGGCAAGUGCCUUCGCCUAUGAGCGGUAGGUCUCAGGUUUGAGACUUGGGAGAGCAGCCUCUCCAUAAAUGGGGUAAGGCUAGCCGACAUUCACCUCUCCCAGACCCUGCGUAAAGCGGGAGCCUUGUGCACUGGGUACGACCUUUUUUUAUCUAUAUAUGACCUUUUAUAACUUGUUUAUUAGGCACAUUAUUGUUAGCUUAUUGGAGACUAAGGCCACCCCUCUUUCUUUUAGGGUAGAUAAUAUCGUUUGUUGACAAAAAAAAAAAAAAAAAAACUUGUUUAUUAGGUUGAUGAUAGUAAAGCCAUAUGGAGUUGACGGAUUUUGGGUUUAUAACUUUAUACUAUCUUUCAUGUACCUGUGCAGCAAUAUUUUUUAGAAGAUUCAAAUUUUCAAGUCAAUUUUUCAAUGUCUUAUAUAUAAUCUACCUGCAUUACUCAUGUCAAUCAUCAAUUACUCUUUUCUUUAGAUAAAAAUUACAUAGUCUUCAUAUGAUUUGAUGUCUAAUGACCAUAUGUUGUAGGGUAUGAGUGGCAGUUUAUCCAAGAUAUUGUUCAAGAGGUUGGAAGUAAGCUGGAUCGCGUGGCAGUAAAUGUUGCUCCCUAUGCUGUUGGAAUCGAUAAUUGUGUGCACGGAAUCAACAGAUGGUUAAAAGAUGAUUCGGGUGAUGCUGGUGCAGCGGUUAUCUAUGGGAUGGGUGGAAUUGGCAAAACCACCAUUGCCAAAGCUGCUAAUAAGACGAACCUUGCAAAAUUUUAAGGAAACGACAGCUUUCUUGCAGAUAUUGGCUUGCAAAUAAAUCUUCUUUCCGAUAUCCAAAGGGUGAAAGUAAAGAAAAUAAGCAAACAUGAAGGACUGAUCAAGAUUAAGCAUGCUGUAGGUUGCAAUAGAGUUCUUAUAGUUCUUGAUGAUGUGAACCAUUUGGACCAAUUCAAUGCAAUUCUUGGAAUGCGAUAGUGUUUUCACCCGGGAAGUAAAAGUUACCGUAACAACUAGACAUAAAAGGCUCAUGAUAUUUAUCCAGUAUUUGAGAUUAAAGAACUGAGUGAAUAUGAAAACACUGAAGCUUUUCAAGCGACAUGCCUUCGGGCAAGCCAAUCCCAUUGAAAGUUACUUGGAGUCAUGAACCUCGACCAAAUUGAAGCAAUCUUUGAGAAUCAAUUGCUAAUGGUUUGGGACUUCUGACAAGUUGGGGGUUGUCAUAAGGCCAUGUGAGUGACUGAGAUUAACGGUUCAGUCUUGGAAGGGAACCAGGGUAUGUUCUAAUCUCUCUCUCUCUCUCUCUCAAAAUACACACAAUCAAAAAUAAAUUUCAGUGAAAUUAAACUGUGUAUUCAUAGCAACUAAUGACUUCUCUUUGACACAGUUUCUUAGAAGAUUGAAAAUUCUAAAUCUUAGUCAUUCGCAUGGCCUUAGGACAACAUCUGACUUGUCCGGACUCCCUAAAGGAUUGCAUUAAUUUGAUUGAUGUUGAUGAAUCCAUUGGAAACUUGGGGAAACUUAUUUUCUUGAAUCUAAAAGACUGCAAAAGUCUUAUGAAGCUUCCAAAAAGAAUGAACAUGUUGAGGUCUCUUGAGGAAUUUAUUCUUACUGGUUGCUCAAAGCUUGUUCUUCAUGACAGUGCCACGGUUAUUCAUUUACACUCUACAUCUAGGGAUAUGAAUAAACUUAGACUGUUAUCAAUUAUAUCAUCGACACGAGAAAUUUUUCCAAAUGACCGGUACAACUGUUGAGUUGGAGUUCCCCUCCAAUUACAUGAUGCCACAUAUCCUACUACAGCUGCAUAGAUUAGUUUUGUUUAAUAAAAAAAAAAAAGAAAAAGAAAAAACUUGUAGAAGGUGUAAAGUCACCCUCCCAGCGGCCGAUCCCCACCAAGGCGACUCACUUCCGAUUGACGACGACGAAGAAGAUUUCAGCUUCCUCGAGGACCCCACCGACCACAGCGCCGCCGCCCCGCACCAUUCAGAUUCGGACAAUUACGACGAUUUCGAGAACUUCUCCGAUGUCGACGAGGACGCUUUCAGGAGAUGAUGGCAGGCUUGGUAGCCCCAAGACUCCUAACUGGGUUUAUGGCAUUUUCAGUGAUGGGGAUGGGGUGGUGGCCAUUUUCGGUGAUGGGUUGAUGCAAUUUUGGGUUUUUGAUCAAAACCCAUCAAAAUUCACCACCACUUAGUCAAAAAUCCAAAUCAAACCCCAACAAAAACAAUCAAAUUCACAAGUUUUAUCUGAGAAAGAAAAAAAAACAUGAACAGAUUAUGGAAAAGGGUGGAAUGGAUGCGGGUGGGGCGUAAUAGAAUGGAAAAGAGAGGAAUCUGUGUUCUUCAUUUAAUUAAUUUAAAUUCUAUUCUUAAAAUAAAUAUUAUUUGUCAUUAUAAAAGAUGAUGUCAACCUAGAUGUCAGAUGUUAAUAGGUGGAACACCAGGUCAGCAAAUGUACCCGUCACGUGGAAAAUUUUCUCCAUGGACACCAAUCAGGUGUUUGGUGGAUGUGGGCAUGGCCAGGAAAGACUCAUCAAUCAACGAGUUUCUCUCUGGCAAGUGUACGCCCUUUUUUGGGGAAGCUUAAGUUUGUCUUACUGCAACAUGUCAGGUUCCCAAUAAUCUGUGUACACUAUCUUCGUUGAAGCAUUUGAAUCUAAUUGGUAAUCCAAUUUUGUGCCUACCACAAAAAAUGAAGAGUCUUAUUAUGCUUGAGACUCUUUUGUUAGAUAAUUGCACGAACCUCGAAAUUCUUCCAGAGCUCCCACCAAGGUUGAAGAGGUUAGAAGCAAAAUAUUGUACUUCAUUGAAAAGAUUAAGAAAUUUACCAAACUUAUUCAGAUCAUUGGAAUCACUUUUUUGGGGUUAUGAGCAUUUAGUUGAAGUUGAAAGCUUGUUGAAUAUAAAACCGUUGAGAAAUGCUGACAUAGAAAUGACAAGAUAUAUGGGCCUGUGCAGUUUGAAAUCCAUAUCAAGCACUGGUGUCGAAAGAUCUCCAUCUAGCCAAAAUAAUGUUGUUGCUGGAGAUGUGUCAAUGUCAGCAUAAGAGUACCAAAUGUGGACAGGAAAAUACUUUCUCAGUAAUCAUAGGCACCGUACUCAUCAGGCUCAAUGGUUCACAACUUAUUCAAGGCCCAAGGACCAUUGGAAAAUAUUGCGAGAGGAUGUCCAGCAGAUUCCCCAUCUGCUUCUCGUAAUCUGUUUUGGCGAAAAUGAAGAGAAACAUCCUCAGUUCUUUGUCCAACAUCAGUCAUUUCAUUUAUGGUUGGAAAGAAAGACCAGCAUCAUUUUCCUUGGUGAGUAUCGUCGUUUUGUUCUUUCUUGUUCUCGUUCUGAGUAUAUACUCAUGGCUUUGUUGGAUUUGUUGCGCUUUUUGCUUAUUGUCAUAAAGAGCAAUCAAGGAAAAAAAACCGGAACAGUCUGCAUGAGUUUGUUGGAAAUUAUAUAUUAUAGUAUAAAAUAUUGUAAUAUAUAAUUUUAAUAAUUGAAUGAAAAAAUAGUGUUAACCAUAUUUCUUAGAAAUGUUAUGUUAUUUAGGUGCAUUCCCUUGUUAAAUAAUGUAUACUUAUAGAUGAAAAGUUACAUCUCCUAACAAGAAGUACUUGGGUUCUAUUUAAACUCAUGAAACCAUUAUCAUUAAAUAUAGAAAAUUAGAGUUAAUUUUUACUCUUGAGAAAUAAGGUUUUCUCACUUUGUUUCUCUCAUGGUUCGUGUGUCAAAUUCCAAGUCAUGUCUUGAAAGUACGGAAUAUAUAAAGUUCGUCAGAGUUUGAAGAUUGAAGUGCUUUGACUUCGGAUUAUGGAUUUUUGAAUCUUGAGAGAUGGACACCUACUGAACUACAAGCACACGAGUAUGGGCGAAAUUCUAUCUUUAGGACAUUACAUUUAUGCAAGCCUCAAUCUCCAAGUUUGUCAGUUUUUCUAACUUUAUCUCUAGUUGUUUAUAUUAAUCUCCAAUUGGACCUGUUUCAAAAAUAGGUUAAAAAAUUAGACCUAUUUCAAAUUAUCCCUUAUUAUUAUUACAUUUCUUAUGUUAUUUUCAUAUUUUCUAAUCUUCAACAGAGUUUGCAUAUGAAGUUUUCAACCCCCUAUAGAGCAAAACCAACUUGAGCGUAACAGCAGUGGGGCAACAUAUGUUUCUGAAAAUCCUACAGUUAGUUUCCCUCCAAAACUCCUUACAAACGAAUCUUGAGCACCUGCAUUGCCUAAUAAUUGUUUUAACUACCAUGUUAACAGAAGUAAUAACUGUAAACGGACUAUAACAGUUGAGAAAUAUUUAAGUACCAAAAAGAGUCAGCUAUAUCAGAAUAAUUAUACUAGAGUUGAGUCGUUUAACUUCUCAUCUGUUAUGGCUUAGUCCUUUUAUGGCGGACAUUAACUCCGUUUUUCUAUAUUUUCAGAGAAAGUUCGUAAAAUUUAAAUCCUAUUGUUCUUUUUUGGCCUUUUUCUAAUAUUUUUCUGCCUUUUUCUACUGUAGUACUACUCCAGACAAUAAUCCUAGUGGCCCAAAAUUAUAUCCUAACUUUAAAUCCCAAUUAAGGUGAUAUAAUUGGUUUUUUAUGUUUAUGCUCGCUAGAAACCUCAUUGAUCACUCAUUGGUGCCUGUAGUAUUUGUGGUGUUCUAGAUCACUCAUUUGAGCAAUACAUGCGAACCAAAAUGUGGGUAGCAGCUCAGGUUCAUGCUUUCUUAAUUUUUGCACGACUAGCAGCUGGUGCAAGGGACCUCCUUGUGUUAACUACGUGCCAGUCUGGGUCCAUUUACUGCACGUUAACUUGGGAAUGACCUAACGAGGACCUGAGAUACUCAAGAACCCGUACCACACUUUUUCUUUUUCUCUCUUUUUCCUUUUUGUUUUAGGAUUGGUUUGGUAUUGCUGUGUUUUGAAAAAAAAUUAUUGUGAAAAUAAGCGGGUGUGCUGUAAGAAUAAGCGGCUGUGAAAUAAAUCAGCAGGGUGUUUGGUAAACUUUUUUGUAAAAAUACUUUUGGAAAAAAAAGCAGUCUAAUAGUGGGUCUUUUCAUUAAAGAAGCAUUGUAGCUCCGUGUGUUUUAAAAAAAAGCCAAUUUUCCAAAACUGCAAAUAGCAGCUUCAGCUUUUUCCUUUGAUUUCAGCUUAUUCUCACAGCAGCUUCCAAAAUAAGCUUUUUUUUUUCAGUUUACCAAACACCUAAAACCCUCACAGUUUUUUUUCAUGGGUGUUUUUUUUUUAAGCACCUCACUCCCAAACUAGGUCUUAGUCAUAUCUUUUUCUUUCCGUGCGGACCUCAUCGAAAUCAAACAAAAAAAGGAAAAAUUAAACUCAUCAUUAACUUCCGGAUGAAACUUUAAACCAAGUGGUGUGAGAUUUUUCCAUGAUUCAGGUGGGGGGAGGUGGGCUGGGGUCAGUUCUCAUUAUUUACUCACCCCUACACAUCUGUGCAUCCACCCCAAUUUAGAUGUUUUGGGACCUUGGACUAACAAUAUUUUUUAAGAGGUGUGAUAUCCACACACCUCAUUUUACUUCUCACGCAUCCUUGAUAAUUUCUGUCCGUUGAUCUUCUUCAAUUCAUCCGAUCUGACGGCCGAAAAUUAUAAAGGUGUGUGAGAAGUAAAAUGGGGUGUGUGAAUAUCAUACCUCUUUUUCAAAUACUAGAGAUGAGAUUGGAGAGAGAUGUGAGGAGGGAGGAGGAGCGAGAGAGAAUAGUACGGUUACAUUUUAGAAUUUUUAUGACAUAAAAUAUUAAUAAUGAUAAAAGUUAACUAGAGUUAUGUGAGAGGACAUAUAUCAAGCUAAAAGUGUGUGGAUAGCAUACAUCAGGAUAAGUUCAAUGCAUUUUUACUCACUGCUCUCAAGUGAUGGUGAUGCUCACAAUAUUUUUAUUACAGUUCGAUAAGUUUAAUUUUUAAAAUUUAUGUCUUCCACAGCAAAACAGAUUACAAAUAAUAAACAUACGAACAAACGGAUUACAAAUUAUUGAAUAUAUUUGACUAACAAAACAACAAAGAAACAGGAUUGUCGAGACGACUACACUCAACUACAUAGCAACUUAUUAUCCAUCUAAACAAACUACAUUUGUGGGGAGCAAAAUCUAAGAAAUCCUAAUUCAAAUGGGAUAGACCUAAAUCAUAAACUAAUAAGCAAAACCAAAUAAUGAAAUAACUAAUUUUUCAACACUCGUCAAAUUCAAGAGGGUACGUGACAUGAGUUUACCAACAAAUAAAUUUUAAUUUAGACAUAAUGAUGUUGAGAGUAUAAAAAGAAAGUAAAUAAGUACUCACCACAAAUAAGAUUUUCAUAUUUCAAUUCCAACAAUGAACAAACAAAAACAACACUUUCACUCGAAUAUUCACAGAUCCCAAACAAGCCAAUAACUCGCAUCGGCCUCAAGGACUUCAUAAAACAAACCGCCCAUUUCAUUUUUCCCUUUGCCCGUGUGGGCCAAAACCUCAACCAAUUUCCAAUUAUUUCUUUUCCGUGUGGACCUCAAACAUACCACCACUUUUUCUUCUUUUUCUUUUUCUAUCUUUUUUCCUUUUCUUUUUCCCCAUCUUUUACUCACCCUCGUUUACCAAAAAGAAAAAGCAAAGAGAAAACAAAAGAUUCGUCCUUCUUCUUCAGCUGCUCUGGUAGCAUCUCCCACCUCCUCUUCUUCAUCAACUAUUAAGACCGACUCCCAUUCAGAUCCUUGAAAAUUUGGGCAUGGAACUAUAGUUAUCUACUUAAGGUUGCGAGUGAGCAAAAUUUGAUUUGUGAAAUCGUCCAUUUCAAAGUGUCUUUUUGAAGAAACUAGUUGGGACUUUCAUCCAACAGCUUGCCGGCAGAAAGAAAAUUCGCAGCUUUCGGUAUCUUACAAUACACAACUCUGGUGUGUGCGAGGUACCUUCAAGCUCCCCUCUUGUGAAAACAUACAUCUGCUUUAGCUUUCAAUUGAAAUCUUCAUGGCCGAUGAGUCAAAUGCAUUGACUUUGGAUCCUCUUGCUUUCUUAUCUUUAUUUUUCUUUUUAAUAUUUUCCUAUUAAAACUAAGAUCUAAAGUCUUUAAAUUCAUGGAAAUUAUUUUGUAAGACUUCAAUAUUUUUUUUUUUUUUUCAGAAACGUGAACUAAAUCCAUUUCAUGAAGAAAGAUCUAGUCCUUUUCGUUUUUUUCUUCUUAAAAUAAAUAUGAGUCAUUAUUAUUAAUAAUUAAUUUUUUUUAAAUUGGUAGAAUAUAUUUUUGCAUAAAGUUUUAAUAAGAAUUUCUUUUAGGAUUACACAUAAUGUGUCGUUAGCUUUUUACAUACCAAAUUUAUGAUAAUAUUUAUGUACGGAUAGUUUUCUAUGUAUUUAAAUAAUAAUUACAUAACAUACCAAAACAAAUUUGUACACAAAUUUGAAUUACAUAGCAUGCCAAUAACGUACCAAAUUAUUGACACGUUACAUUUAGUAAAUAAAAGCAUUGAUAUAUAUAUAUAUAUAUAUAUAUGUAAUAUCGUUUAGAAUUUUAAAGUACGUUGGUACUUUUAAAAUAUCACGUUUGAUUUUUUUUUGUUUUUUGCAACCACAGUUUAACUUUAUUUUAUUUUAUAAACAAUUCAACUUUUAUUGUUUUUAUAGAACUUUUAUUGUUUUUUAUUCUUUUAAAAUAUAUUGAAAUAAAAAGAUAUAAAUUAACAAUAUAUUGAAAAAAAAUUAGAUAUUUGGUCUAAGAAAUUAAAAAACCGCGCAUCUAGAUCAAAAAGAUAUAAAUUAACAUUAUUUGUUUGUUUUUUAUUCUUACUAGACAACAAUUUAUCUUUUUUUUUGGCCUUCUGAGUGCUACUCGAGACUCCAACUUAUUAGAUUUUCCAUCAAUUUUUGAGAUCCCAAAUGGCGAGCCAAUGUUUCAACGCGUAUUCUAUUCACAUUUUACAACUAAUAAGAAUUUGCCUUGUGACUUGGUAACCAAUAACUGGUGUCUCUUGUACUAUUAUUAUGUUUAUCAUAUGAUUCAUAUGAUGCAUCUCAGUGUAAAAUCCGAUAUGUUUGGUAGCUGGAGAAUAUAUUCUCAAUUUGCAUUCCAAUUUGUAUAUAAUAACUCUUCUUCAUGCAUUCACUGCUACAGAUAGACUCUAUUCAAUAGAUGCAAUGAGCACCGAGCAGCAGAAUCCUUCUUCGUCUUCUAACCGGUGCACAUAUGAUGCAUUCUUGAGUUUCAGAGGCGCAGAUACACGCAAGGGCUUUACAGAUCACCUCUACAAUGCUUUGAAGUUAGCAGGAAUCCACACUUUUAGGGAUGAUGAUGAAAUUGAGAGAGGAGAAAACAUUGCACAGGAGCUACAGACAGCAAUACAAGAGUCACAAGUAUCAAUCAUUGUUUUCUCCAAGGACUACGCCUCUUCCACGUGGUGCCUGAAUGAACUUGCUAUCAUCAUGGAACGUAAAAGAACAGAUGGACACAUGGUUAUCCCAGUUUUCUAUUAUGUGGAACCAUCAGAUGUCAGGAAGCAGACGGGCAGUUUUGCAGAAUCAUUUACUAGACAUCAAGAACAAUUCAAGGACGAGAUAGACAAGGUGGAGGAGUGGAGGCGAGCUCUUAGAGAUGUUGCAGACUUGGGAGGGAUGGUUUUAAAAGACCGGUAAUUUUUCAUUCUCUCCUAUAUUCAGUCAAGUAGAUCAGAUGCUAGUCUCAAGCUUGUGAAAAUUUUAGUUUUUUUUUUUUUGAAAAAAUAAAUAAAUAACUUGCUUGUGUCUUUUCUUUUGGUCUGAAAAUAAAGAAAUUACUGUGCCUCAUAUAUUUUGAUAUCAAUAACAUAUAGGUAUGAGUGGCAGUUUAUCCAAGAAAUUGUUGAAGUGAUUGGAAAUGAACUGGACUACAUGACGAAUAGGAGAUUAAGAGUUGAUCCCCAUGUGAUUGGACGAGGUUACUAUGUGGAAAGCCUAAACAUGUGGCUGGAAGAUGGAUCAAAUGAUGUUGGAGUAGCUGUCAUCCAUGGAAUGGGUGGAAUAGGCAAGACCACCAUUGCUAAAAUUGCUUAUAACCAGAACUUCAAUAAAUUUCAAGCUAGCAGCUUUCUUUCAGAUAUUAGGGAAACUUCCAAACAAGCCAAUGGUUUUGUUCACUUGCAAAUGAAGCUUCUUUCAGAUAUCCAAAGGGGGAAAAUGGAAAAAAUAUACAGCCUUGAUGAAGGUAUAGUAAAGAUCAAACGGGUUGUACGUUGCAAAAGAGUUCUUAUUGUUCUUGAUGAUGUGGAGAACUUGGAACAGUUCACUGCAAUUCUUGGAAUGCGAGACUGGUUCCAUCCUGGAAGUAAAAUUAUCAUAACAACUAGACAUGAGUUAAAGGCUCAUGAAGUUUGUGUAAGGUUUAAGGUUGAAGGAUUACAUGCGCAUCAAUCUCUUACACUUUUCAGUUGGCAUGCCUUCGGACAAUCCCAUCCUCAGGAAGGUUACAUGGAGCAUUCAAGACACCUAGUAAAAUGUUGUGGAGGGGUUCCAUUAGCUCUUCAAGUUCUGGGAUCUUCUCUAUUUGGAAAAACAGCAAAUGUAUGGGAAAAUGUAGUACGCAAGUUAAAGGAAAAUGCAGUACCCACCUUAGACGUGAUUACUGAGGGAAAAAUUCAAAAGAUUCUUUGCAUAAGUUUUGAUUCUUUACAAGAUCAUGAUAAAUGUUUAUUCCUCCAUAUAGCCUGUUUCUUCAUAGGAAAAGACAAGGAUUUUGCAACUACAAUCCUUGAUGAAUGUGAUUUUGCGACAGAAGUUGGACUUCAACACCUAGUUGAUAGAUGCCUUGUGGAAAUUAAUGCCCGCAACAAGUUAACCAUGCAUCAAUUGCUUGAAAACAUGGGAAGGGCAAUAAUUCACAAUGAAUCACCUGAGGACCCUGGAAAACGCACUAGACUGUGGCAUAAAAAAGAAGCAAGUGACGUUUUGAGAAAUUUAACGGUAAGAAACAUGAUCUUUAACUGUAUUUAUUUGCAUUGGUGUUCUACAUGUGACUAGUAACUUAUCCAAUGCUCUUAUUUGGUGGCAGGGUAAGAGAAGUAUUAAGGGCCUCAUGCUCCACUGUCCCUCAACAUUUGAAACAAAGGCAUUUACAAAGAUGCUCAAUCUUGAACUACUUCUGCUUGAUAAUGUAAAGUUGAGUGGAAGCUAUGAAGAUUUUCCAAAAAAAUUGAUAUGGCUGUCUUGGCGAGGAUUCUCUUUAAAAUCAAUACCAGCCAAUUUUUGUAUGGAAAAUCUAGUUGUUCUCGACUUACGGAAGAGCAGUCUGCAACAUGUUUGGAACGGAACCAAGGUAUCUUCUAAUCUCUCUCGCUCUCUCUCUCUCUCAAUACACACAACAAAAAUAAAUUUCAGUGAAAGUAAACUGUGUAUUCAUAGCAACUAAUGACUUCUACUUGAUACAGAAUCUUACAAGAUUGAAAAUUCUUAAUCUCAGUCAUUCACAUGGCCUUAGGACAACAUCUGACUUGUCCGGACUCCCUAACCUUGAGAAACUAAUUCUCAAGGAUUGCAUUAAUUUGGUUGAUGUUGAUGAAUCCAUUGGAAACUUGGGGAAACUUGUUUUCUUGAAUCUAAAAGACUGCAAAAGUCUUAUGAAGCUUCCAAAAAGAAUGAAAAUGUUGAGGUCUCUUGAGGAACUUAUUCUUACUGGUUGCUCAAAGCUUGGUCCUCAUGACAGUGCCACGGUUAUUGAUUUACUCGCUACAUCUAGGGAUAUGAAUAAACUUAGACUGUUAUCAACUAUAUCAUGGACACCUAUCAGGUAUUGGUGGAUGUGGGCAUGGCCGAGAAAGACUCUUCAAUCAACCAGUUUCUCACUGGCAAGUUUGCCACGUUGUUUGGGAAGCUUAAGUCUGUCUUACUGCAACGUGUCAGAGGUUCCCAAUGAUCUGUGUACACUAUCUUUGUUGAAGCAUUUGAAUCUAACUGGUAACCCAAUUUUGCCUACCACAAAAAAUGAAGAGUCUUAUUAUGCUCGAGACUCUUUUGUUAGAUAAUUGCACAAACCUCGAAAUUCUUCCAGAGCUCCCACCAAGGUUGAAGAGGUUAGAAGCAAAGUAUUGUACUUCAUUGAAAAGAUUAACAAAUUUACCAAACUUGUUCAGAUCAUUGGAAUCACUUUUUUGGGGUUGUGAGCAUUUAGUUGAAGUUGAAAGCUUGUUGAAUAUAAAACCGGUGAGAAGCGCUGACAUAGAAAUGACAAGAUAUAUGGGCCUGUUCAAUUUGAAAUCCAUAGCAAGCACUGAUGUCGAAAUGAUGAACUACUUGACCGGUACAAGCAGGAAGGCUCCUGUCCAGGUCUUUCUCUGUCUCCUCUCUCAUGUAUAGUUGUUCUAAUUAUUAUAUCUAUGAACUAAUUUGGCCCAACUGUUUGAAUAGUUAAAUUUGAAUUGUAGAUUCUUGAUGAAACAGGUACUCUAUGAAUGUGGCAUAUAUAGCAUUUUCUUUCAUGGAAGCAAGAUUCCAGAUGGAUUUGGCUUCACAAUAAUAUAUAGAUCUGUGCUGUCAGUUAUUGUACCUUCACAUCCCUUUCUAAAAAUCCGAGGCUUGAAUUCAUGUGUGUUAUAUGCAAGAGAACCAGGCUUGGAAUAUCGUCUUACUGUUCAGCAUUUGAUUAAAGUCAGUAAUCAGACCAAGGGUCUUAUGUGGACCUAUUCCCCACUCACAGUAGGUUUGCCUACUGAGAAGGAAGAUAUGUUAUGGCUAAGCCAUUUUCGAUUUGCAAACAACGAAUUGGAGUAUGGGGACGAAUUACGUGUUUCGGUUGAGAUGCAUGAAUUUGUCCGUGUAAAGGAAUUCGGAAUUCAGCUUGUGUACGAGCCGGAAAGACCUCCUUCUAGCCAGAAUAAUGUUGUUGCUGGAGAUGUGUCACUGUCAGCAUCAGAGUACCAAAUGUGGACAGGAAAAUACUUUCUCAGUAAUCAUGGGCACUGUACUCAUCAAGCUCAAUUCCGAAGGAGACAGGAGAAUCCAGCACAUAUUGAGUUUUCAUUUGGGCCAGAGCUUCUAUUUCAUAAAUUAUUCAAGGCCCGAGGACCAUUCGAAACUGUUGUGAAACUUAGAGCAUAUCCAGCAGAUUCCCCAUCUGCUUCUCCUUACCCAUUUUGGCUAAAAUAAAGAGAAACCUCCUCAGUUCUUUAUCCAGCAUCAUUCAUUUAUGGUUGGAAAGAAACAUCAGCAUCAGUUUUCUUGGUGAGUAUCGUCCCUUUAUUCUUUCUUGUUAUCUCUUUCUGAAUAUAUACUCAUGGCUUUGUUGGAUUUGUUGCUCUUUGCUUAUUGUCUUUGAUUUGUUAAUUGAAUGAAUAUAUUAAACAAAAAGCGGGGAAAGCUCUAUGAACUCAGAACAACAAGGUCAUAAGACCAAUCAAGGAAACAAAACCGGAACAGUCCUCAUGAGUUAGCAGAUGAGGUUUGAAAACCCCUAUAGAGCAAAACCAACUUCAGCGUAACAGCAGUGGGACAACAUGUAUUUCUGAAAAUCCUGCAAUUAGUUUCCCUCCAAAGCCUACUCCUUACAAACGAAUCUUGAAUUCCUGCGACGUGGUAUUUGGGGUAACUUCUAUUUGGACACAUUUAUAUGAGCAAACUUUUCUUAUUCUAUUAUUAUGCAUUCGGAUUAGAAAGCGCGCGAUCAAUAAGAUAUUGAAAACAUGUAUUUCCUGAUACAUUAUAUAAAAUUAAUAAUUCGCUAAAUUCAUAAGAUAAUACAUUAUAUAAAAUUCAUAUAGAUUCCACAUAAUAUGUAAAUUAAUAAUUUCCUGAUACAUGUGCUUAUGAUUCGACAAUGAGGCCUUCCUAAAAUAUGACUCAAUCAUUGUUUGUUUUUUCUUUUCUUGAAAUUGAUACCUUGGAUCUUAUAUUUUUCUUAACAUGAUAAGAAGUUAUAAUGUGGUUUUUUCAUACUUCAACAAAAAAUUAUUCAAUGUCAUCGCCGCUUUGAGAACUUCUUUUCGGGAAACGGGCUCCAUAGUAGAACCAUGUACAAUCUAUUUUUAGAAAAUAAGUAGAUUCAAAAUUUUACUUGGUUAAACAAUAAAAUCGUUAGUUCGUAAAAUGAGAAACUAAAUUAAUAACAUAUUAAUUUAUCAAUUAUUUAAUAUUUUGCUAAAAAAUUUGGUCUCAAGGUUAUUAAUUUAUAGAGGUCUAAUGGAUUUAGAUAGAGGACACUAGGUAGGUUUCCCUUUAAAGAGUCUGAUAUGGUUGCCUUAAGUCUCACUUGCAUUUACUACGGUAUCCCCAAUCAAUCAUGCACUACCAUGCUUGGAUAAACUAUAGUAAUGUCCUUGCAUGGCAUGCAUGAUUGACUCGAGAUACCGUCAUAAUGUCAUCUUUGUUGUAGGUAAGUUUUUCUCCCCGAAAUAUAUGUUCACCAAGGAAUUUACAUGUGAAAUGAAACUCUAAGAAAAGAAAUUUAAAAAUGAGAAAGUGAUCCACCUAAUCAUGUGUGUCGGUAUGUAAUUGGGCCACGCAAGGAUCAAUGAACAAAAAAUUUAAAUGUCACAAUACAAGCUAUAGUAAUUUGUUAACUGCAUUUGAUUUCAUAUUGUUUUAAGUUACGAGCAGUGAAGACAGGGAAUAAAAAUGGAAUGAUAAUCUUUGUUAGAUCAUAUUCUAAAACAAAUUUCCAACACUCUGAAUCUUGCAGCUUUUGAGCUGCUCUGUGUUUGAGCAAUUAGUAGAGACAAAAUUGGAAGAGAUCAUCCUGUAAUAUCUAGUUAAACAAAUCAAGGGAAAACAAUUUUACGCCGCCCUUACCUAGUUUACAAAAUUUGUCAACCUCUUCUCUUACAAAAUUUGUAUAAGCCUAACCUGCGCGCGCUAUAAAGUCCUAAUUCUAAUCUUGGGACAAUGUAAAAGGAGUGCAGCGGGAAGAAAUAUCCAUGACAUCACAGACCACUCGGGCACAUGACUUUUUUGGAACUACAAGACAAUAAGAUGUAAAACAUUUCAGAGCUAUGUGGCAGGUAUUGCACAGAGGGGAAACAAAAGCACAAGGCUCUCUAAGCAAACAAUAACAGAGAAGAAUCGUCGUAUACACAAUUGUUUUCUACCAAUAGCGAAUGACAUAGCAGACAACUAGAAGAGAGUAAUGAUUCUCAAGAUAUAGCUUAUUUACUUAUCCCUUAAGAUUAUUCACAAGAGCAUUCGAUUUUUGUUAGAAACGCUAUAUGGAGAUUACAAUAAUCAUGACAUUAUUGUGCGCCAUUGUGCUGAUCGUUAUGUUCCUGACAGGAACUAAUUACCUCUCUUUGAAACGGUGUCUUCCAAGACAGAAAAUCCUUAAUCUCAGUCACUCACAUGGCGUGAUGACAACCCCUAACUUGUCACAAGUCCCUAACCUUGAACAAUUGAUUCUCAAAUAUUGCUUAAAUUAGGUCGAGGUGGAUGACUCCAUUGGAUACCUAGAGAAACUUGUUUUCCUGAAUCUAAGACUGCAAAAUGUGAGUGCUGGAGAUGUGUCAGCAUCAAAGUAUCAAAUAUGGAAAGGCAAAUGCUUUGUGUGUAAUCACAGUCUAGACCAUACUUAUCAUCCUCAGUUCAUAUUUCAGAAAGAACCAGAAGAACCUGGCUCAUCUUGAUUCUUCAUACGAUCCAGAGGGCUGUUAUUUUAAUAAUCAUUACUUACUUAAGCACAUAGAGUUUCCUCAGGAGGACGAUGAAUACUGUUGUGUUUUGCCACCCGAAAGGGUAAGAUUUUACAAGAGAAUAAAAGAUAAAGAAGGCGAUGAUUAUCGACUGCGUCUAUUCAAAAGAAGUGUAGAUUUGGGCACUAUCCAGUUGCGGUGCUAAUCAUCGGGCGUUGAAGAAAAGAUCAUGGUUUGUUUUCUUUUGUGAGUCUUAUUUUCUGUUUCUCUUUGUAUAGAAUAUACUAUAUAUGCAUUUUGUUUGAAUAAUUGAAUCUUCUUAACUCGAUCUUUUCAAUAUUUUGUACAAAGGAUGCAAGGGUUCAAAAACACUAGAUGUAGAUUUCAUAUCUGAGCUCCAUAUUGGUUCUUAUCUGAGCUCCUUCAGCGGAUUAACAAUGUGGUCAGCGAAUAAAGGAGUUUAAUCCAACUUAACAGUUAACAAUCAGACGGGCAGAUCUUCCCGUUGUUUAUUUUUCCGUUUCUUCUUAAUUUUUUGUUUUUGCUCCAAUCUUUCUUUAUUUUUUUCUUCUUAUGUUUUUGCUCUUUCUUUAUCACAUAACCGUAGCUACUUUCUGGUUAAAUUCUAUUUUUCUUAUUUCUUAAAAAUAAAUUAAAAGCUACUUAUUAUUAGGGUUUAGUAAUAUUCAUCUUUACUUAUGUUGAUGCACAAAACCGGAAGGUCUUGGAACAACGUAAAUCCGACCGUGAAUCAUGCAAACGCCCAAGAACACAAAGAUGUAUCGUGGUUCACCCCAAUGUUUGGGCUACGUCCACACUGAUGUUGAUUGUAUUCCUCUGUAAUUGUAUGUAUGGAUUACAAAGUGUUGUUGUGUUUGUGAGGGUAUUGCCCUCUGUUGGGUUCACAGAGGAAGAGAGUUGAGAGAGUUUCUAUGUAUGUAGGAGGGUUGCUCUGAAUAUGAGAGUCUCUGUUUGGGGAUGUGAGGCCUCAGGAUUGUGAGGGUGAGGAGGCCCUUUUAUAGACUAAGGGCUCCUCCCCUUUUACAUAAAUCAUAGGCUCAAUGUCUGGAAGCCCAAGUAACGAGGCCCAAUAUAAUAUGGUACCAACAGUAGUCCCCUAAGUCUUCAGUCAAGAGAGUCUUUUGGCUGGAGACUUCAAAUCCAAUUCAUGUACGGGCCGAAGUGGCUAGAUGUCUUGAACCAGUACUCAACCCAAGGCAAUGCUCAACAUAAAGCAAUACUCGGCUAGAGGUAUCACACGUUACGAGACUACUCGGUUGGAGGCGAUGCUCGUUGCGAGGCUGCUCGGCUAGAGGCUAUGCUCGCGGCAAGGCGUUUGCUCGGCUGGAGGCGAUGCUCGUUGCGAGGCGGCUCGGCUAAAGGCUAUGCUCGCUACGAAGUGGCUCGGCUCGUGGUAUUCCUCAUUGCAAGUAUCUACUUUAUGUCGACAUGCACUCAGUAUGAGUUGAUUCUCAACAUGACUCGAGUCCGCUUGUCGGGUUCGCAUAUUGGGUCUAUAUGUAGGAUCCGCAGAUCGGGUCCGCAAGUCGGGUCUUUGAGUUGGGGCCAUACGUAGGGUCAUCGAGUUGGGGCUAUCUGUAGGGUAAUCGAGUUAGGUCCAGGCACAUAGGUGUCCCAAUAAGCAAAUGUCAGAGCAAGUGGGUGUCCGGUCAGACAAGAGAUCACCAUGAGCACGUGGCUCAUCAAUCUAUAAGUUGGUAGACUUCUUUAAUCAGCAACAAUGUUGAUCAGUGGAUCUAGUUGCUUAAUAAUUUCUGACAAUAAAUGACAGUAUAAGUAUGACCGUAUAAUAAGUAAAUCAAAUUGACAAAGUUUGUCAAGGCAAAAUAUUGCAUUAUGUGCCUUCUGUGAAUAAAUGAUUUAUUCAGUUUGUGUGAUAAAUCAUAUGUUGUAUAAAUCAACAAUAUAUUAAGCAUAUAAUAUAUAUAUACCAACGGUAAUUUUUUAAAGUGGCAGGUAACAUAGGGAUAUUAAAGGAGAGCAUCUUAUCUUUUUAAGGGGUUGGUGGCUUUCUUUCAGGCAGAUGGCAGACAGUAAUUAUAGGAUUAAUAAUAGAAUGAUGGCAGAUGGCAGACGGAAUAAAAACUUAUCUUUAGACAAUGGAGUGGGCAUCUUCUUUGGUGGUCGACAAAAGUCAUCGGUCAUGAUAAAGUUCUUAUCUUCUCUGUUCGUCCAUCAUUGCUCUAGCAGUGGAACUGUGGCCAACAUCUUUGAAAUCAUUACUUGUGUCCUUUCCAAACCUCUCUCAUUCUCGUCGCUUCUUUUCGCCAGCGCUCUGUAAAGAAACAAGGCUCCCAGCACGGCGGUGAAGAUCCAUCCGAGCAAGUGCUGAUCCGCCAUUACAGGUGAAGGCUGCUUCCAUUUCAUGGAGGUUUGGUUUGCUUCCAUGGCCGCUUCAGACUCUUCUUUUUCUGCGGUGUUCUAUGGAUAACAUCAAAGUUGAAUGAAUGGAUACAUGUGGGCUUUUGAUUACUUGAUGAGUUUUUUUUUUUCUGAUAGAAUAAAAAAAAAACAAGCAGCCAACUUCCACCAAUCCCCUCGCUUAGCAACAGGUGCAUAUGUUAGUGGCAGAGUCGGAAAGAGUGACAAUUCUGGUGGCGGACUCGAAUCGGCGCUCCCGACGAAUAUCAUCCUCGAUUUCUUGCUGGGCCCUCCGACGCUGGUUGAAUUUCUCGGCGUUGGCGUUGUUCCACAACGCGAAUCGAACCUCCGUUGGCGGGUGGUUCUGAGCCGCGUUGUGGGUGGGGCUCAAGUUCAAUGGUGGCGUAAAAAUUAGACAAGAAAUGGGCAAAUUCAGCGCCAUUUCUUGCUGGGUUCCUCAAAUUGAAGCCGAAAGCUUCAAACUUUUAGCAGAUAUGAGUCCUUUUGCUGGGUUCUGAAUGCAUAUCAGUUAAACGACGUCGCAGCAGCUGACAGUAUAGGCCUUUCAAAGUGAGAGUUUUGCAGGGAAGAAUUGAGAGAGAGAAAGAGGUGGCUCCGUGGGUUUUCUGGGAAAGCUUUGGGUUCUUGGGUUUCUGCAGAUUCACGGUGGAGGUUGUCAAGUUUUCACAGUGGUGAGAUGGAAAAAUGAAAGAGAACUGACAUAGCUUUUCGUGUCGUUUCCCACAGACGGAGCCAAAUGUUGAUGCACAAAACCGGAAGGUCUUGGAACAACGUAAAUCCGAUCGUGAAUCAUGCAAACGCCCAAGAACACAAAGAUGUAUCAUGGUUCACCCUAAUGUUUGGGAUACGUUCACACUGAUCUUGAUUGUAUUCCUUUGUAACUGUAUGUAUGGAUUACAAAGUGUUGUUGUGUUUGUGAGGGUAUUGCCCUCUGUUGGGUUCACAGAGGAAGAAAGUUGAGAGAGUUUAUGUGUUUGUAGAAGGGUUGCUCUGAAUAUGAGACUCUCUGUUUGGGGACGUGAGGCCUCAAGAUUGUGAGGGUGAGGAUACCCUUUUAUAGACUAAGGGCUCAUCCCCUUUUACAUAAAUCACGGGCUCAAUGUCUGGAAGCCCAAGUAACGAGGCUCAUAUAAUAUGGUACCAACAACUUAUAAGUGAAAGAUGUCUUAUAUUCGAUUCUCAUCACUUAGCCCUCUCGCUUCUUAAUGUAGAUAAUAUCGUAUAUUCAAAACAAACAAAAAAGUAAAUUAAAACACUAAAAUUAAAUAAUAAAAAAAUAAAUAGAAACCCAACCCUCGUCAACUUCCUCACCCCGGUGUGAGAUUUGUCCAAAUGUUAGAUAAUUUGGGUUGGGUGAGUUGGGUUGGGGUCGCUUCUCAUCUAUUCAUUCACCCUUCACAUCUAUGCAUCCACCCCAAUUUAGAUGAUUUGGGAUCUUGGAUUAGCAAUAUUUUUCAAAUAACAGAGAGAGAGAGAGAGAGAGAGAGAGAGAGAGAGAGAGAGAGAGAGAGAGAGAGAGAGAGAGAGAGAGAGAGAGAGAGCGAGAGAGAAUGGGAUGGUUAGAUUUUAGAAUUGCUAUGACAUAAACAUUAAUAAUGAUAAAAAUUAAUUAGAGUUAUGUGAGAGGACAUAUGUCAAGCUGAAUUUAUGUUGGUAGAAUACACUAGGGGUUAAGUUUGGGCAAUUUUGCUCACCACCAUUUUAUUUAUCAUUGUUAAAUAAGUUUAAAUUUUGAAAUUUGUAUCUAUCCAUAAUAGAAUAUCAGGUACACAUAACAAACAUACGAACAAACAUAUUAUAAAUUACGAAUAUUAUUUGAUUAACGAAAAAACAAAGAAAUAGGAUUGCCAAGAUGGCUACACUUAAAGACUACAUUUUAAUCAACUUAUUAUCAUACUAAAUUAUAAGUUAUAUGUAUAGAGAACAAAACCUAAGAAACCCUAAUUUGAAUGAGCUAAGCCCAAAUCUUAAAUUAACAAGCAAACCCAAAUAAUUAAGUAACUAAUUUUCCAACACCCCCGUCAAACUCAUGGUGGUACACGACAUGAGUUUACCAACAAGAAAAUGUCAAUGUAGGCUUCACUAGGUGGACAAGCAGGCAAACAAGCUUUGCUAGGCUGGACUUGACUUGACUUGUGAAUGGGCAAACUGAUUAUGUUUCAGAAAUGCAUGAGGGUAUGGAAAGAAAGCAUAUGAGUGCUCCUCAUCACUAAACAAACGAGAUUUUCAUAUCCCAAUUGCAGCAAUGGACGGACAAAAAGAAUACUAUCACUCAAGUGAUCACAAGUCCAAACAGUCGCAAAAUUCCCAUACAGGCCAACAACUCGUGUGGGCCUCAAAGACUUCAAACAAAAUCAAACAGCCCAUCUCUUUUUGCCCUUUCCCCGUGUGGGCCGAAAUCUCAACUAAAUUCGUGGGCCUCAAACAUACCGCCACUUUUUCUCCUUUUUCUUUUCCUUUUUCCCUCUUUUUCUUUUUCUUUUUUACAGAUCUCUAUAAUUGUUGCCCCAACACGACAAUUUUGUUAAUUCUUAUUAAUGAAGAGGAUUUUUCAAUCUUUCUUUGUUUCGUGCAGAUUGAAUUUGCCUGUGUCUGAACCGAAUCAUUUCUUUUUUAAACAACUGGUGUCGGGGGAGGGGGCCUCUGCAGGCUUUUAUCAACUUUGAGUUACAAGUCCAUUGAAAAUUAAUAAUUGAUUUGUCUCUUUAAGGAAGAACGGCCAUAGAAAAUUAAUAACUGAAUUAUCUUUUAAUUUAAUUAUUAUAAUAACUGAUUUGUCUUUUUUUAUUUUUUUUAAAUGAUAUUGCAAGAGUAGAAUUUGAGCUAAGUCACACGUCAUAAUUUCACACCGAACGAAAAUCGAAUCUAAAACCUUCUUUUUUUAUAAGUGGAGAAAUUUAUGAUUGAAUCUUUAGAUUUUGCAUUAUAGUCGCUCUAUAGUGACUCUUUUGUGACUAUAAAAAAUGAUUACUCAAUUUUCGUGGAAAACGCGAAUUAUACACGUACGUACCUUGAGUACUUUUUGGCAAAGCCAUAUAUAAUUGUCACCCUCAUUUACCCAAAAAAUAAAGAAAAACAAAAGAAAAGAGAAAACAAAAGACUAGCCCUUCUUCUUGAGCUUCUCUGGUAGCAUGAUCAUCUCCCACAUCCUCUUCUUCAUCAACUCUUAAGACCGACGCCCAUUCAGAUCCUUGGAAGUUUGAGCAUGGUGGAGAGGAACUAUAGUUAUCAACUUGAGUUUGCGAGUUAGCGAAAUUCGAUUUGUGAAAUCGUCCAUUUCAAAGUGUCUUUUUGAAGAAACUAGUUGGGACUUUCAUCCAACAGCUUAUCGGCUGAAAGAAAACUCGCAGCUUUCGGCAUCUUACAAUACACAACUCUGGUGUGUGCGAGGUACCUUCAAGCUCCCCUCUUGUGAAAACAUACAUCUGCUUGUAUUAUUAGCUUUCAAUUGAAAUCUUCAUGGCCGAUGAAUCAAUGCAUUGGCUUUGGCUCCUCUUGCUUUCUUAUCUUUAUUUUUCUUUUUAAUAUUGUCCUAUGAAAUUUGUUUUGAGUCCCUAACUCACACUUAAAGCACCGCCGUUACACUGAAAAUUUUCUCUAAGCUAGUGGGUCAUUCUAUUUUUUUUAUGAAAAAAAAUCAUAAACUUAUCCAAUAAACUCCACAUAUCAUCCCUUAUUGACAUAGUUAGAUUCAAGUGCUACAUUUUAUAAUUACACAUUAGUUGGUUUUUAGUUUUUUAUUCAAGUUCUUUGAAUUUUGAUUAAACGCUUUAACUUUACAUGUGUUUUUUUCUUAAUUUUAACUCAAUAUGUUAUAUAAAUUUAAAGAAUAUAAAUAUGAGUCUCUAAAUUCAUGGAAAUUGUUUUGCAAGACUUUAAUUAUUUUUUUUUCAGAAACGUGAACUAAAUCCAUUCAUGAAAAAAGAUCCAGUCCUUUUCUUUUUUUUCUUCUCAAAAUAAAUAUGAGUCAUUAUUUUAAUAGUUAAUUUAUUAAAAAUUGAUAAAAUAUAUUUUUGUAUAAAGUUUUAAUAUGAAUUUCUUUUAGGGUUGUCAUUAGCUUUUUACGUACCAACGCCUUCAAACUUAAAGCCACAGCCCACUCCCAGUCCAAAUCCAUAAACCCAGCCACUUUAAUUGUUUUCAGAAGAGUGGCAGUUUCGUAAAUAAAGUGAAAUGCAGCAAAAGUCACUGUAGCUUAUGAAUAAUGCUAAGGAAAUUUUAUUUGAACACAUCUAACCUCUUUCUAUACCAAACUUACUCUCUUCACCCAUAUUGUUUUUUAUUAAAGAAUUAAUAUCUCUUUAAACCCAAAUUUAUUACCUAAACUACCCUUUCAAACCCAAUUCAAAAUGUAAAUUAUCUUUUCACCAAUUUUCUUUAUAAAAUAACAUCUCUAAUUGAAUGUUGUUUUUUCUUCAAAGAGGCAUCCUUUGCCCCUAUAAUUGCAUUUGCCGUAUAGGACUAGCAUUUCCAUGGCUGUUUUUUUUUUCCUUCUGCUACCACAACACAUUCAUGGACUUGGGAUCCAAGAGAUCAUUCCAUAGACUUGAAUUUGCCAAGAGAAUGCUAUGCAACCUUCAGUUCAGUCAUUUUUAAAUCGAGCAUUUUCAUGUACUUUUUAAGAAACUUUGAAGUGACAUAGGGAUGGGUGUUUUGCUGCUAUGUUAAUAAACAAAUAAACAAAUUGGAGCUAUUUUGAAUAAAAAAAUGUGCAAGACAUGCCACCGGCUAGUUCGUGGUUAAGGUUGAGCAAUCUUUAUUUGUACCAAGAACCAAGUUUUAUGUUUUUGCAGUACUAAUAAAAAAUCCUUGCACUGGUGUUUUGGGGCGCAUAUAGACGACAUAGAGAAACAAAUACAAUAUAAUAUAAAAGGUAUGAAAUUUAAUCCAAGGAAGAAGCAAACAAACAAAAUAUCCAUAAAUCGAGUCAUACCUUAGUUGAAGGAUUAAAAACUUCAAAAUCACCAUCCAUCAAUAGAAAAGCUUGUUUUUCUCUAUCAGAACUAUUAGGGUUUUAGUUGGAAUGAACAUAGGAUAAACUAAGAGUGAUGCUAGAGUUUAGUUAUAGUAUGUGGGUCUAUUGAUAAAUUUGAUUUUUAUUAUUAAUUUCAUUUUGUACUUAAUAGUAAUUAUGCAAUAGGGUAAAAUAGACAAUUAAUAUUUAAAAUUUAAGUUGGAUGUAGAAAGAUGUUAGAUGGGUUUAAAUAAAAUUUCCCUAGAGCCAAUUCUUCCCCAAUUUAGACUAUACUAAUAUGAAAAAUUCCAUCUCCAAUCAGACUUCAUUCUUAAUACAAGUUAGCAUACUUACUAGAAACACCAAUUUUUUAUUUAGUAUUAUUAUUUUUUUCUGGGUAAUACUAGAGACAUCAACUUAUUAGUUUUUGCAUCAAUUUUUUUAAAUCCCAAAUUUCGUGGCAAUGUUUCAACGCAUUUUCUGUUCACAUUUUACAACAAAUAAGAAUUUGCAUUGUGACUUGUUAACAAUUAACUGGUGUCUCUUGCACUAUUAUUAUGUUUAUCAUUUCUUACAUACUUCCAAAAUUAGACAUGUAAUAUGAUUUGCAUCUCAGUGUUAAAUCAGAUGUGUUUGGCAGCUGGAGAAUAUAUUCUCAAUUUGCAUUCCAAUUUGUAUAUAAUUACUUUUGUUCAUGCAUGCACUGCAACAGAUGGACACUAUUCAAUAGCUACGAUGAGCACCGAGCAGCAGAAUGCUUCUUCGUCCUCUUACCGGUGCACAUAUGAUGCAUUCUUAAGUUUCAGAGGUGCAGAUACACGCAAGGGUUUUGCAGAUCACCUCUACAGUGCUUUGGAGUUGGCAGGAAUCCACACUUUUAGAGAUGAUGAUGAAAUUGAGGGAGGAGCAAACAUCGAACAGGAGCUACAGACAGCAAUACAAGAGUCACGAGUAUCAGUCAUUGUUUUUUCCACGGACUACGCCUCUUCCACGUGGUGCCUGAAUGAACUUGCUAUCAUCAUGGAACGUACAAAAACAGAUGGACACAAGGUUGUGCCAGUUUUCUAUGAUGUGGAACCAUCAGAUGUUAGGAAACAGACGGGCAGUUUUGCAGACUCAUUUACUAUACAUGAACAGCGCUUCAAGGACAAGAUAGACAAGGUGGAGGAGUGGAGACGAGCUCUUAGAGAAGUAACAGACCUGGGAGGGAUGGUUUUAGGAGAACGGUAAUUUGUCAUUCCCUCCCUAUAUUCAGUCAAGUAGAUCAGAUGCUAGUCUCAAGCUUGUGAAAGUUUUAGCUUUUCUUUUUUAAAUAAAAAAAUUAAAUAAAUAACUUGCUCGUGUUUUUUGUUUUCCUCUGAUAUAUUUUUAUAUCAAUAACAUAUAGGUACGAGUCGCACUUUAUCCAAGAUAUUGUUGAAGCUUUUGGAAAUAAACUGGACUACAUGAACAUGUGGAAUAGGAGAUUAAGAGUUGAUCCCUAUGUAAUUGGAAGAGAUUAUUAUGUGGAAAGCCUGAACACCUGGCUAGAAGAUGGAUCAAAUGAUGUUGGAGUAGCUGUCAUCCAUGGAAUGGGUGGAAUAGGCAAGACCACCAUUGCUAAAAUUGCUUAUAACCAGAACUUCUCUAAAUUUCAAGCUAGCAGCUUUCUAUCAGAUAUUAGGGAAACUUCCAAACAAGCCAAUGGUUUUGUUCACUUGCAGAGGAACCUUCUUUCCGAUAUCCAAAAGAGGAAAGUGAACAAUAUAUACAGCCAUGAUGAAGGUAUAGUAAAGAUCAAACGGGCUGUACGUUGCAAAAGAGUUCUUAUUGUUCUCGAUGAUGUUGAGAACUUGGAACAGUUCAAUGUGAUUCUUGGAAUGCGAGACUGGCUCCAUCCUGGAAGUAAAAUUAUCAUAACAACUAGACAUGAACAUUUGUUAAGGGCUGAAGUUUGUGUAAGGUUUAAGGUUGAAGGAUUACCUGAGCAUCAAUCACUUAAGCUUUUCAGUUGGCAUGCCUUUGGACAAACCCAUCCUCAAGAAGGUUACAUGGAGCUUUCAAGACCUGUAGUAGAACAUUGUGGAGGGGUUCCAUUAGCUCUUCAAGUUCUGGGAUCUUCUCUAUUUGGAAAAACAGUAGAUGUAUGGAAAAAUGCAUUUCACAACCUAGACGUGAUUACUGAGGGAAAAAUUCAAAAGAUUCUUGGCAUAAGUUUUCAUUCUUUACAAGAUCAUGAUAAACGUUUAUUCCUCCACAUAGCCUGUUUCUUCGUAGGGAAGGACAAGGAUUUUACAACUACAAUCCUUGACGAAUGUGAUUUUGCCACAGAGGUUGGACUUCAACAUCUGGUUGAUAGAUACCUUGUGGAAAUUAAUGUCCACAACAAGUUAAUCGUGCAUCAAUUACUUCAAGACAUGGGAAGGGCAAUAAUUCAUGAAGAAUCAUCUGAGGACCCUGGAAAGCGCACUAGACUGUGGCAUAAAGAUGCAUUUAACGUUUUGACAAAAUUAACGGUAAGAAACAUGAAUUUUAUGUGUACAUAUUUGCAAUGGUGUUCUGCAUGGUAACUUAUCCAAUGUUCUUAUUUGUUAGCAGGGUACGAGAACUAUCAAGGGCUUCAUGCUCCACUUUCUCCCAACAGAUUCAUCUCCGGUAAAUGAGGUAGGUUUCGAAACAAAGGCAUUCACAGAGAUGCUCAAUCUUGAACUACUUCUGCUUGAUAAUGUAAAGUUGAGUGGAAGCUAUGAAGAUUUUCCAAAAAAAUUAAUAUGGUUGUCUUGGAGAGGAUUGUCUUUAAAAUCAAUACCGGCCAAUUUUUGUUUGGAAAAUCUAGUUGCUCUAGACUUACGGAAGAGCAGUCUGCAACGUGUUUGGAAAGGAACCAGGGUAUGUUCUAAUCUCUCUCGCUCUCUCUCUCUCUCUCUCUCUCUCUCUCUCUCUCUCUCUCUUUCACUCAAUACACACAAAUAAAAAUAAAUUUCAGUGAAAUUAGACUCUGUAUUCAUAGCAACUAAUGACUUCUCUUUGAUACAGUUUCUUACAAGAUUGAAAAUUCUUAAUCUCAGUCAUUCACAUGGCCUUUGGACAACAUCUGACUUGUCCGGACUCCCUAACCUUGAGAAACUAAUUCUUAAGGAUUGCAUUAAUUUGGUUGAGGUUGAUGAAUCCAUUGGAAACUUGGGGAAACUUGUUUUCUUGAAUCUAAAAGACUGCAAAAGUCUUAUGAAGCUUCCAAAAAGAAUGAGCAUGAUGAGGUCUCUUGAGGAACUUAUUCUUACCGGUUGCUCAAAGCUUGUGCUUCAUGAUAGUGCCAUGGUUAUUUAUAUUCACACUACAUCAAGGGAUAUGAAUAAACUUAGACUGUUGUCAACUAUAUCAUGGACACCAAUCAGGUUUUGGUGGAUGUGGGCAUGGCCAAGAAAGACUCUUCAAUCAACCAGUUUCUCACUGGCAAGUUUACCACGUUGUUUGGGAAGCUUAAGUCUGUCUUACUGCAACGUGUCAGAGGUUCCCAAUGAUUUAUGUACACUAUCUUCCUUGAAAUAUUUGAAUCUAAUUGGUAACUCAAUUUUGUGCCUACCACAAAACAUGAAGAGUCUUAUUAUGCUCGAGACUCUUUUGUUAGAUAAAUCCAUAAACCUUGAAAUGCUUCCAGAGCUGCCCCCAAGGUUGAAGAGGUUGGAAACAAAAUAUUGUACAUCAUUGAAAAGAUUAACAAAUUUACCAUUGUUCAGAUCAUUAGAAUCACUGUUUUGGGGUUGCGAGCAAUUAGUUGAAAUUGAAAGCUUGUUGAAUAUAAAACCGUCGAGAAGCGCUGAUAUAGAAAUGAGAAGAUAUAUGGGCCCGUUCAAUUUGAAAUCCAUAACAAGCACUGAUGUUGAAAUGAUCAACUACUUGACCAGUACAACUAGGAAGGUUCCUGUCCAGGUCUUUCUCUCUGUCUCCUCUCUCAUGUAUAGUUGUUCUAAUUAUUAUAUCUAUGAACUAGUUGGGUCUAACUGUUUGAAUAAUUAAAUUUGAAUUGUGCAAUCUUGAUGAAGCAGGGAGUCUAUGAAUGUGGCGUAUAUAGCAUUUUCCUUCCUGGAAGCAAGAUUCCAGAUGGAUUUGGCUUCACAACAAUAUAUGGAUCAGCGCUGUCGGCUAUUGCAUCUUCACAUCCUAAUCUCAAAAUCCAAGCCUUGAAUGUAUGUGUUUUAUAUGCAAUAGAACCGGGCUUGGCAAUUGAUGACUAUCUUGUUAGUGCUCAGCAUUUGAUUAAAGUCAGUAAUCAGACCAAGGGUCUUAUGUGGACCUAUUCCCCAGUCACAGUAGGUUUUCCAACUGAGAAGGAAGAUAUGUUAUGGCUAAGCCAUUUUCAAAUUGGGAACAAUGAAUUGGAGUAUGGGGACCAAAUACGUGUUUCGGUGGAGAUGCAUGAUUUUUGGAUAAAGGAGUUCGGAAUCCAGCUUGUGUACGAGCAGGAAAGACCUCCUUCUAGCCAGAAUAAUGUUGUUGCUGGAGAUGUGUCAAUGUCAGCAUCAGAGUACCAAAUGUGGACAGGAAAAUACUUUAAUCAUAGGCACCGUACUCAUCAAACUCAAUUCCGAAAGAGACAGGAGAAUCCAGCACAUAUUGAAUUUUCGUUUGAGCCAAAGCAUCAGCUUCAUACUUAUUCAAGGCCCAAAGACCAUUGAAAAUAUUUUGAAACUUAGAGCAUGUCCAGCAGAUUCCCCAUCUACUUCUACUCACCUAUUUUGGAGAAAAUGAAGAGAAACCUCCCUCCUUAGUUCUUUUUCCAACAUCAUUCGUUCAUGGUUGGAAGGAAAGAUCAGCAUCAAUUAUCUUGGUGAGUGUCGUCUUUUUGUUCUUUCUUGUUAUAUCUUUCUGAAUAUAAACUCAUGGCUUUGUUGGAUUUGUUGCUCUUUGUUUAUUGCUUUGAUUUGUUAAUUGAAUGAAUAUAUUAAACAAAAGGAGGGGAAAGGCCUACGAACUCGUGUAGUUGAUGCAUGUAGUACUCAGUACUACUCUUUCAGACAAUAAUCCUAACUUUAAAUCCCACUUAACGUCAUAUAAUUUGGUGUCUGUAGUAUGUUUGGUGGUCUAGAUCACUCAUUUGAGAUAUACAUGUGAACCAAAAAGCUGUUUAACUUGAAAAAAGGGGAAAUUUAGCAUGCCCCUGAACUUUUAAAAUGUUGGGAGCAGCUCAGGUUUGAGUCCCAGCAAAGGCAUGCUUUUCUUAAUUUUUGCACGACUUACAGCUGGUGCGAGGGACCUCUGCGCGUUAACUAUGUGUCAGUCUGGGUCCAUUUAUUCCCUAGCCAUCAGUGUGCUGUCUAACUUUGUCUUUUAUAUUCACAAAAAAGCAUUGGCAGUCUUGACAGUGUCGAAACUGUUUACCGUGUUCAAACCGUGUGCAGGGCGUGUCAGCAUGUCAGAGUGUCUGACACUUUGAGGUUUGGGAGUGUCCGUGCAACCUAGGCUUCAAGAACGAGAUGGACAAGGUGGAGAAGUGGAGAAGAGCGCUUACUGAUGUUGCAAAUCUGGGAGGGAUGGUUCUAGAAGAUCGGUAAUUUCGUAAAACAUUUUCUUUAAUUUGAAAUUAUUAUCUAUAUAUGACCUUUUAUAACUUGUUUAUUAGGCACAUUAUUGUUAGCUUAUAGGGUAUGAGUGGCAGUUUAUCCAAGAUAUUGUUCAAGAGGUUGGAAGUAAGCUGGAUCGCGUGGCAGUAAAUGUUGCUCCCUAUGAUGUUGGAAUCGAUAUUUGUGUGCACGGAAUCAACAGAUGGUUAGAAGAUGAUUCGGGUGAUGCUGGUGCAGCGGUUAUCUAUGGGAUGGGUGGAAUUGGCAAAACCACCAUUGCCAAAGCUGCUAAUAAGACGAACCUUGCAAAAUUUUAAGGAAACGGCAGCUUUCUUGCAGAUAUUGGCUUGCAAAUAAAUCUUCUUUCCGAUAUCCAAAGGGUGAAAGUAAAGAAAAUAAGCAAACAUGAAGGACUAAUCAAGAUUAUGCAUGCUGUAGGUUGCAAUAGAGUUCUUAUAGUUCUUGAUGAUGUGAACCAUUUGGACCAAUUCAAUGCAAAUCUUGGAAUGUAUUGAAUUUUGAAUGUCUAUAUUUUGUAUUAUGUAAAACUAAGUACAAUGAAAGCUCAUAUAAAUGAGCGGAAGAAAGGAAAAGAAAACAGAAGCCGAAAGAAAGGGAGGACAAUCAGAAAACAUGGAGCAGAAAACAUGGAAAAGUAAAGGUGAGGAAAACAUGGAAAAGUAAGAAAACAUGGAGCAGAAAACAUGGAAAAGUAAAGGUGAGGAAAACAUGGAAAAGUAAAGGUCACCAUACACCCAUGCUUUCUUCCAAUACUCCCCCUCAAGCUGGAUCAAAGGGAUUAAUUGAUCCAAGCUUGAACAAAAGACGUUGAAAAUCAGCAGAGGGUAAUCCUUUUGUGAAAAUAUCCGCAAGUUGAUCAUGACUGCGCGUGUAGUGAGUGUCGAUCACCUUGGACUGAACUUGAUUUCUGACGUAGUGACAAUCAACUUCAAUAUGUUUAGUUCGCUCAUGGAAUACAGGAUUCGAUGCAAUGUGCAUCGCGGCCUGAUUAUCACAGUGUAGGGACAUGGGUUGUUGAUGAGGAAAACCUAAAGUCAACAGAAGGAUUUUGAGCCAAAUAAGUUCACAAGCAGUGGACGCCAUAGCACGAUACUCUGCCUCUGCACUAGAGCGUGCAACAACACUUUGUUUCUUGCUUUUCCAGGUAACUAGGUUGCCUCCCACAAACGUACAAAACCCAGUGGUAGACUUGUGAUCGAGAGAAUUGCCUGCCCAGUCAGCAUCGGUAUAGCCUGAGAUCUGAGUGUGACUAUUGUUGCGCAUAAGAAUUCCUCUACCAAUGGAACCCUUAAGAUAACGUAGCACACGAUGAACAAUCUUCAAAUGAUCCAUGCUUGGAGAGUGCAUAAACUGGCUAACAAUGCUGACAGCAUAUGAUAUAUCAGGACGUGUGAUAGUCAGAUAAAUGAGUUUGCCAACCAUUCUUUGAUAGUAACUUAAAUUGGGAACUGGAUCACCGUGAGUUUUUAGCUUCAAGUUGCUAUCCAAGGGGGUACGAGCAGGCUUGCAAUCUGUCAUUUUUGCUUCGUGAAGAAGAUCCAUGACAUACUUGCGUUGGUUGAGGAAGAAACCCUUGUGAGAGUGUGCCAUCUCGAUGCCCAGAAAGUAUUUGAGAGUGCCAAGAUCCUUGAUAGCAAACUUGUUGUUGAGAUACUGUUUAAGAGCAUUAAUCUCUGACAUAUUAUCACCUGUCACAAUUAGAUCAUCAACAUAAAUGAGCACAACUAGUUUACCCACUAAGCUGGAACGAACAAAUAGGGAAGAAUCCGCAAUACUUCGACAAAAACCAACCCUUUCCAGAACAUGACUGAGUUUGGCAUACCAUGCACGUGGACUUUGCUUGAGACCAUAAAUGGAUUUAUGGAGUUUGCACACCAUUUCUGGAUUGUUUGAUUGAGGAUGACCUGGGGGUAGCUUCAUGUAAACCUCUUCUUCAAGUUCACCAUGCAGGAAAGCAUUUUUAACAUCCAUUUGAAAGAGAGGCCAUGCAUUGUUAAUUGCAACCGACAACAAUACUCUAACAGUGUUCAUUUUUGCCACCGGAGCAAAUGUCUCUUUAUAAUCGACGCCAUAGGUUUGUGUAAAACCUCGAGCAACCAAGCGAGCCUUAUUCCUUUCGAUUGUGCCAUCUGAAUGAAACUUAGUUUUGUACACCCAACGACUCCCCACUGCCUUCUUUCCUUUUGGAAGUUUCACUAUAGUCCAUGUGUUAUUUUCAUGGAGGGCUUGAAGCUCCUCUGCCAUAGCAUUUCUCCACUCACUGUGAAGAUUGGCUUCUUGAAAACUUUGAGGUUCUCGAGCUUCAUUAAUGGCACUUAGGAAUGUAGCAAAAGAAGAUGAGACUUUGCUAUAAUCAAUAACAUCAGUCACGGCAUACCUGGCAGUGUAGGUCACAUAAUCAUGCAACUUGGAUGGAAGUUUCCUCUCUCGUGCAGGAUUGCGACGAACUAUAGGAGAUUGAACUACAGGUAUUUGAACAACAUCAUGGUUGGAAGGAUCACUGGAGGGUGCAGUGUGAAUCUCUGAUGAGGAAGGGUUUUCAUCUUCAAGAUGUUCCACCGAGUGAAGGUUAACAUCAUCCGGCACAUGAUCACUAGGAGUGCAUGUUGCAUCUUCUCCGUUUGGAUAUGGAAAAGGAAAUAAGUCCAUCAAAUGCUCCCCCUGUCUAGAGUAAUCCAGUGAUUGUGAGAAGUAAGGAACAUGUUCUUCAAAUUUAACAUCCCUUGAAACAACCAUUUUUCUAGUUGUUGAAUUAUAGCACUUGUAACCUUUUUGGGUAGAUGAAUAACCUAGAAAGACACAUUUGGCAGCCCUUGGGUCUAGCUUGUCACGAUUUUGAGUUUGAAUGUGAACAAAGCAUGUACACCCAAAGACUCUCAAAUGGGAAAAGUUGAUCUUUCUAUUUUUCAAGACCUCAUAAGGUGAUUUAAAAUUCAACACUUUACUAGGCAAUCUAUUGAUGAGAUAUGCCGCAGUAAGGACUCCUUGAGACCAAAACUUUUUAGGCACAUUCAUGUGAAACAUAAGAGCUCUAGUCUUCUUAAGUAGAUCUCUAUUCUUCCUCUCGGCCACCCCAUUUUGUUGAGGUGUUCCAACACAGCUUGUUUGGUGUAAUAUACCAUGCGUGCUCAAGUAGUGUGACAUGUUAUGAGACAUAUAUUCUGUGCCGUUAUCUGAUCGUAAAAUAUGAAUUUUUGAAGCAAAUUGGGUGGCCACAAGUCUAUGAAAAUCUUGAAAAACUUCCAUCACUUCACUUUUAAAUUUCAAAAGAUACAACCAAGUAAUCCUUGUGAAAUCAUCCACAAAAGUUACAAAAUAUUUGUAUCCAUCAAAAGACUCUAUAGUUGGUCCCCAAACAUCAGAAUGCACAAUUUCAAAAGGGUUACUAGCCCUAGACAAAGAGGAAGUAAAUGGUAAUCUAGUAAACUUAGAAAAAUGACAAACAUCACAAGGACUUGUAACUUUGCACAUAUUUGGGAACAAGGUGGAUAGAACUUUUUCAGAAGGAUGUGCUAGGCGUUGGUGCCAAAGUUGUUGUUCUUGAGCUAAGCUUGAAGUGACUUGAAAAACCUUGGGAACUUGAAUAUGCUUGGAAAGAUAGUAGAGACCAUUUAAGAAAAAUCCUUCACCAAUCAUCUUCUUGGUGACUACAUCCUGAAAGAUCACAUUUUUGGGAGAGAAAAUGGCAAGACAAUUUAAUGAGUUUGUGAUCUUGCUAACAGAUAAAAGUUGAAAAGGGAAUGAGGGAACAUAAAGAGCCUCAGACUCGACAUCACUUGAGAUCAAAUGUAUUUUUCCUUUUCCCACAACCAUAGCAUUUUUUCCAUUGGCAACUGACACUUGGGAUGGAAUAGAAAAAUUUUCAAAUUUAUGCAAGUUUGUAGAUUUGUUAGUCAUAUGAUCAGUGGCUCCAGAAUCUAUAAUCCAAUAAUCAUGCACAUUACCAAUGUUGAGAACAGUUGAGAAGGAGUGUAAGAUACCUAGGAUGUCCCUUUGUACCACGCCUUCAUUUCCAGCCAGGAAGCCAGCAAACUGUCCUAGUAGUGCAGUUUGAUUGUUGUCACACUGAUUUAGUGGUCCUUCACUAUCUCCAAGACCUUGUUUCUUGUGAAGAAACAUAGCAAACUCGUUGAUCAGUGCAGCUGGAUUAGUGGUGAACUUCAGUGCUCUAUUAGAAGAAGUUGUGGCAACAUGAUUUGCCUUGUAAGAAGGGUUGUACGAGCCUUUCGAGACACCUUUGUUAUCCCUAGGAAACUUUGGUUUUAACUCUGGAUGAAGAAUCCAGCAUCGAUCUCUUGAGUGCCUACCAGCAUCACAAUGGCUACAUUUUAAGCCAGUUUUCUUUCCUUUGUAGCCUCUCUCCUCACCAAGUUUUUGGUUAGAAAAGUAAGCCCUAGCUUCUGGUAUAUUUGCCUUCAUGUCCAUGGUCAUGACUUUCCUUCGAACCUCUUCUCUUUGAAUUGUGGCACACACACUUGAAAAAGAAGGCAGGUCGGGAUUCAUGAGGAUAUGACUUCGAAGAUCUUCGAAUUCAGGACUCAGACUUGCUAGGAGUUGGAAUAUUUUGUCUUCCUCGGCUCUUUUAGUUAGCACAGCAGCGUCGAUGGUGUGUGGUCGAUACACAUUCAGCUCGUUCCAUAUAGUGGUCAGCUUUCCAAGAUGUUGCACAAAUGGCUUUCCUUCCUGUUGCAAACCAGCAAUGUCCUUCUUUAACUGAAACACUCUAGCCGCAUUGUUCUGAUUUCCAUACAUUUCCUUGAGAUUUUUCCAAAGAGUCAUGGAGGAUUCAGCAUAGCUAAAAAUUUCUGCAAUCUUACGAUCCAUGGAAUUGAGUAGCCACGACAUGACCAACUGGUCUUUGCAUAGCCAAGCAUCAUACUCCGGUGAGGUAGUCUCAGGCAUUGGAAUAGCACCAUUAACAUAACUAAGCUUUGAUCGUCCUCCCAGAGCAAGAGAAACUGCUCUCUCCCAUGAAAGAUAGUUAAACUCAUUUAGCAAGACAGAACUAAGACGUUGAUUUGGGUUGAUAUCAAUAUCUGAGUGUGGUGAUGGUGGAGUAGCAUGAAAGCCGUCUCCUUCCAAAUUUACUAAGAUUUCUUCAGCCAUGAUUGAAGGACAAGAAGCUCACAAAUCCCUCAAGAGAACAUCACAGAGACAGGCCGGUUAGGGUCACUGCUCUGAUACCAUAUUGAAUUUUGAAUGUCUAUAUUUUGUAUUAUGUAAAACUAAGUACAAUGAAAGCUCAUAUAAAUGAGCGGAAGAAAGGAAAAGAAAACAGAAGCCGAAAGAAAGGGAGGACAAGCAGAAAACAUGGAGCAGAAAACAUGGAAAAGUAAAGGUGAGGAAAACAUGGAAAAGUAAGGAAACAUGGAGCAGAAAACAUGGAAAAGUAAAGGUGAGGAAAACAUGGAAAAGUAAAGGUCACCAUACACCCAUGCUUUCUUCCAAUAGAAUGCGAUAGUGUUUUCACCCGGGAAGUAAAGUUACCGUAACAACUAGACGUAAAAGGCUCAUGAUAUUUAUCCAGUAUUUGAGAUUAAAGAACUGAGUGAAUAUGAAACACUGGAGCUUUUCAAGCGACAUGCCUUCGGGCAAGCCAAUCCCAUUGAAAGUUACUUGGAGUCAUGAACCUCGACCAAAUUGAAGCAAUCUUUGAGAGUCAAUUGCUAAUGGUUUGGGACUUCUGACAAGUUGGGGGUUGUCAUAAGGCCAUGUGAGUGGCUGAGAUUAACGGUUCAGCCUUGGAAGGGAACCAGGGUAUGUUCUAAUCUCUCUUUCUCUCUCUCUCUCUCUCUCUCUCUCUCUCUCUCUCUCUCUCUCUCUCAAAAUACACACAAUCAAAAAUAAAUUUCAGUGAAAUUAAACUCUGUAUUCAUAGCAACUAAUGACUUCUCUUUGACACAGUUUCUUAGAAGAUUGAAAAUUCUUAAUCUCAGUCAUUCUCAUGGCCUUAGGACAACAUUUGUCCGAACUCCCUAAGACCAUCUCCAACCCUUGGACUAAAAGCUAAAUUUUUUAGUCCGGAAAAUUUAGCUUUUAGCCCAGAAACAACUUUUCUGCUCCAAUCCUUCUGGUCUAAAAUUUUAGCCCGGGAUUAUUAAAGAAUGAAUUUAGGCUAAUUUUUUUCUUAAAUUAACUUCUUUUUUUUUUAAAUAAUUAUGUAGACUAUCGUAAAUUAAUUUUAUAAACAUUUUAAUCUAAAAAUAUUUAAAUUCCGAUAAAUAUUGAAAAAUCACUAAAUUUUUCCACAAAGCAAGCCUUCAUUUUUUUUAAAUUAUUUUAGCCGUUGGAUUUAAAUUUGGGCCAUUAGAUCUUUUUUUUUUUACCAUUAGAUUUGAUUAUAUUCGAUCUCAGCCGUUGGAUUCAAUGUAUUUUAAAAUAACAUUUAAAAAAAAUUAAAUUUGAAUCUGGACCGUUGGAUCAACCAACGGUCCAAUAAUGUCAACCGUCCGAUGAACAAAAGAGUCGUUGGGCUUAUAAUUGCUUCCGACAGCAGCCCUGACAGUGGGUCCCACUCUGUCGGGCGCUGAAGGCUAACGCCCGCGUGGGGCGAGUGGUGUGAGUGACCGGGCCGAAAGUGGGCUGGGAAAGAGAGAGUCAACACGUUUGUAGGCUAUUUCUUGGGGGGAAUUUGGCCCUCAAUUGGCAUUUGGCUUUUAGCCCAAAGAUUUGGCUUGGGUUGGAUUGGAUUUUGGGGGAGGGGAAUUGGGGGGAGAAAUUUGGCAUUUAGCCCAAGGUUGGAGAUAGUCUAAAGGAUUGCAUUAAUUUGAUUGGAAACUUGGGGAAACUUAUUUUCUUGAAUCUAAAAGACUGCAAAAGUCUUAUGAAGCUUCCAAAAAGAAUGAACAUGUUGAGGUCUCUUGAGGAAUUUAUUCUUACUGGUUGCUCAAAGCUUGUUCUUCAUGACAGUGCCACGGUUAUUCAUUUACAUUCUACAUCUAGGGAUAUGAAUAAACUUAGACUGUUAUCAAUUAUAUCAUCGACACGAGAAAAUUUUCCAGAUGACCGGUACAACUGUUGAGCUGGAGUUCCCCUCCAAUUACAUGAUGCCACAUACAGCUGCAUAGAUUAGUUUUGUUUAAUAAAAAAUAAAAAGAAAAAGAAAAAACUUGUAGAAGGUGUAAAGUCACCCUCCCAGCGGCCGAUCCCACCAACCCAACGGCGACUCACUUCCAAUUGACGACGACGAAAAAGAUUUCAGCUUCCUCGAGGAACCCACCGACCACAGCGCCGCACCAUUCAGAUUCGGACAAUUACGACGAUUUCGAGAACUUCUCCGAUGUCGACGAAGACGCUUUCAGGAGAUGAUGGCAGGCUUGCCAGCCCCAAGACUCCUAAGUGGGUUUAUGGCAUUUUCAGUGAUGGGGAUGGGGUGGUGGCCAUUUUCGGUGAUGGGUUGAUGCAAUUUUGGGUUUUUGAUCAAAACCCAUCAAAAUUCACCACCACUUAAUCAAAAAUCCAAAUCAAACCCCAACAAAAACAAUCAAAUUCACAAGUUUUAUCAGAGAAAGAAAAAACAAAAAAAACAUGAACAGAUGAUGGAAAAGGGUGGAAUGGAUGCGGGUGGGGCGUAAUAGAAUGGAAAAGAGAGGAAUCUGUGUUCUUCAUUUAAUUAAUUUAAAUUAUAUUCUUAAAAUAAAUGUUAAUUGUCAUUAUAAAAGAUGAUGUCAACCUAGAUGUCAGAUGUUAAUAGGUGGAACACCGGGUCAGCAAAUGUACCCGUCACGUGGAAAAAUUUCUCCAUGGACACCAAUUAGGUAUUGGUGGAUGUGGGCAUGGCCAGGAAAGACUCUUCAAUCAACGAGUUUCUCUCUGGCAAGUGUACCCCCUUUUUUGGGAAGCUUAAGUUUGUCUUACUGCAACAUGUCAGGUUUCCAAUGAUCUGUGUACACUAUCUUUGUUGAAGCAUUUGAAUCUAAUUGGUAAUCCAAUUUUGUGCCUACCACAAAAAAUGAAGAGUCUUAUUAUGCUUGAGACUCUUUUGUUAGAUAAUUGCACGAACCUCAAAAUUCUUCCAGAGCUCCCACCAAGGUUGAAGAGGUUAGAAGCAAAAUAUUGUACUUCAUUGAAAAGAUUAAGAAAUUUACCAAACUUAUUCAGAUCAUUGGAAUCACUUUUUUGGGGUUGUGAGCAUUUAGUUGAAGUUGAAAGCUUGUUGAAUAUAAAACCGCUGAGAAAUGCUGACAUAGAAAUGACAAGAUAUAUGGGCCUGUGCAGUUUGAAAUCCAUAUCAAGCACUGGUGUCGAAAGAUCUCCAUCUAGCCAAAAUAAUGUUGUUGCUGGAGAUGUGUCAAUGUCAGCAUAAGAGUACCAAAUGUGGACAGGAAAAUACUUUCUCAGUAAUCAUAGGCACCGUACUCAUCAGGCUCAGGUUCAAUGGUUCACAACUUAUUCAAGGCCCAAGGACCAUUGGAAAAUAUUGCGAGAGGAUGUCCAGCAGAUUCCCCAUCUGCUUCUCGUAAUCUGUUUUUGGCGAAAAUGAAGAGAAACAUCCUCAGUUCUUUGUCAACAUCACAUCAGUCAUUUCAUUUAUGGUUGGAAAGAAAGACCAGCAUCAUUUUCCUUGGUGAGUAUCGUCGUUUUUGUUCUUUCUUGUUCUCGUUCUGAGUAUAUACUCAUGGCUUUGUUGGAUUUGUUGCGCUUUUUGCUUAUUGUCAUAAAGAGCAAUCAAGGAAAAAAAACCGGAACAGUCUGCAUGAGUUUGUUGGAAAUUAUAUAUUAUAGUAUAAAAUAUUGUAAUAUAUAAUUUUAAUAAUUGAAUGAAAAAAUAGUGUUAACCAUAUUUCUUAGAAAUGUUAUGUUAUUUAGGUGCAUUCCCUUGUUAAAUAAUGUAUACUUAUAGAUGAAAAGUUACAUCUCCUAACAAGAAGUACUUGGGUUCUAUUUAAACUCAUGAAACCAUUAUCAUUAAAUAUAGAAAAUUAGAGUUAAUUUUUACUCUUGAGAAAUAGGGUUUCCCCACUUUGUUUCUCUCAUGCUUUGUGUGUCAAAUUCCAAGUCGUGUCUUGAGAGUACGGAAUAUAUAAAGUUCGUCAGAGUUCAAAGAUUGAAGUGUUUUGACUUCGGAUUAUAGAUUGUUGAAUCCUGAGAGAUAGACACCUACCGAACUACCAAACUACAAGCACAAGAGUAUGAGCGAUAUUCUAUCUUUAGGACAUUACAUUCAUGAAAGCCUCAAUCUCCAGGUUUAUCAGUUUUUCUAACUUUAUCUUUAGUUGUUUAUAUUAAUCUCAUACAUAAUUGAUGUCGUGAAUUUCUAUGUGAUUAUUAUUAUUAUUAGAAUUCUUGUAUUAUUUUCAUAUUUUCUAAUACUGUUCCAACAGAGUUUGCAUAUGAAGUUUUAAACCCCCUAUAGAGCAAAGCCAACUUGAGCGUAACAGCAGUGGGGCAACAUAUGUUUCUGAAAAUCCUACAGUUAGUUUCCCUCCAAAACUCCUUACAAACGAAUCUUGAGCACCUGCAUUGCCUAAUAAUUGUUUUAGCUACCAUGUUAACAGAAGCAAUAACUGUAAACGGACUAUAACAGUUGAGAAAUAUUUAAGUACCAAAAAGAGUCAGCUAUAUCAGAAAUAAUUAUGCUAGAGUUGAGUCGUUUAACUUCUCAUAUGUUAUGGCUUAGUCCUUUUAUGGCGGACUUUAACUCCGUUUUUCUAUAUUUUCAGAGAAAGUCCGCAAAACUUAAAUCCUAUUGUUCUUUUUUGGCCUUUUUCUAAUAUUUUUCUGCCUUUUUCUACUAUAGUACUACUCCAGACAAUAAUCCUAGUGGCCCAAAAUUAUAUCCUAACUUUAAAUCCCAAUUAAGGUGAUAUAAUUGGUUUUUUAUGUUUAUGCUCACUAGAAACCUCAUUGAUCUACAACGAACAAAUUGGUGCCUGUAGUAUUUGUGAUGUUCUAGAUCACUCAUUUGAGCAAUACAUGUGAACCAAAUGUGGGUAGCAGCUCAGGUUCAUGCUUUCUUAAUUUUUGCACGACUAGCAGCAGCUGGUGAGAAAAAUAUUAGAAAAAUGCCAAAUUAACUUGGGGAUGACCUAACGAGGGACCUGAGAUACUCAAGAACCCGUACCACACUUUUUCAUCUUUUUCUUUUUCUCUCUUUUUCCUUUUUGUUUUAGUCAUAUCUUUUUCUUUGCAUGCGGACCUCAUCGAAAUCAAACAAAAAUAAGAAAAAUUAAACUCAUCAUUAACUUCCAGACGAAACUUUAGACCAAGUGGCGUGAGAUUUGUCCAUGAUUCGGGUGGGGGUAGGUGGGCUGGGGUCAGUUCUCAUUAUUUACUCACACCUACACAUCUGUGCAUCCACCCCAAUUUAGAUGUUUUGGGAUCUUGGACUAGCAAUAUUUUUCAAAUAACAGAGAGGAGAUUGGAGAGAGAUGGGAGAAGGAGCGAGAGAGAAUAGUACGGUUACAUUUUAGAAUUUUUAUGACAUAAAAUACUAAUAAUGAUAAAAGUUAACUAGAGUUAUGUGAGAGGACAUAUAUCAAGCUAAAAGUGUGUGGAUAGCAUACAUCAGGAUAAGUUCGAGGCAUUUUUACUCACUGCUCUCAAGUAAUGGUGAUGGUCACAAUAUUUUUAUUACAGUUUGAUAAGUUUAAUUUUUGAAAUUUAUGUCUUCCACAGCAGAAACAGAUUACAAAUAACAAACAUACGAACAAACGGAUUACAAAUUAUUGAAUAUAUUUGACUAACAAAACAACAAAGAAACAGGAUUGUCGAGAUGACUACACUCAACUACAUACCAACUUAUUAUCCAUCUAAACAAACUACAUUUGUGGGGAGCAAAAUCUAAGAAACCCUAAUUCAAAUAGGAUAAGCCUAAAUCAUAAACUAACCAGCAAAACCAAAUAAUCAAAUAAUUAAUUUUUCAACACUCGUCAAAUUCAAAAGGAUAUAUGACAUGAGUUUGCCAACAAGUAAAUUUUAAUUUAGACAUAAUGAUGUUGAGAGUAUAAAAAGAAGGUAAAUGAGUGCUCACCGUCACUAGACAAAUAAGAUUUUCAUAUUUCAAUUACAGCAAUGAAUAAACAAAAACAACACUUUCACUCGAAGCUCCCAAACAAGCCAAUAACUCGCGUCGGCCUCAAAGACUUCACAAAACACAAACGUGUGGGCCAAAACCUCAACCAAUUUCCAAUUUUUUCUUUUCCGUGUGGACCUCAAACAUACCACCACUUUUUCUUCUUUUUCUUUUUCUAUCUUUUUUCCUUUUCUUUUUCCCCAUCUUUUCCUCACCCUCAUAUACCAAAAAGGAGAAGAAAAGAGAAAGCAAAAGAUUCGUCCUUCUUCUUCAGCUGCUCUGGUAGCAUCUCCCACCUCCUCUUCUUCAUCAACUCUUAAGACCUACGCCUGUUCAGAUCCUUGAAAAUUUGAGCAUGGUGGAGAGGAACUAUAGUUAUCAACUUAAGGUUGUGAGUGAGCAAAAUUUGAUUUGUGAAAUCGUCCAUUUCACAGUGUCUUUUUGAAGAAACUAGUUGGGACUUUCAUCCAACAGCUUUCGGCAUCUUACAAUACACAACUCUGGUGUGUGCGAGGUACCUCCAAGCUCCCCUCUUGUGAAAACAUACAUCUGCUUGUAUUAUUAACUUUCAAUUGAAAUCUUCAUGGCCGAUGAGUCAAAUGCAUUAACUUUGGAUCCUCUUGCUUUCUUAUCUUUAUUUUUCUUUUUAAUAUUUUCCUAUUAAAACUAAGAUCUAAAGGCUUUAAAUUCAUGGAAAUUAUUUUGUAAGACUUCAAUUUUUUUUCUUUUCAAAACGUGAACUAAAUCCAUUUCAUGAAAAAUGAUCUAGUCCUUUUCGCUUUUUUCUUCUUAAAAUAAAUAUGAGUCAUUAUAUUAAUAAUUAAUUUAUUAAAAAUUGAUGGAAUAUAUUUUUGUAUAAAGUUUUAAUAUGAAUUUCUUUUAGGAUUACACAUAAGAGCAGCUCCAGCCCGAGGGACAGGCUGACGAACAGGGCUUGAAUGCCCGAGUGAUGAAAGCCCAGCGUGUGCUGGCGAGCGAGCCCUAGCAGGCCCGAGGGAGAGGCCCGUGGAUUCGUGCCGGCCCGAGCGCCCGAAGGCUGUCUGACGUGGGCUGACGUCAGGGCGACGUCGAAGGCUGUCUGACGUGGGCUGACGUCGGGCGACGUCAGUGGCACCUCUCUCUCUCUCGCUGCCUGCGAUUGAGGCAUUCCUUCUCUGAAACCUUCACAUUGUGAUGGCGUCGAAGGGUAAGGGGAUCGCCGCAGGAGGUGGAUUCUCCGGCGGGAAGCGUAAGCACGAUGACAAGUCCGGUGGUGGCCGGAAGAAGAGCAACCCCGGCGUCCUUAGAUUCUUCGAAGACGUCGCUGACGAAGCCGACGACGGCGACGAGAGUGACUUCGAUGAUGGUAUAUUCCGUCUCUGAUGUCUUUUAUGGUCGCAUUUUCCAUCUGGGUUCGGAUUUCUAGGGUUUUUGAAAUGGGUAUUUUUUUUGGAUCUUGCUUUGUGCGUAUUGACUGAUUAAACCUUUAUUAAUUUCCUGCAUUUCCUUUGUAUAUUUGAAUUUCUGGCUUUUGUGGUUGCUUGUGGAGUUUCAAUAUUUUUUUUUUGAAGUGUGUAGUUAGGUUGCUUGCUUAAUUUCUUUAACUUGUCUGCUGACCAUAAUGUAAAUAAUAACGCGUGACGCAACGAUUAAAAAUUUUAUCCAAAAUUACAAUAAAAUUAUUUUGUAUUAUUUUAUAAAUAAAAAAAUACUAAUAUUUUAUUACUAAUUGCCAGCUAUUUACUGUAGGGGUAGAGAUGCAAAAUGUGGUUACUGUUUAUUAAAGACAAUUACUGUUUAUUGGAUGGAUAGCAUAUUUGAUAGCCCUAUGGGGCCUUAGACACGGUGUAACUGCUCUAAUGUGUCGUUAGCUUUUUACAUACCAAAUUUAUGAUAAUAUAAAUGUACCGAUAGUUUUCUAUGUAUUUAAAUAAAAAUUACAUAACAUACCAAAACUAAUUUGUACACAAAUUUGAAUUACAUAGUAUGCCAAUAACCUACUAAAUUAUUGACACGUUACAUUUAGUAAAUAAAAGCAUUGAUAUAUAUAUAUAAUAUCGUUUAGAAUUUUAAAGUACGUUGGUACUUUUAAAAUAUCACUUUUGAUUUUUUUUGAUAAACAAUUCAACUUUUUUUGUUUUUAUAGAACUUUUAUUGUUUUUUAUUCUUUUGAAAUAUAUUGAAAUAAAAAGAUAUAAAUUAACAAUAUAUUGAAAAAAAACCCUUAGAUAUUUGGUCUAAGAAAUUCAAAAACCGAGCAUCUAGAUCAAAAUGCCCCCCCCCCCCUAAAUUAUUUGGUGGUUAAGAGCCCUAAAUGAGCUCCUCACUAAAACUUAGAGAGUAUUUGAAAAAUUCCAUCUCGAAUCAGACCUUCAUUCCUAAUACAAGUAAGCAUACUAGAGCCAAGUUACAUGUACAUUUCUAACAAAAGUUUAGUCCAUUUUUACCACACAAAAAAAAAGGAAAUAAAAUAACCAAUAAUAUUCUUGCAUGACGAAUUAUUCUUACUAGACACCAAUUUGUUUUUUAUUUUUUCCUUCUGAGUGCUACUCGAGACUCCAACUUAUUAGUUUUUGCAUCAAUUUUUGAGAUCCCAAAUGCCGUGCCAAUGUUUCAACGCGAUUUCUAUUCACAUUUUACAACUAAGAAGAAUUUGCCUUGUGACUUGGUAACCAAUAAUUGGUCUCUUGUACUAUUAUUAUGUUUAUCAUUUCCUACAUAUUUCCAAAAUUAGACCUGUAAUAUCAUUUGCAUCUCAGUGUAAAAUCCGAUAUGUUUGGUAGCUGGAGAAUAUAUUCUCAAUUUGCAUUCCAAUUUGUAUAUAAUAACUCUUCUUCAUGCAUUCACUGCUACAGAUAGACUCUAUUCAAUAGCUGCAAUGAGCAACGAGCAGCAGAAUCCUUCUUCGUCUUCUAACCGGUGCACAUAUGAUGCAUUCUUGAGUUUCAGAGGCGCAGAUACACGCAAGGGCUUUACAGAUCACCUCUACAAUGCUUUGAAGUUAGCAGGAAUCCACACUUUUAGGGAUGAUGAUGAAAUUGAGAGAGGAGAAAACAUUGCACAGGAGCUACAGACAGCAAUACAAGAGUCACAAGUAUCAAUCAUUGUUUUCUCCAAGGACUACGCCUCUUCCAGGUGGUGCCUGAAUGAACUUGCUAUCAUCAUGGAACGUAAAAGAACAGAUGGACACAUGGUUAUCCCAGUUUUCUAUUAUGUGGAACCAUCAGAUGUCAGGAAGCAGACGGGCAGUUUUGCAGAAUCAUUUACUAGACAUCAAGAACAAUUCAAGGACGAGAUAGACAAGGUGGAGGAGUGGAGGCGAGCUCUUAGAGAUGUUGCAGACUUGGGAGGGAUGGUUUUAAAAGACCGGUAAUUUUCAUUCUCUCCUAUAUUCAGUCAAGUAGAUCAGAUGCUAGUCUCAAGCUUGUGAAAAUUUUAGUUUUUUUUUUUUUUGAAAAAAUAAAUAAAUAACUUGCUUGUGUUUUUUCUUUUUGUAUGAUAUAUUUUUAUAUCAAUAACAUAUAGGUACGAGUCGCAGUUUAUCCAAGAAAUUGUUGAAGCUGUUGGAAAAAAACUGGACUACAUGACAAAUUGGAGACUAAGAGUUGAGCCCUAUGUGAUUGGAAGAGAUUAUCAUGUGAAAAGACUAAACAUGUGGCUGGAAGAUGGAUCAAAUGAUGUUGGAGUAGCUGUCAUCCAUGCAAUGGGUGGAAUAGGCAAGACCACCAUUGCUAAAAUUGCUUAUAACCAGAACUUCAAUAAAUUUGAAGCUAGCAGCUUUCUUUCAGAUAUUAGGGAAACUUCCGGACAAGCCAAUGGUUUUGUUCGCUUGCAAAGGAGACUUCUUUCAGAUAUCCAAAAGAGGAAAAUGGAAAAAAUAGACGGGCCUGAAGGUCUAGUAAAGAUCAAACGGGUUGUACGUUGCAAAAGAGUUCUUAUUGUUCUUGAUGAUGUGGAGAACUCGGAGCAGUUCAAUGCAAUUCUUGGAAUGCGAGACUGGUUCUAUCCUGGAAGUAAAAUUAUAAUAACAACUAGGCAUGAACAUUUGUUAAAGGCUCAUGAAGUUGUAAGGUUUAAGGUUGAAGGAUUGCAUGAGGAUGAAUCACUUAAGCUUUUCAGUUGGCACGCCUUUGGACAACCCCGUCCUCAAGAAGGUUACAUGGAGCUUUCAAGACCCAUAGUAGAACAUUGUGGAGGGGUUCCAUUAGCUCUUAAAGUUCUGGGAUCUUCUCUAUUUGGAAAAACAGCAGAUAUAUGGGAAAAUGCAAUACACAACUUAGACGAGUUUACUGAGGGAAAAAUUCGAAAGAUUCUUUGCAUAAGUUUUGAUUCUUUACAAGAUCAUGAUAAACGUUUAUUCCUCAAUAUAGCCUGUUUCUUCGUGGGAAAGAACAAGGAUUUUACAACUACAAUCCUUGACGAAUGUGAUUUUGCCACAAAGGUUGGACUUCAACGUCUGGUUGAUAGAUGUCUUGUGGAAAUUAAUGUCUACAACAAGUUAACCAUGCAUCAAUUGCUUCAAGACAUGGGAAGGGCAAUAAUUCGCGAAGAAUCACCUGAGGACCCUGGAAAACGCACUAGACUGUGGCAUAAAGAUGCAAUUAACGUUUUGAGAAAAUUAACGGUAAGAUACAUGAUCUUUGUCUAUAUAUAUUUGCAAUGGUGUUCUGCAUGUGAUUAGUAACUUAUCCAGUCCUCUUAUUUGUAAGCAGGG